rnacentral:lncRNA from 1 species
GUUCAUCUUUUGUAUUUGAUGACUAGUGAUGUAAAGAAAAGAAUGUAAAGCUUAUUUUGAGGUAAAUGUGAUGUAAAAAGAAAUGAUGCAAUGAUGUAAUGAAAGGUAAAGAAUUGAAAAUGUCCAAGUUGGACUUAAUGUAUAUGAUCUAAAUUGAAUCAUAGUACAAGUGAAGGUUUAGUUUCCUAUCUCUUCACUCGUGGCUAUCGCUUACCCUCAUGUAAGCCGUUUGUGUAUGUUUCCGCUAGUGCACUUCUUGCUUGAAAUUGUACGUGUGAUGAGCCUUGGGCGGAUAGGGGAAACUCUGUCCGUUCGGCGUCUGUUUGACGUGCUCGGGCCAGCCCAAAUUGGUAUCGGUCCCGGGGCGUGACAGAUAAUAUGGUAUCAGAGCCCAAGAGUGAAAGAAUAGGAAUGGACCUAGAGACCCUUAGGAUUGGAAGACCUUAAGGAUCUAGGGAACGUGAGCGACGUGGAAUUAAAGUUAGCGAAAGCAUGUGAUUGGGUUAAGUUGGGACAUCUCUAAUGAGAUUAGAGGCUAAGUUUAAUUAUCAUUCGUCCGUUACUCCUCGUGUUGUGUCGGGCGGCCGACGACAUGACGCUUGAGGCAAGGAUGAAUGUGUAUGUUGCUUUCGCCAGAUUGGGUAUGGUCAAGUAAUGUUGGUUAUGUAGCUAAUGCGAGUUGCUCCUUUUCAGGAAGCAAUGGCACCUCGACGUCGAUCCCAGACGAGGUCGAUGCCGGAGGAGCCUGAGCGAUCCGGAGCGAGUGGCGACGGAGAGCUUAGGGAGCAAAUGGCUGCGCUCAUUGGAGUAGUGCGACAACAAGCGGAGUCUGUUCAACGCCAAGGGGAGCAGAUUCAGCGGCUCCAGGAGGCUUUGGAGCGCCAGCAGGCGGCGGCAGCCCAGGCGGGUGUCGAGCAUGUUGCGCCCCCUAUGGUAGUGCCGAGUGUUGUUGAGGGAGCGGCGGCAGCGGCGGCUGUUCCAGUUACGGUAGUACCGGCCGGAUCGGGAACCUCAAAUCCCGAUAGUGCGGCAGUCGAUGCGGAGCGAGAGCGUACCUUGGCGGCUCUCAUUCAGUUUAAGAAGUUCGACCCACCUAUCUUCGAGGGAGGUUUGGUGGAGCUAGUAGUAGUGGAGUCGUGGAUCGACUCGAUGGAGACCCUAUUCGAGGACCUUAAUACCUCGGAGAAGGAUAAAGUAUAUCUUGCCACCCAUUGUCUUGAGAAGGCGGCGAUGGUAUGGUGGAAGCGAGUGAAGCGGGAUCGUCCUACCGAUCUUCCGCUUAUGCUAUGGGAAGAGUUCAAGAGAGCGGUGUUCGCGAACUACUCCCCCGAUACGGUGAAGCGGAAGUUGCAAGAAAAGUUUCGCAAGUUGCGACAAGGUGAUCGAUCGGUGGGGGAGUACGAGCAAGAAUUCUCCCACAUUAUUGACUGCGUUCCCGACGUUGUUCGUGAUGAUCGGGACCGGGCGGAUUGGUUCUUGCGAGGACUCCAGCCCCGAAUUUAUGAGAAGGUGCAAAUCCUAAAGUUGUCGACCUUUGCGGAGGUCUUCGAUAGAGCGUUGUGGGCGGAACAUAGUAGCGCCCAUGUACGAGAGGAACGGGAAGCUACGGCCGAGUCAAAGGACAAAGGCAAGAAGUGAACAGCGGGUGGUGCCGGGGGCCGACCGAAUGCUAAGAAACCCCCUCGGUAUCCCCGACAGCAGUCGAGGAAUUGGAGACCACCUCGACGCGUCAUAUGUGGCGGGGAGCACAAAGUGUCGACUUGCCCGCAGCGAGACGGCAAAUGUUUUAAGUGUGGCCAACCGGGACACCUUAUCCGGGAGUGCCCGAGCUGGACGUCGUCUGCACCGACGGCGGCAUCAGCACCGUCUACCCCGAGACAGUUUGCGGGGUUACCACCAGCAAUGUCGGCUGGGCACGCAUCGUCACCGCGUCAGCCGGAGGGAUCGAGAGCGCCUAGCGGCCGAGUCUUUGCCGCUCAGGUGGAGGAGCAGCAGCCUACAGCACCCGACGAUGUCGUGGCAGGUAUAAUUAUGAUUAAUGGCACUAGAGCUAGAACAUUGUUCGAUACUGGUGCAUCACGAUCAUUUGUAGGCUCAAAGUUUGCAAAGGCACAUGGCAUAGAGAUGACACAUAAUGAUGACUACUGGUGGGUAAAUGGUCCCGAGCACUCGUUUCGCGUUUAUGAUNNNNNNNNNNNNNNNNNNNNNNNNNNNNNNNNNNNNNNNNNNNNNNNNNNNNNNNNNNNNNNNNNNNNNNNNNNNNNNNNNNNNNNNNNNNNNNNNNNNNUGCUACUCCUUUAUCCCUAUCUUUUGAUACAUUCAAAAAAGCAUUCUCCACAAAAUUUUCAUGAGGUUUGUCAAUGCGAUCCUCAUGCGACAAAAGAGAGCCCAAAAGUUCGGUACAAGAAUAUUUAGUAAAAUCUUUCGACUCUUCAAUAGCAGCCACAACAUGAUUAUACUUAGGAGUCAAACUUCGUAAAAUUUUUUCUACAACUUUUUGAUCCGACAAAUCUUCACCAUAUGAACGCAUGGUGGUUACUAGUUCCAUAACUUUUGAGAAAAAAGAAUGAACAUUUUCAUUUUCUUGCAUGAAAGUAGUCUCAAAUUUACGUCGUAAAGUUUGAAGUUUGACUCUAAGUACCUUUGAACUGCCCUGAUACUCCUUCUGUAGCGUAUCCCAUGCUUCCUUCGAUUUUGUCGCAGCAGCAAUGUGCGAAAAAAUCGAGUCAUCGAUGGCUUGCUGGAUGAAGAAGAGAGCCUUUGAGUCCUUCUUCAUAUUCUCUGGGGUAGCAUCCGUGUACCCCUUCUCCACAAGAUCCCAUAGAUCUUGCGAUCGCAGCAUCGUCUUCAUCUUGAUGCACCAGAAAUCAUAGUUCUCCCCUUUGAAAAUGGGAUGAGCAGUUUGGGAUCCGCCGACCCCGCUGAUCGCCAUCGACGUAGCCACCUCUCACGAAUCCUGACGCUCUGAUACCACUUGUUAUGGCGGUAAUCAAUAAAACAAUGAAGCGAAUAAUUUUAUUAAUGUGGAGAAUAAUCAAUAGAUUCGCGGUGCGCUUGUUCUACACAGUCUUAGCCUUUUAUGGUGCAUAUGGAUAACAAAAAAAACAAAAUCUAAACUGACUAACAAAAUCCCUCGUAACAAAUCUAACCAACUAAGAAAUCUUAAUAACAAAUCUAACUAACUAACAAUUUGAUCUUAUCUUCAACAGUUACUUCACUCCUUCUUCUUCUCCACCUUCAUUCUCUUUUUCUUUUUCUUCUUUUCCUUUCCUUCCCUUUCUUUCUUUUUCUCCUUCUUGUCUUCUAGAGAGAGAAAGAGAGGUGAGAGUGUGAGAGGGUGAGAAUGAGAGAAAACACCUCAUAACCCCCUCAACAUAACCCAUAUAUUGCAUUUUUGCAAAUAAAUCCCUCAGCUUUCACUUUAUUAAACUGCCAGAACUGGGCAGAUUUCAUGCUCGGGGAUCGGUCUCCCCGACUUGGGACCGGUCCCAGAGAGCUCUCCCCGAAGCUGGCAGAGCUCCAGCCUGAUGCAACUGGUCUUACUCUGGGGGACCGGUCUCUCGGGGACCGGUCUCUCCCCGCAUGGACCGGUUCCUGAGAGCUGGUUUCUGGGACUUAGCCGAUUUUUCAGCCUUCUAAAUUUUCACGCGUUCGGGGACCGAUCUCUUCCUUCAGGGAUCGGUCCUCGAGAGCUGAAAACCUGCAGAAUGAAGAAUUUUUACUUUUAAGCUCUCGAAGACCUCCCAUAACGCGCUUUUGAUCAUUUUAACACCUUCGGACUCUCCGAAAUGUACCAUCCUCGCACUUUGGUCAAUUUGACUAAAAUUCGAUAUUUAUUUUUCGAAUUCUCGGUAUAUCACAUGAGAUGUAGCGCGUGGAUUGGUCCUCAUCUGAUUGAUGAGUGGAAUCAUAGUGUGGAUCCUAAUUUCGCGGAAAUGUAACCUAUCAAAUUUCCGUCAAGUUUAGCAAAGCUUACGUCAAAACGAACGAAGCGCGGAUUUGGACAAGUUAGAGUGGUUCGCAAAGUGUACAAAACACUUUGGAGCGGGUUGGUGCGGUGGCAUACAAGUUUGCACUACCACCGAGGCUUGCGGGAGUUCACAAUGUGUUUCCUGUAUUAAGUCUCCGCAAGUGUAAGAUAUGGAUCCCGAGGAUCUAAAAGGUAAGAAACACCUAGAGGGGGGUGAAUAGGUGUAAAACCGGCAAACUCAAAAAAAUCUCGAUGCAAAUAAAACUAGAUAGCGGAAAAUAAAAUAGCACACCGAGAAUUUAACGUGGGAAAACUCCAAUUCGGAGUGAAAAACCCACGGGACCGACCACGCGAAGAAAAUCCACUAAGAAAACUUGAGUACAAGUGAUUUUGACAAAAAUACACGACUCAAUUUACCGAUUUCUUGUUGAUGGUGUUCUUCGCCGGUCCUCGAUCGAUAGGAAUCCACCAAUCGACCUCGCCGCAACUCCUCGCAGCGUCAACGCCUCAACUCCUCGAAGCGUCCACCGAAUCCGGUUAGGUAAACGAGAUUGCAAAGUCCUUUUUAAAAACUGUAUGUCCUCAGAGACCGGUCUCUCUCAAGGAGGAACCGGUCUGUGAGAAGACGUCUUCAAGUGAGGGAACCGGUCCCUGCGCUGCCACGUGACCACAAAUCACGACGUUCGGGAACCGGUCUCUCGGCUGAGACGUCCCUCGCCCUGCGCGACGAAAUACCAAAGGUCGGAACCGCGGUCUCUCUCUCAGAGGGACCGCGGUUCGCAUCAAAGCCUCACGGCAGUUAGGACCUUAGGGGAACCGGGUUCUCUGUGAACUCAGGUGACCACGGUCCCUGACACACAGAAAGUUCAGUAAAAUAUUUUUUAAAGUAAUCUAAGCCUUAUGAAACUUAUUCUUAAUUAAGUAUCUUUCACACAAAUGAUCGUUUUCUCAUACUUAGGUGCCCGAAACUUUACGAUGUGAGUCUUUGCUUCUUCAAUUUAGAUCUUUUCUUCAAUCUUCCGCAAUCAACUCUUCAAGACUCCAUUCAACAUUACGAAAUCCGCCAACCUAUAAAAUCCUUAACAAUCUCCCCCUUUGGCGAUUUCGUGACAAAAUAUAUUACAAAGUUCGUACACAACUCAAAAAUAAUAAAAAGAAGAUCAUCGCAAUCACCAAACGAUAAUCUCCUGCAUGAUCGAUCCAAUAAAUGAAAAUUACACUUUUACAACCUUAAUACAGACUCUAUGACUUAGACAUGGAGUCUUGAAGUCUUGAAUUAUUCCUGCAAAAACAUUCUUAAAACGAAAAUCAAGAUUCAAGUAUACUUAUCAAGAUCAAAUAUAAACAUCAAAAGAGUACCAAAUAAACAUCAAAAGAGUACCAAGUCACCAAGUCAGUUCAUAGUCAAGCACCUAAUGUUUGAGCACCUAAGCAAACAUCUAAACUAAAUUUACACAACUUAUGCAAAGUAAAUCUAAACUAAACGCUUCAUCAUCAUCGAGCCAUCCAUCAUCAUAUAUUCAUCUCCCCCUUUUUGUCAGAAAGCGCCAAAACGACAAAAGGAGUAAACCCAUUACAUCUAAUCUGAAGCAUCCCCUGGGGGUAAAUUUGCUCUGCAACACCCUAACUUGUCAAAAAUCAUAUUGAGUAAUCGCUUCAUCUUGCUCACAUCCUUUCGUAUCGCAGCCUGCUCCGCAGACAAUUUCUGAAGCUCCUCAGAUAAACGUUGUUGCUCACGAUACACAGAGGAAACUGAGAUAUCUUCCUCGGAAAUGUCCAUAGAAGGACGUGAAGAAGUAACAAUAGCAGGAGGUGGAGCAGCAGGAGGGGAAGAAGCACGCUGAGACGGGGUACGAAGCUGCAUCGAGGACUUCACAAAGGUCCUUUCAUUGAUCCGACCCAAGCUGUGCUCGUACGAUGUGCAACGAACAUCCACUUCACGAAGUCGCAGAAUCCGCAUGAUUAUCAAAGGAAAUGGCAACCUUUCAUUUUGUCCAGAAGUUUUGAUGUCCUUCGCCAUUCUCCGCCAGAUCAAAAAUGGGAUAUUCAUGUUGAUAUUUUUCACACUUACAAUAUCAGGCCGAGCUAGGAGAUACAUGUAUAAGAUGCGAUCCCACCUCAAAAUCUUCGUGUUCGCGAGAAGCAAAAUGUUGUAGCAAACUACGAAGUUCAGAAACCUGUACUCCAUUCUGAAAUCUUUGGACAUAACCAUAAUGCCAUUUGAUUCAGUACCCUGCAUGCAAAUAGUGUUCACUACACGAUUCCAAUCGCGAAGUGAGUCGAACCCAGCCUGUAGAUAUUCCACUCCGUCAGUCUUAGCUUCCAUUCCUAGCACAGACGCUAUCGUAUCAGGAGUAAUUGAUAACUCAACACCACGUACGGAAGUGAUGAAUACGUACGGGCCACCGUCGGAGUCACUCAAGUGACCUGCUCUCAUAUAGAAUUCUCUAAUCAAUUCUAAGCAGAACCCAGUUUGUUCCGGAAAAUCACAAAUCUGAUGAAGAUUACCCUUUUCAAAUAAAUCUUGAAAUCCCGGCAGACAGCUUAUGAUACUUGCAACUCCAACAUCACGAUCACCAAUACAAUGCUUCGACGAGUACAUUGACCGUCGAGCAGAUGGAACAUCCUGUAGACUGUGAUGCGGAGGCUCAAAACCCGGUUCUCUAAUCUCAACACCGCCAGAUUUCCGACGACCGGUAUAUCCAGAUGCUUUGCCUUUUCCCUUAUCCACGGCUUUGCCUUUUCCUUUAUCAAUAGCUUGUCCUUUCCCCUUUCCUUUUCUGGUAUCCUUUUCCUUAGCCAACACCUCCGGAGAAAAAGCCUCCCAGUCCGGCUCUUCCUCCUCAGAUUCAUCACCUGGGGCAUAUUCACUCCCUUCGUCUUCCGGUUGAUACUCAACCGGCCGUUUACCCGAGGAACGCUGUCGUUUACUUCCACGACCACCCCCGGCCAUGAGAACCACAAACACAAGCAACCAAGAAUACAUUCUGAAGAAAUCCCCUGUUAAACACAAUAAUUUGUAUAUACUAAAUAUAAGAACACUAAAAUUUUUAAAUCCAAAAAAAAAAAAUUUCUGCAAAUUGAUAAAUAAAUGCUAGAUAAUCCUAGGGGCCACAAAACAUGAGAAACAAGAUCAACUUAUGCAUCUAAAAUCAGUAAAACUACAUGAGUCCCAGAAAUUGGAAAAAGCUAGGUUUUGAUGAUGAAAACCUACAAAAAUUGACCAAAAAGAGAAAGAAAUACAAGACAAAAUGAUGAUAACAAAUCUAAUGACAAGAUCGAAACAAUAGGUGAUAGAACCAAUUAGAUCUCUAGAAAACCACCCAAAAAAAACGAAAAUGAAACACAUUUUCUGAGUAUAGGAUACAAAUGCAACAAAAUCCGAAAAUCAUACCUCAAAUCAGUGCUAAACCAUGAGGAAUGUGAGGAAAAAAUGAUCUGGAGACAAGAGAAGUGCAAGAGAAAAAACAGGGAAAGAGGUGAAAUGCGUACAAGACACACGAGCAAAAACCCCUUUAUUGGGUCGGGCGGAAGGACCUGUCUCUCCUGUCUGGGACCGGUCCCAGAGACUAGAAUUAAAAAAAAUUUAAAAUAAGCUCCAAAAAUUCCAGAAAAAAUAUAUGUUAUUCCACGAUGUUUAACCAACAAAAAUAACCAAUUUCCAUCCAAAAACCUCAAAUAAAAUUUCAUAAAUAAAUUUUGAAAAAAAUCAAUUUCACGGAUAUUCAAAUUGUCAAAAAUUGCUGACCCGAAAAUCAAUAAAAAUUUUACAUACAUAUAAAAUAAAAUCCCACACAUCAUGCAAGAUCUAGGAAUUUAUUAUAUUGUUUUUCAUCAUAUUUGUUAAAGAAAGUGUAUAAAUAAUUCUCAAUUCGAGAAAUCAAAAUAAUAUGUUCAAAUUGAGUUAAGCACACUAUUCAAGACAGGAGUGGCUCUUUGAGCAUCUUUUUUUUUUUAUAUUAACAAUCCACCUUAUAUCACCUAUGAGAUGUAUAGCUCUUUGAGCAUUUUUCUUUUUAUCUCUGAAAGGUACUUUCAUUUUGUUUUAUAGAGAUACUUUAAUCAACAUGUGAUAGCUGCACACACUGACCGGACGACCGGGGUGGUAGCUCUUUCCUCCAUGUGGUGGUAGUUUUCACACUCCCGGCAGGGAUGUAACUCUUUCCACAUCUUGAAUCUCAGAAACUUUAAUAACCAAAAAUUGGAAAGACUCUCCCUAAAUUAGUGCAACCCUCAAGUCAAAAAUAUUAUUUCAAUUUCAAAAACAGAGAAAGAGUUAUUCAUCUCAAAACUCAUAAUCAGACAAACAGUAGCAACAUUCAAAGUUCGAAGCAUGAGGUGUUGAAUUUGAUUCAGUAUGCAAAACAGAAUCUCAAUGAUUUGAUCGUUCAACAAUUAUGACAAUAUAGAACAAUCUUGACAGUGAUCAAUCAAAAAUUAAAUAUGAAAUAAUUAAAGUUACGAACCGAUUCAUCUCCCAAAAGUAGCAAUAUUAAUCAUGAAAUUCAAUUAUCUCUCAAACACAAUCAGGAAAUACUAGAAACCAUUCACAAAAAUAAGAUGCAACAUGCACAUGAUCUAUGGCCCAAUAGAAUAUAUCUAGAUUGAAGGAUUCAUACCAAUAGCUUUUCUUAAAUGCAGAAAACGUUUUUGAUCCAACGGUUUGGUUAAAAUAUCUGCAAGUUGAUUGUCAGUCGAAAUAUAUUCAAGUUGUAGGAUGUUUUAUUCAACCAGUUCUCUUAAAAAGUGAUAUCUUAGUUCAAUAUGUUUUGUUCGUGAAUGUAAAACAGGAUUUUUAGAAAUAUUAAUGGCACUUGUGUUGUCACAGAGAAUAGUAAGGGUGGUGGAAGGGAUUCGAUAGUCGCUCAGUAAGCUUUUCAUCCAAAUUAAUUGAGUAGAGCAACUCCCGGCCGCAAUGUAUUCAGCUUCAGCAGUGGAAAGAGCAAUACAGUUUUGCUUCUUACUAUGCCAGGCAAGCAAACAGUGUCCAUCGUAGAAACAAGCUCCACUUGUACUUUUCCGAUCAUCUGCAGAGCCUGCCCAGUCAGCAUCUUAGUAAUCGAUUAGAUCAAGAGAUGAUCCCUUAGGAUACCAGAGGCCAUAUGCGGUCGUACCUUUAACGUACCGAAUGAUCCUUUUAACCCCUUUCAGAUGGACUUUCUUAGGAUUAGCUUGAUAGCGAGCACAAAUCCCAACACUAAAAGCGAUAUCUGGCCUGCUCGCGGUCAGGUACAGUAGACUCCCAAUCAUGCUUCUGUAUUGUUUCUCAUCUACGCUCAGUCCUUCCGAAUUCACUCCAAGUCCUUUGUUACUUGUACCCAUUGGAGUGUCAAAUUCCUUUGCACUGUCCAAUCCAAAUUUCUUAACCAAAUCUUUCGCAUAUUUGGAUUGACACAAGUGAAUUCCAUCUUUAGUUUGUUUGACUUGAAGUCCAAGGAAAUAAUUAAGCUCCCCCAUCAUAGACAUCUCAAAUUCGCUUGUCAUCAAUUUAGCAAAAUCAUUGGCAUCUUUCUCUUUAGUUGCUCCAAAGACUAUAUCAUCAACAUGUAAUAUACCGAAAAUUCGGAAAAUAAAUAUCGAACUUUAGUCAAAUUGACCAAAGUGCGAGGAUGGUACACUUCGAAAAAGUCCGAAGGUGUUAAAAUGAUCAAAAGUGAGUUACAGAAGGUUUUCGAGAGCUAAAGAAUCAAAUUCUGCAAAACUGCAGGUUUUCAGCUCUCGGGGACCGGUCCUUGGUGGGAGAGACCGGUCCCCGAACGCGUGUAGAAUGAGACAGCCGAAAAAUCGGCUAAGUCCUGGAAGAUCAGCUCUCGAGAACCGGUCUCUGUCUGAGAGACCGGUCCCCCGGAGACCGGUCCCACCAGAGAGAGACCGGUCGCAUUGCGCGCAGCAGCUCUGGCUGCGCAGGGUGGACCUUCGGGAACCGGUCCCUGCUCGGGGAGACCGGUCUCUGCCUGCGAAAACUGCCCAGUCCAGGCAGUGCACAGAGAUAAAAGCUGAGGGGUUUAUUUGCAUUUUUGCAACCCAUGGGUUAUGUAGAGGGCUGAGAGAGCCUUUUCUCUCAUUCUCUCCCUCACACACACUCCCUUCUCUCCCUCUCUCUCUCUAGAAGACAAAGGAGAAGAAGAAGAAAGGAAGAAAAGAAGGAAAAGUAGGAGAAGAAAGUGAAGAAGAAGAUCAAGGAGCAAAGGGGCUUCAUCUUCUUCCUCUCUAGUGCAAGAAAGGAGAGCUUACAAGGUAAGCUUUGAACCCUAAUGUAGUAAAACCCUAGAAAUGGGUUUGAAUAAACCUAGAAAUGGAUUGUUUAGAGUUUUUGAAGCUUUCUCUUUGCUUCUUUAGAGAUCAAAACCUUGGUUUGCUAUAGAGGUGAGCUUGGACCACCUCUCAUGGUGAAAUCCAAACUAGGGUUUGGAAUGAGCUAGAAAUGGUUCUAAUGGACUAUUUAGAGUAUAAUGAAGCUACUUUUGCUUCCCAAUGAGAUCAAACCCUAGGUUUACACAUGCAAUGGAGCUAGGGCACCCAAAUUGGGGCUUUUGCUCAUGGGGAUUUUUAAGUGAAAUUGACCCUUCAAAAACCUAAUUUGGGGUAUUUCCGACGCGUUGGUGUGCUCGGAUUAACGUUACGAAAAGUCAAAGUAAAGUUAUGGGCAAAAUGGCCUAAUAAGGGUUCAUUUUGUCACAGGUAAAGAACGAAGCAUCUAAAAAUCCCAAGAAAAUCAUCGGAGCAUCUUUGAAAGCCUACGAGAUGGGUGGUGCUUCUCAAACUCAUUGAACUUCUCUCUAUGCCUAAUGUGUCAUUCAUUUGAGCAUAUAUAUAUAUUGUUGCAUGCAUGUUAGGGUAAAGUAAUGAUGAAAUAUAAUGAUGCAUGAUUGUGAGUACAACUUGCAUAAUAUGAUGAAUGAGAACCUUAUAAAUGUCAAAAACCCUAUGUAUGCAAGAGAGAAAAGUGAGCACCCAAAGUAAGCAAAAGAACAGAGUGACACUAUGACAUAGAUCGAGUGGCAUUUGAAAAUGUAAGGUAAAGAGACACUAGAGUUAGUGUGAUGCAAAGAACCAAAGUGAUGUAAAGAAUGAUGAAAAUGACAAUGUGUAAAGUAAAGUAAAGUGGGGCAAUAAGAACAAGUAUUGUAACGAACAAGAAUGCUAGAGUUAGCAAGAGUAAAGAAAUGUAAAGAAUGUAAUUGCAUGAGUUUGCAACAUAAAGUGAUGUAAAGAACACUAGAGCUAGUGUAAAGUCAAGAUUGAACUUAUAAUCCUUUGAGUUAAGGAUAUGAUCAUACUUGUUAUGAGUUCCGUGCUCGAGGGCGGUCGCUCCCCCUCGGGCGAUGCGCUCCGAAGUUAUGCAUCACGGGUUGGAGUAAACCCGAAGGACGGUCCUAGCGGGUGAGUUCCUGCGACGAUGGACUUAAUGUGAAGCAAGUUAAUGUGGCGAAACCCCCGGGUUAGCCUUGAGAUUAAAGAACAAAGAGUAAAGAACAAAGAACGAAGAACAAAGAGCAAAGAAUAAAGAACAAAGUACAAAGUAAAGUCAAAGAACGAAUGAGUUUGCAUAAUCUGCAUUUAUUUAAUGUUGAGCAUACUUCUUGCUUAUUGUUCAGGCAUAUUAGCAUCAUGUUAUAGAUUGGUUACUAUACAGCUUAUUCUUUCUACUAUGCCUGAGUUAGUCCUAGUGGGAAAGUCGGUGAUGUUGAGGCCGAACCCACUGGGAACUUUGUUGUAGUUCUCACCCCACUAUUUCCACAGAGCCGGGACCGAGUAAGCCGGCGAGCAACCGAGAUAAAGGUAUCGCGCCUUAGACAGAGGCCACCAGAGUUGAGUCGGGUUUGCAUUUUGAUAGUGGCUACCCUAUGUUCAUCUUUUGUAUAUGAUGACUAGUAAUGUAAAGAAAAGAAUGCAAUGUGUAUUUUGAGGUAAAUGUGAUGUAAGAAAGAAAUGAUGAAAUGAAAUGUAAGGGAUUCGAAAAUGAACAAGAUGAAUGCAAUGUAUAUGAUCAAAACGAAUCAUAGUACAAAUGAAUGUUUAGUUUUCCUUUCUUUCACUAAUGGCUAUUGCUUACCCUCGUGUAAGCCGUUUGUGUAUGUUUCCGCUAGUGCACUUCUUAUUGAAAAUGUACAUGUGAUGAGCCGUGGGCGAAUAGGGGAAACUCUGUCCGUUCGGCGUCUGUUUGACGUGCUCGGGUCGGGCCAAAUUGGCGUCGGUCCCGGGGCGUGACACAACAUAUAUUUGUGCCACAAUGAAAUCAUUCUUGAAGUGUUUUACAAAGAGAGUUCUAUCCGCUCCCCCUCGGUUAUAGCCCUUUUCCAAAAGAUAUUUUGUCAAGCGUUCGUACCAUACUCGCGGAGCCUGUUUUACUCCAUAAAGUGCCUUUUUCAGUCAAAAAACGUGAUUUGAAAAUUUUGAGUCUAUAAAACCUUUCGGUUGUUCAACAUAAACUUCCUCCUUUAAAAAUCCUACCAGGAUUGGUCACUAUCAUCUCGCAACCCAUGCGUCAUGCCACUACGAGCUGUCCGGGCCGUGUGCACAACCCACUGGCGUACCAUGAUCCGCUCCAACCAGAACUAGCAAUAGGAAAUGUGGACAUGUACUCGCGCUCUAUCAUCGGAUCUGCGGUGUCAACUCGGCGGAACAGUCCUCGAAUGCACCCGCAAACAUCGGACGUGCUCACCGGCGUUUUGCCGUCUGUCAUCGCGAAGACGCUUUAAAACUCUCUUCACACUAUCGCUUCCUCUGUGUCAAACUGCAAGUAGUCCUGAUGUUGCCCCUCUUAACUUUCCAUACAAGGAAUUCUUGCUUCAGCUAGCGACCUAGAUCAUUUCAUCUCAAACGUCUACCUCUCCAGUAAAGUCUUCAACUUUAGUUUCAUCUCAACCUAUGCGCUGGAAGCACAUUACACAUCAUCGACACUAGAGCCACACAAAUUUCUCGCACAAGACUCCUUAUCACGCUUUCUGAGAGUAUACGCAACUAUCACGUUUCGCUCUCUCGAAUAUCCGGUGACCUGUCAUAAAGAAGUCGAACACGCUCUCUAUCCACUGUCGGGAGACCUGCUAAGCCAUAUAAGCCGAUUUUCAUUUAACAGCGCAAAGCAUGGUCCUCCUUCCCUUCAACAAUGAAUUCCCUCCGGCUUGUUUCAUAGUAAAUUUGCUUUCUCUAUUCUUCCAUGCCAGAAAAGCUGUGCUUAACAUUCAAGCUGUCAAGAUACAGGUCUUUCAUGGCUACUGACGAUAAAAGAACUGCGAUAGAUGUAUGCUGUACGACGGGUGAGAAAAAUAUAUUAAAGGUCCACACCUUCUACCUGACUGUAGCCCUUAGCAAGCUAAACAAGCUUGAUACCUGUCUCUUCCCACGCCGGGGAUUCCGUCCUUUUUUCUUGAAGAUCCCACUUACACGACAAAUUUUCUUUGCCUUGCAGCGUUUGACGAACUCCCAUGUGUGCGAUUCUUAUGGAGAGGACUGCCAUCUCCUCAUUCAUCGGCCACCAACCCACUCUGCAGACACUGGCACCCGAUAAUUAAGCUUGAUUAUAUGUCGAGGUUUCACCUUGCUUCUGGCUGAUAUCUUUGUGCCACUGAAAGAGCGUACGCACCGAUUCUCAUCAACCGUAUUCUCUCGCGUGGUUAAUUCUUUCUUCCUCGCUCUGCCAUGUAGACAAUGCUCUGCCUCUCAACUUGUGAGUUUCAGUUACUGAAGUUGUCUGUCGACUGAACUUGUUCUGACUGAGAAGAAUCCUGUGACUGAACUAUACCAUCGGGUCUCUACCUCCACCUGCUUGCUAGCACUCGGGGUUUCAUCAGAUAGAAUUACCGGUUAGGAAUAACAUAGCCACAGAUUCAUUUCAAAUGUGACAUCCCUUACUAAUUUAAUUAAUUUAGACGAUUCAGGACACCACAAUCUUUUUCAUUUUUAUAUAUCCCUUAACCCCCGAUGAUAACAAAUACAAAAUACACUUUUUAGCCCUAGGUUCUAAUUGCCUUCAUUAACAUGAAUAUAAGUAGGACAACCAAAUAUUCGCAAUAUUACGAAUAAUCAGAAGGGCUACCAGAUCCAUUACCUCCUGCGGAUAGUUUUUGCAAUCAAGUAGCUGAAUGGGAGAUCCGAUUACAGCUAGAUAGCAUGCCGUUAGAGAUAGCCUCUGCCACAGAGAAACCUCGCAUAAGCAGCAUUAGAGGCUACAAACGGGCUCUCGUCCAAAAGAGUUUCUAUUCAUACGUUCGGGCCACCUCCGUUCUGGCUGCGUGAGUAUGCCUAAUGGUCUUAUGUCUAACAAUCACCUUCCUUCUUGCAAGAAUUCUUCAACUCGAACAGCCAAGAUUCCAAACCGCGUUGUCAAGGUCCUUAAUCUUUAAUUUUCUUUCAGUUUGCUUGCUCAGGUCAUAGACUUCCAACUGUUGAAUAAUGAACCAAGCACUCAUUCCGUUGACUUUUCAGAAAAACGCCCAGCACUCUACGGAAUAGUCGUCAAUAAAAGCAAUUUUAUAUGCUACACCACCAAUUGAUAGGAGUACGAGAAAUGGUUUCCCAAAGAUCAGAAUGGAAUGUAGUGCCAGAGUACCUUUUGUUCGGUGAACUGCGGCCUUAUAAGCUGACUCUCUUUUGAUUUGCUCAGAAACACAAUGCUCGCCAAAGUCCACUUUCUAAACUCUGACUACCAAGAUAAACCAAUCUCCUCGGCCCAACUUCAUCAUAUACCGAAUAGUCAUCAUAUGGCCAGUCGCAUAUGGCCUAAUUGGUCUACUCCGAAUCUGGACAUAAUGUUGAAAAAGUCGACCGCUGCGAACCUGUCACGAAUGUGAACCGCUGUAGAACAUAUAACAGUGUCGGACAAUUUGGCUUCAUUUCACUACAAGAUUCCCCUUUAGCGACUUCAUUAAUCCAUCAAGCUGAAGAAAUACUUUAAAGCGCUUUAGUUAUCAAGUGUACCCAAUGAGAUCAGAUUUCUCAUCAUAUCCGAAACAUUGCCGAAGUCUCAGAUAGUAGUCCUCACUACUUCCAUGAACAUUCGUCUCGAACACAGCCUGCCAAUUCGCAAUAAUGAUCCACUUUAAAGUGAUAUUCCAUCAAUACAUCUCCAUUCAAUAGGCAUGUACGCGAGAAACCAUUUCUAGAUGUGUACCAGAUAUGAAAAAACAGCGAGUCCAUAAGCCCACUCAUGCCUGUCUGCGUGUCUUAUCCUAACUGUAAAGACGAUCAAUCAUUUUAUUGGAUUCUCACUGCUGCAACACUUGCUUCUGCUUUCAGUAUUGCUCUGUGUUUUUCUAUGACCUUCGAUUCUUAUCUACGUUAUUCUUCCGCUCGCUUUAUUUUCACUUGAAACAAUCAGGCUUUUAUGUGACGCCUUCUUCUUACAACUAACGCAAAUUUAGAUUCCUCCUGCUUUGACUUAUUGAUCUAGAUGCUACGUCUAUUACGGAACCUUCUCUCCGGAGACCCCUCUAGCGACCCAACCUUGUCCUGAAGCUCCAACCUGUCCGUUCUUAUACAUGCAUGUCAAUUCUCGUUUGUUGAAAGUAAGAGGAUUUAACAUCAUCGAGACAAUAGAGUACAUCUCGUCCAAAACAAGAAGUCUCAACGUGAAAUUUUAUAAGGGCGGGUAGAGACAUAAUAAUAAAAGGGCUUUCAUCUUCCUCCUCGUUAUCAUCUAUCGACGCGAAUCCAUAUGAGUAGAAUUAAAUUCAUCUAAAUGCGACUUAAUAGAGGUACACUUCUGCCAUGCGCAAACAUGAAGAGACGUUGCUUUCAAAUAUAACUUGUUGGUGAAAGAUUUCGUCAUAUAGAGAGACCCAAUUUAAGCACAAGCCCUGGCAAGCGGUCUUUUCAUCCAAGACCUCGCGAAAUAACUCAUCGGAUAAACAUUAAUUGUAUGCUCAAUAGAGCUUUAUUCAUCAAUCUCCUCCUUCUGGUCUGCCGUUAAGGAAUGCGGUGGUAUUUCUUUUCCACAGUGCUUCUGGCAAUACUUGGCUGCCGUAAUAGCGCACGCACUCGUUGACUUUGCCUAAUGCCAAAGCUGUUGGUCCUGCAAAUUUGAAUCUGAACUUCGUCGUUCAUCUUAAUCCUCAAAAGGAAUAUAAAAGGCUCUAUACAGNNNNNNNNNNNNNNNNNNNNNNNNNACCAUUUAGAAACGCACUUUUAAAUCCAUUUGAAAAGAGUAGUGAUUUUAAAAUGGCCAGGCAAUCGAGAUCAAGAUACGAAUAGAUUUCAAGACGGGCAAACCGGAGCGAAGGUUUCAUCAAAGUCUAUUCCCUCAAUUUGUGAGUACCUGUCACGCCGGGUACCAGCGGAAGCAUAUCCGGUAGUGCACAGACCCGCCAUACACCUGUGCAGCAUAUAGGCAUCUACAAAGAGAGCAAGUCGAUAGGAAUAAACCAAAGAGAGUCCUAUCCCUGAUAUCAGAGCAAUGCACGAGUCAAUAUAUUAUCAGAAAGACAAAGGAAAUACAAUCCAAAUCUCGACAGAAGAGAAGUAUCACAACUGCAGUUCACGCCAAGUUGACAUAUACAUCACGAGUAUACAAAAAUAGGAUAGGUACAAUGGUGGUUUCUCUAUACAAAGGGACAUCACCUCGGGCGUGCUCCGAGUAGGCAAGGUGAUCGACUAGUAUUGCUCCUAGCAAAGUCUUCAGCUAGACGCGACUCCCUUGCCACGAUCCUAGCCUCUCCGUUGGCAGAUGGCUCUGCUAAAAACAACACCAAAAGGGCCGUGAAAAACUGAUUACGAUAGUUACAGUGGUAACCGCCACUCGGCGGAAUUACACCACUAGGCUCAUGAUCUGUACUGGAAGUAAGUAAAAGCAAUAAGUGCAUGAUGAUAAAAAUAUGCAGUGCUAACCGGUACAGGCAUGUAUUCAACUAUGAAACAUGAUUUCUGCGAUAAUGAAUCAACUGAAUAAAUAGAAGUAUACACAACUACUAUAACAUAAACAUAAACAUAAUCACAGAAGUGUAAUUAACUGUACACUAAUAAACUGUAUGCUCAUUCAUACUAUCCAUUAUCAUUAUUCACUUUCAUUUUAUUCAGCUAGACCACUCAGGUAGUCCAUUGCGCCGCGACCUAAUGUGGCCCGUUGGUAGUUAUCAUACUCCCACGGCAACCCACUCGGCACCCAGUCCGCACGGCGAUGCGGAACUGAUCGGUAGGCCAACUCCGGAGUGUCAGCUUUUGUAGGAGCUACCUCACCAAGCGGUGCGAAUGAGCAGAUGGCAAGGCAACGCAAAGUCCAUUGUCCACAAUGUCACAAUUUUCGAUAUUUUCAAUUGUAAGGUUCUUACCCUCGAAUCCUCUGAUCGCAAUUUCAUAUACACAAAUAGAUACAAGAGAGUGUAAUCACUAAUUGUAACAUGUAAGGGUAAGCUAAUCACAUGUCCAUGAUAAUCUUUCACUAGAUAUGGCAUAUUCAAAUAGUGAUGAGCAUGUCAAUAGUUCUCUACAAUGUAGAGUCAGAAGAAUGUCAUUUUCUCUUUACUUUAAAGUGCAGUCCCAACUUGUCUAAGUCAUUCAAACUUAUGAAUCGAAUAUAAAUACUUUCAUAGUAUAUAUGUCUCAUAUUUGAUAGAGAUUUCAUUCAACUUAAGCAAGCAAUGAGUAUGCACUCAAUGCACCCUAUCGAUUUUCUAUUAUAGAUACAUAUAAGAACAUAGGGGCGCUCAUUCUCUGGUUAGGUCCGACCACUAGUUUACUCAUUAACAAUCAGCACAGAAAUCACCAAGGAUCAGAUCCACUGUAGCGCAAUCCUGCUGAACAGAAGCAUACAUAUCGUAUCAAAAUAUACGAAGUCGCAAAGCUCAAUUUCGUGCGCAAUUACACUAGUACAUGUAAUAGCUGAAUCCCUGUUUUGGCUCAAUAAAUACCUCAAUGUUAGCUUCCAAAAUCCCCUCACGUAUAAGCGGAGGUAAACCGAGCGGUCCGUGUGCAAAGCCCGCUGGCGAACUAUUCCAAAACGGCAACAAAGUUCAGUCAAUGACUAGCAAUAUAUCGGAAUCAUGCGAUUCAGUUUUCUAACUGCAAAUCCAGCUUACCCUUAGUUCUGGAGUCCUUCCAAACUCGCCUCCCUGGUCCCCAAAUUACCCCCAGAGGACGUUCGAGAAAACUGCUCGAAAAAACAAGUCCAAACUACAUCAAUUCACUUUAUUAAUCCGCGUUAUAGCUUCGAAAAGUCGACUAAUUAUCUACAGCAGCUUUCAAACAAUUUUCUCUGAGCAUAAAGUAGGUUAAUACUCACAGAUCAAAAUAAAAUCCCUUUUACUGCAGUAAACAACCUCUAGCUUAGUUGGAAGGCCACGCGAAACGAAAACGGCGUCAAAAUCAUAUUACGAAACCAUAAAACUAGAGAGAGAUCGAGUUGAUACCUCUACAAGGCUGAGAUUCAGCUUCCGCCUGGCUAGUGAUACCACAGAAAAACAGCAAAACUCCUCUUUCCACGUGCUGGGAAAGCCUCCUUCAAUGUCGCCAAAUCAAGCGAACAACAAGCGCGGCCGAAAACGCAGGAAUCGGGGGCUUUAUCUCUAGAGAUGAGAAAAAAUCCUAAGACGAGAGAGACCUAGAAAAAUGAGAGAGAAGGUGCUCUGAGCCUCUAGCAACCGUCCACUGAGAACUCCAGAAGGUCGUCUGGCUUCAUAUGGUUGAGAUCAAGAUGUAAUAAAGACUAAAUGCCUUUGCUGCACGAAUGCCAGCUAUGCUACCGUGUACAAGGUGAACUGUCUUACCGGCUUAACAGCCAAGGCAGAAAGAAGCUGUAUUUCGCAGAUCCAAUAGCAAUAUGUCUGCACUUUUAGUCAUUCAAAUCCAUACCGUCUAACUUGUUCAAAACUUGCUCCACAGGAUCAUUUAGACAUGUAGAAUACCGGGUCCAACCCACUUUCAAUCCACACACUCGAACUCGCAAUUUGCGAAAGUCCAGUGUAUUCAUUUCACCCCUUCUAAAAAGAAGUUUCCGUCGCGAACUUGUAAGCCUAUUACCUCAAGAUUCUAAUCUCUCUCUUAUUUGUUAAAAUCGGAACGGCGAAAAAUAGAUCCAGAAAAUAAUUUAAUGCAAGAAAAGAAAAGAUAAGCGGAAAGAACACACCGAUAUUUACGUGGUUCGGCCAACGGCCUACGUCCACGGGCGAAGACGGAGCAAAUACUUUAUUAAUGUCGAAAAGGCGGAGUACAAAGAAGAUCUCUCUCUCAAAUUAAGAUCCCAAAUAAAGUAUUUGAUUGACGCGCAUAUGCAUUUAGCAUAUUCAAAUUAGCACGUCCGUACAAUGAGAUCCUUCGGCUCGGCUCACCAUAUACAAGGUACGGCACCUUCUUGACUUAAUUAAUUGAGCAUCAAUGAGUCUCCUUAGCCGAGCACCAAACAGCACCGAAACACCAACAUGAGCCAAAACGCUAAUUAAUUAGAGGAUUUCUUGGCAUUCCCUACCGGCUCCUCAAUGCUCUGCUCUAUAUAUAAUAUUUAUUAGAGCCUUAAUUGGAGUCGGAUUACCUUCAGAUUAAUUUGAGUCGGACUCAAAUUAAUAUUGCCGUGACCAAUAGUAAAUUGCCAGCUCAUUAUUUAUUCCGGAUCUUAAUUCUGAUCUAUUUCAAACUCCAUAUAUGCCAAAUUAUAUAAUCCCAAUUAGAUUAGGAUUUAACUCCAAUUUAGAUAACUACAAAUCUAAACCAAAUAUAACAAGAAUAAAUUGGCUGGUAAGAUUGAAAUUUUGACAUUUCAAAGGAAUACAGAAAAUCUGGAGAAAAAUAAAAGAGAGUACAAGUUCCUCAGUAUAUAGCAGUAAUGACAAAUAAUAUAUGAGAUAGCAUAAUUAUUUAAUUUUGUUAUAACUUCAAGAUAAACAGGUGGAAAUAUAAUGAAUGAAUGAUUCCUUCCGAAACAAAUUAUCUGUUUAUAAACUUGUUGAAUUAGUUAAAUACAUAUGUAGGGCAGUUGCCAAGUUUCUUAUGUCAUUGAUAAUUUAAAAAAUUAUUCAAUCUACCAAAAAUCUAUAAAUUAAUUAAUCACAAUUUCUCGACAAUCAACUGAAGAAAAUCGUUGCUAAUUAACGGUUACCUACAAUUACGAAUAGUCUCCGCACUACAGCUACUGCUAUAUUGUGAGAUGCAUGGUUCAUCUGCUUAAUUAGCAAAAGUCAGUAUAUAUUUUUAGAAGACUCAAAACGAACCAAAAUUAAGUUUAAACUAACAAGUUAAAAAUAUCUGUGCACAUUAUGCACAUUCCAAGAGGAAAAAAAAAAAUUGGAUAUGUGGGGCAUUACAUAUCGCAAAUAAUCAGGAAUUAAUAUUCUGUAUAACGCGAACCAAACGGCUCCUUAAUUAAUCGAAACGAAAGUAGCCUAUGUUACUUGUUGGAACCUAUAAGUUAUUGACCCGCACCAAGUGGGAUGACGCAAAACAGUGAAUAGGAGGAUAUAUAACAGCUUCCUCGAACCAUCAUCAUUAUUAAAUUGAUGAUGCGAAGCUCCUAAUAUAAGUAAGCGGAGGAACGCUAGCUUUAAAUAAUUAGAGUCCGACAAAAUUUGUAAAAAGUUAUAAAUGGGGGUGGGUCUCUCCAACUGCCAAAAAGCAACACGUUAUAAACAUGGAUAGCGAGAUUAAUUCAUUGUCGAGGAUAGGACAUGUAUAUACGCCAAACAAUUAAAGCAAAGCAGCCACCACCACCAUUACACAUUUUAUAAAUAUAUAAAUAUAAAUAAAAAUAUAAAUGUAGAUGCAUGCAUCAGAUCAGAUAUUAUUAUAUGGGACGUGGACGUACUAUUUUUCCAAAAAGUGUGGGCCCGACAAUUGACUUAUAUGGACAAGCAAAUCCAUCCCACCAUUGGCCCAAUUUUCUGGGGGGCCCACAAGAAGAGGCUAUAUAUGUCCUUUUCCUUUCAUUAAUUGAAGUUUGAUAGGGAUACUGUUCGGCCAGUUGGGCUACUUGUCCGUCUAAUUAUUUUGAGUGGGAGUUUAUCUAUUUGUUUAUUUAUUUUUUAUCUUGGUAACGCACACUAGCUAGGGUGUGGGGCUGGGUAAGUCGGGUCCGAUGGUCGGGUCGAGUUCAGGCCCAAAUUAAUAUUCUUUAAAUACACUAUUAUAUUAGUUGAUCUCAGAUUACAUGCAGUUGGACUUUUGACAAAAUCAUGACUGUGUUCAUAUUUUUAUUCAGAUUCGAAUAAUAUCGAAUUCUAAAUUUUUGUUACCAUUUAGGGCCCGUUUGGCCUAGCUUUUGGAAAAGUGAUUUCUGCAGAAGUGAUUUUAGUUUGAAAAAGUGAUUUAUGUUAAAAGCUGUAGAGCGUUUGGCUGAGUCUGAUAGAAAAAUGAUUGUGCUGAAGUAAUUUUAGAAAGUUGUUUAGCAAAUUUUUUUGCUGAAGUGAUUUUGUAAUGCUAUUUAACAUUAGUAGAUGUUAUUAUUAUAUGCAAAAGAAGCUAUUUGCUCUAAAUAUUCCUCUUUUCCAUAAGCAGGAUACAUAUAUUACAAGUACUACAAAAAUCCACCGAGUCACAUUUGCUAAUCCGACGUUAAAUAAUCAAAAUUUAUUAACCAUAUUUUACUCUUAAUCGUUCCCCUCAUAAACCUCCAGGUGCUAAAAUAAUACAAGAGGCCGAUUCUCUUCUUCAAUCACUACACGCCAGAAUUGUAACAUCCCCUUACACAUUUGGAGGGACAAUCACCUCUACUUAAGUACCCAUAGUGUGAUAUUAUUCAAUGCAUAAGUAAUUGGCUCUUUAUGUCCUUAGGUAGUGAUGGACUCCUUGUACACAGGGAACUCGAGAAGAGUUCAUCUUUGCAUCAUUUCGACUAAUUUCGGCGAAGCCGAAGCUCGUCGGCGCAGAUCCGGCCAAGCCGGCGGGAUCCGUCUUUGCCGGAUCACGCCGGCGCGGAUCUCGGGCCAGAUCUGGUGCCGGGCGCGGAUCUGGGGCCGGAUCUAGUGCCGGGCGCAGAUUAGAGAGAGAAAUCAAGAGAGGGAGGGAGAUAAAUCUGUAUGAAAAAAAAAAACAUUCUCCUUUAAAAAAAAAGGGAGUAUUUUGGAGAUUCGCUGGAAAAAAAACUUGUCGGAGACUCGCCGGAGAAAAAACUCGCUGGUAGAAAAGACGUCGCCGGAGAGGAAAAUGGGAGAGAGAUGAAGAAGAGAGGAGAUGAGAGUGAUUAGAUGAAGAAGAGAGGAGAGGAGUGUUUUUUUUUUUUUUUCUUUUGAGAGUAGGUGGCUGUGAGUAAUGGGAAAGAGUAAUGGGAGAGAUAGUAUUAUAAUUAUAAAAAGACAUGAAAGAAUUGUGUUGAUUGUUUAAGGGUAAUUCCGGUAUUUUCUUAAAAAAAUUUAAGUGGGUUUCAGCUUGUGCGGGAAUCUGUUUUGAAAAGUAAGUUUUUUUUAGCUUCUGCUUUUGGGAGUUGAAGAAUCAAUUUUCAGCUUUUAGAAAGCAGAAUCAGAUUUUUAAAAUACCUCUACCAAAACACUCUAUUGGGCCUAAAAGUGAUUUUCAGCUGAAAAUCACUUUCAAAUAGCUUGGCCAAACAGGGCCUUAUUCGGACUCGGAUAUGAUUUAGAUUUGUGUAUAUAAAUAUUAUUCAGAUAAUAAUAUAUAAUAAUACGCAUAUAUAAAUAUAAACUGAAUUAGCAUGAAUAAAAUACGAUACAACUAUAUAUGGUUCUACACUCGUGCUCAAAUAUCAAUCAUACUAGUUAAGCGCCCCGCGCGAUGCGGCGGGCGCGAUGCAACGAAAAGACAAUACAACAGUAAAUUAUUAUAACUAUUAACAUCACUUUUUUUUUCCUAUUAUGCAUUAAUAUUUUUAAAUAUUAAUGCUUCUAAUCGGUAAGGGUUACCGAUUAAUAAGUUCGAUGCGGCGGAAAGAUAAAAUACAAUAGUAAAUUAUUAUAGCGAUUAAUAUCACUUUAAAAUAAAAUUUUAAUUUUGAAUGCAAAUUCAAAGAUCAAAAUCAAAACAAAAAAAUUAAAAUUUGAAAUCAAAAUUUACAAAAUUUAAGUUUGAAAUCAAAAUUUUAAAAAUUUAAGUUUGAAAUCAAAAUUUAGAUUUAAUUUAAAAUUCAAUUUAAAUUUUGAAUUCAAAUUAUAAUUCAAAAUUCUAAUUACUAAUUAGUUCAAAAUUUUAAUUUUANGAAAUUGAAGGAUGUUAUAUAUGAACUUGAAAUUUUAGAUAAUUUUAUUUUUGUCAAAAAAAAUUGUGUAUACCUAAGUUGCGUGUAAUAUACUAAUAAUAUAUAGCUAAGAUGUGCAUGUAUCAAGACAUUCAUUUGAAAUUUCACAUUAUUUAUAUCAAAAUUAGCAUGAAUAAUUCUUUAAAAAAUUGUGUGGGCCCCACAAACCUUCAAAAUAAGGAGAGGCCUUCAUUAGGAUUAUCGAUUCAUAUAUAUAUGUUUUGAGAACUAAAGUGAAAAGCAUAUAAAAUUUAGGGAUCAAAAUUAGCAUGAAAAAAAAGGUUAAAUAUGCGAUGACAUGAUAAUUUCGAUAAUUAUAAAAUAUUUUUUAACGGUUGCUAUUUUAUCACGAUGAAAUUAAGAGAUUUGAAAACUUAAUUGUAAAAAAGAAAAUUGGAACCAAAAUAAAACGGUGGAAAAUUUGGGCAUCACUAUGUAAUUAAUCCUAAAAAAAUCUCAAAAAAAUCCCAUAAUAAGGGGAGGCAUUCAUUCUUUAAGUUCCAAAUUAGAUAAAAUUUUAAUUUGGUUAUCUAUAGUAAAAAUAAUAAAAAAUUGUUGUAGAAAAAAAAUAAAAAAAAAAUAUUGAGAGAGGAAAAAUAAAAAAAUGUAAGAGAGAGAGAGAGAGAGAGAGAGAGAGAGUGUGUGUGUGAGUGAGAGAAAAAAAAAAAAAAAAAAGUGGGACCCACCAAAGCUUCCCGCCAAAUAUGGGAAAAAUUCUAGAAUGCAACGGGUAUAUUGGUGACGUGGCAUAACAAACCAAUCAAAUGUAUCCUUUUAGGGAUAUAUGUUCUAUCAUGAUUGUAAAAAAAAUAUUUUUAUUGUACUUUUGUUUGAAAAGAAGAAAUAUGAUUAGCUUGUUAUUAAUGACGUGGUGCAAGCGUGACAGUGUAGAAUUCCUCCAAACGCGGGGAGGCUUUGGUGGGUUCCAAAUUCACAAUAUAAUAAAUGCCUACAUUCUAUUCAAUAAAAUUUAAUAUUUUACAAACAUAAAUGUAAUUUUAACGUAAAACUUCUAGUAAAAUAAAUAAAGAAUAUAAGAAAAAACCAUGUAUCUUAUCUCCCUAUAAUAUAUAUCAAUAUCUUUCUUUAUCAUAUCUAUAAUAUCCGCACUUUUUUCAUAUGUGAAUUAGAAUACAUUCAUGUGUAUAGGAUGCUAAAUUUUGAUAUCUAUAUUUGUGUCUUAUCGAAUUCAGUAUCGACUUGAAACGGAUUUUAUCCUAUCUGCUUUUAUUCCGAUGGCUAAUAUGCCCGAAUGGAGGAGACUUAAAUUAACUUUGCAUAUAUCUUGUGCAAUUUCCAUUAUUCCAUUUCAUCGAUCUUUUCGGUAUGGAGCUCCUUAUUUUUGUUUUAAAAUAGUAAUUUUUCUACCCUAGGACUCUCAUUUUACGGAACUUGUGAAACUUAAUUUUGUCGUGCGCCUUCUAAUAUUCUUUUCUGUAUUGUGCCCUGGCCAAUUCGGUUGUUAUAAGAGAGAUGGGCUAUAGAUGACGCACACCCGACCCACGUGGGUAUAGAUCAUCCAAAUGUUUACAUUGAUAGGAAAUUAACCUAACAACAUGCAUGACCUAUAUAAAUUUAAUUUUAGGGAUAAUUGCUUAUAUACCCCUCGUAUGUUUGAAAAUAUCCGAUUUAUUCCUACUUUUUUUUUUCUUUCUAAAAUAUCCCUCAUAUAUUCCACCCUUAUUGCAAAAUACCCCUGCAGUUAUCUCCUGUUAAGUUAAUUUAGGUUAAACGUGAGUUAAACAUCUACCACAGUUUAAAAAAAAAUAAAAUGCCAAUUUUGCUCUUAACUUAAGGGCAAAUAAAAAAUAUUGAUGACGGUAGAAGGGUAUAUUGGAAAAGACCAAAAGUCAAAAUACUUUUUAUGUCCCUGGCUUUAAGGGUAAAUAAGAAAGUCAGUGAUGGUAGAAGGGUAUAAUUGAAAGGGCAAAAUAGUAAUUUUAGAGAGAUAACAGAGUUCAUUAACACAUUUUAAUUCUAAGGGUAUAUUAGAAAUAGGUUGGAUUGUAGAAAUGACAUUUUCAAUAUUAGCCUUCUAAGAGGGGUAAAUUGAAAAGUCGAAAAAUUUUCAGGGUAUAUAAGCAAUUGCCUCUUAAUUUUAUAUAACCCACAUGAGCUACACCGACCGUCCCUAGAGCAGGUGGCAAAGGGUUUGAUGGUUGGUACCCGAUACCCAAGUUUGAAUCUUAGUUGAUUCACAUUUCCAGCUAAGUUUAUUUUUAAAUGAAAUAAACAAAGCGGGUAGCGUGCUACCUAUCUCUAAAAAAAAAAAAAAAAAAAAAAAAAAAAAAAAAAAAAAAAAAAAGGGCCGCUUGAGCCACUUUCGGAAAUGAAGCACGCACCCCAUGCCUUUUCCAGAUAAAGAAAUAGAAGCAAAAAAGUUGUCAAGAAGGGCAUAAUUAAUUUGUGCAGGUUGCAUCUCAAUAUAUAUAUAUAUAUAUAUAUAUAUAUAUAUCAACCGCACCAGGAAAUUAACUGGAUUAGAUGUAAAUAUAAUUAGGGAAAAUUUCAUAGGUACCUAUAGGAGACUGAAAUUUCAUCAAUAAUCCUCUCUAAAAUUGAAAAUAUUAUGAAUGCCCUUCUAAAUUCAAAAAAUACUCAUGAAUGCCCCUACAGGUAAUGUGCCGUCAAAAUCUAACCGAACAAAUUAUAUAUGUCAUUUCUAUCCUUGUACGGUUUAUUAAAUAUAGGAAGUCGUAAUUGGUAUAUUAAUACUAUUCACAAAUGUCCUCUUAUUCUCUCCACAUAGCAACGAGCCCACUAAAUAGUUUAUAUUUUACAACACCUCAUAAUCCAACUUCUAAUUGUGAUUGUGGUAAACCGUGCCGAAUUUAAAUGUCAAAAUAACCACAUAGUAAAGGUCCGAUAUCCAAAUUUGAGAGUAAGUUGAUGUGAUGCUUUAGCGUGCAUAUAAUUAUGAAUUAAAUUUUAAAUAUUUAAUGCUAUAUAUUUUCUAUUGAUUGAGGAAUAAAGAUGGUACAACUACUUUGCUUGGGUAGAUAAUUUUUCAACACAGCACAAUUAACUUUAAGUAUCAAAUACAAAUGCUAAAAAAUAGUAUAGGUUGAAGAAUUACGAAGUUGGAGAAGAAAAUCCUACUGUGUACUUUAUAUACUAGUUGCUAAAAUUUUUUAGCUUAGCAUUAAUUAGUUAUUUCCUGCCAAAUAUAUCAUUCUAACUUUUGGGGAGAAGUUUGUCAUUUUAUAUUUUAACUCUCAUUUAACUACAUUUUAACCCGGGUAGAGUGACGUGUCCUUAACGGUAAGGGUACACUACUACAGAUACAAGAUUUAGUGGCGACAAAUGUCGCCACCAUAGCCAAUAUUGUCGCCACGGAAAACGUUUUGGCGGCGACAAUCUGUCGCCGCAUGCCGCCGCCUAAAACCCCGUCGGUAAAACAAUUUGGUGGCGACAAUGUGUCGCCGCUAAAAGUUAGAUAAUUAGCGGCGACAUACNCGAAGACCCUUUUUCAGGGUAUCAUAUGCCUAUUUAUAGAACCGCCUUUGCGUCAGUUAUUGCUCUUGCACGAUCAGCCACUACCUCCUGAUUCGUAGGACCACCUUCGGCCGAUCGGAACCGCUCGUAACUGCUUGCGGUUGUUAUAACUCCUCGGUCCAGUGCGGCUCGUAUGCGUCCGGUGUACUCUAGGUCUACCGUUUUAGCCGUCUUUCGAAUAUGGACCCGGCGUGCCAGCUGUUCGCACCUAACUGGCUCAACAAUUGCCCCCUCGCCAGUUUUCGAAGCGAUGCUUCGGUAGCUGGCGUUACCUUUUUCGUCGCAAACAAUUUUCUGUUGCCGAAAGCGGGCUUGAUCCGAGGUGUAUUUCUCAGUCUAAUCAAAUUCAAAUUCUCUGACGUAUUCUGCACUACGAUCUUCUGUACGGUUUAAUCUAAACCAUUUAUUCUCUUCUUCACGGCCCUAAUCGCAUUCUCUACUUUUGCCUCAUGUGCGGCAUUAAUUAACUCAUCUUAAUUGCCGCUGUCUAUUCAUCAUUACAGCUGACCUUGGGACUCGUAAUCGAAGCGACAGUUCGAUACGACGGCCUUUUCUUCUUCCUCAAGCUUCCCAUUCUUUUUGUCUCUUCUAAUUUUCUUUUCCUCAUAUCUUUCACUAGAACCUCUUCUUUGUCUCCUUCAUCCUUCUUCGCUUUUCGUAACCGAUUCUCUCGGCUCUUCUCUUCUAUUGAACAAUGUCUUUGGUUCCUCCUCUUCCUUCUCAUCCAUCUCUUGACUAUACUAUACUCAAACUUUUCGUCGAUUUAGAUCCAUCUAGAUUCAUACUAGGUCCUUCUCUUGUAGAUGCACCAUCUCCUACUGACUCCUGUUUCUCUGAUGAGGGACUUCCUUUGAAAAGGAUUAUUCAUCUCCAUUCUUGGUACUCAUCAGCUUCAACAGGAAAGAGUCUCAGAACCUGGCCAAGUAUUUCCGAAGCAUAUUUGGCCUGGUUAGAUAGAGUAGAAUCCGUUUUUGGCGCCUUCUGGCGGAAAAUCGGCAUUUAUGAAGCAAUUCAAUUAUCUCGGCACCCUUCUAUAGCCGAUAAUCUUCUUCUAGCCGCUGCUCUUUGUUUCUGAUCCCCUGUUUCUAAUAUUUUUCUUUUCAAAAGGGGGCCUCUUACCCUCACUCCUUUUGAUGUGGCAGCCAUUGUUGGCUUACGCCCUCAUGACAUUACUCUCUCUAUAGCCUACAAUCCUGACGGUGUGUCUGAUUUUGAGGCACACCUUGAUCUAAAUAAUUUGGCUUACUCUAAAUUUCUUUGAAAAUUUGCAGGUGAAUCCCCUGCCCCGGUCACCAGGAAGGAACACACAGCAUUCCUUCUAUACUGGUUAUGCGACAAUCUUUUCUGCACUCGUUCGCAGAAAAUUAACCGAGAUUUUGUUCCGAUCGCCGUUGGUUUAUCUAACGGCGAUAAAUUGGCCUUGGGGUCAUAUUUCCUUGCUUUCGUUUACAGAGAAGUUUUUGAUUCUAUUAAACCACUACCUUCCGGUGAUGGCAUUGCCAUCAGCUCUGGAUGUGGCGUUUUUUGGUUUCUGCAAAUGUUUCUUCAAUUCUAUAUUCCUGCUUUAUGCCAAUCCCCUUUCAAUCCGAUUUCAGCUACCCAAUUUGAUUCUUAUGGGCUAGCUCUCAGCUGUCCGCAGCCGAUGACCUCUGGUCAACCCUCUGAUUUUCUUACUUAUUUCAAGGCUUUUUACGAGCCAGCCUCUGAUUCGGCUAUUUCUUGGGCUCCAUUUAUUGAUCGUCUCACCGGCCCCUCUUGGUUUCUGGCUCGGUUUGAAACCAUUCAAGGCGAGCUAUCUUCUUCUCGCACCGGUGAACAUUCAGAUGUAUGGUAUUCGUAUCUAGCCCCUCGGGACCUUCAUGUGGGGCUUAAAUCACGUUCGAAACUACUACCGAGUACUGAGGUUUAUUCUCCUCAGUAUGUGGCACGGAAAUUUGCAUUUGUUCGGCCGAUCCCGGCCCCUUCUAAAUUUUUUACGGCCAACACAGCCGAUCAUCGUCCUUCCACCAAGAGCAUAUUUGAAGCUGACAAGCUUUCGGCUAUGGGGAAUCGUAUCAGACGCUUCUUCCAGCUAGCAAGCUUCCGUCCGAACUAUACAGGGGUAGCCCUCGCCGGCUAUGCUACCAUGUGGGAUCAAUUUACCGACCGCUCCUAUGAUCUUUCUCUGCCUCGAGCACUCCGUAAAACCAUCCAUCCAUUUGGUCAGUCAUCUAAUAUUUGUUUAUAAUUUCCUUCCAAUAUGGCUGUAACUUAUCUUUUAUUUUAUACACAGCCACCAUUUCGAGCAGAGAUUCUCCAACCGAGAUUGAGUCUCCACCAGACACUAUUUCUGAUGCCUCGCCUUCUUCCUCGGUAAAAUAUCAUUUCUCCACUCAUCUUAAUCAUAAUUUUUUCUUUGUUCAUCAUUUUUGUUUGUUUCUGUUUUCAGUCGAUUCCUGCUUCUCCAUCGGUCUCAGCUUCGAAAAAAAGACCGAUUGAAGUUGUUCAAGUCACUUCCCCGUCGUCUUCCAAACGGCGUAAGUCAGUGGUUAAAAGAAAAUUCCAACAAGCCGAAAGUACCCCUUCGGCUGAUACCACUAAAGACAGAGCCGAGGAUAUUCCUUCGGCUGACAUUCCAUCCAAAGAAGCUACUACACCCUCUUUGGCUACCUCUGUUCCAACCGAAAUGAUUGAUGUCGGGGUAAGCCAAAUUAAUUGGUUGUACGAAAAGAACAUUUCUUAAUUAUUUAUUACUUUCUUUUAAACUACAGUCUUCUCCUGAACGAGCCCCUUUUGCUCAUUAUUCGAAGAUGCAGAUGGAACGGCAGCUUCGCAGGGAAGCCCGUCUCGAGAAAAAGAGAGGGAUGGAAAAGAAGAAGAAAUCUGUUGAAACAGCGGGCACGACGCCGUUACCCAGUGAGGUUGCAUCACCUCUUUCUGCUCCUGCCCCGACAUCAACUACAGGGGAUGAACAGAUAAACAUACAUCUCGGGCGAACUUCCGAAGACACCAGCACUAUUCCUCCCCGCUCGCCCCAGGGAGCUGCUUCCCCUAUUGCUGAUGAUCCUUUAUCUGCGAUUCUUCAUUCUUUUUUGAUUUCAAGCCCCAGCUCCAAUGAAAGGGAUGAUUCUUCGACCAUUACCAUUUCAUCAGACACCCAGAAUAAGUUCGAUGAAUGCCUUAAAAUGUAUAGCAUUGGUAUUCCUGGUCUAGCUCAGAAUCCAGAACAAUUUAAUCGGCUAUAUGCCUUUUUACUUGAUUUGGCCGAUCAAUCAGAUAUUACUCCCGGCGUAAAAUAUUUUGUAGCAACCUUAUCACUUCAACUUUCAUCUUUUUUGGCUCGGCAGCGAUCUUUGGGCACCGAACUUGUAGCUUUAGAUCAACAUUUUCAUCGUGUUGAUCAUUUUAAAAAGAAUAUCCCUAAUAUAGCAGCUCCGCCUACUGAAGUGCAUCAAGAGGAUAAGGAAUUGGCUGAUCAAGAAUCGGCUCUACAACAACGGAUUUCUACUCUUAAAGAAGAGUUAGCCGCAGCCGAAUCUACUCUCGCAUAAACCUCUGAGCGCCGACUUCAACUAAAAGAUCUACUGAAGUCCAGAAAGGAAGAAGGGAUAAGGCUUAAAGAGGAGCUUUCUCAACUUUACAAAGUCCAUCAUUUGAUGAAGCACCGAAGGAAAGCUGCUGAGACCGCCCAAGCCAAUCUCAUAGCCAAAUGGAAUCAACUCAAAGGCUUAUUGUCCUGAUUCGGCUUGUAAUUUUCUAACUCUGAUUUUAAUUAUUCUCCCACAUGGAUGGGUAAUAUCUCUUUAAAUAUUUUUCGUUGAUUGAUUUUUCAUUUUCUGACCCAUCUUUGCUUUGUAAAUAAUAUGCGUUUCCUCUUGUGAUUCGGCUAAUCUGAAAUGGUCCUUCCCAAUUUGGGGACCAUUUUUCAUACAUUCGAUCUUUUUGACCGAUUGGAAAAAUCAGCCGAAGUACUAAAUCACCGACGACAAAUGUCUUUGAUCGAACUUUCUUAUUGUAUGCGCUACGCACUCGGCUUUGGUANGAGGGAAGUCUUGGCGCGCUUCAUAAGGAUAUAUAGCGGCGACACAUUGUCGCCGCUAUAUUUUCCGUUUUAGUGGCGACACCUAUAUGUCGCCACCAUUUUCUAUGUAAUGGCGGCGACUGAUAAAUAUCGCCACCAUUUUUUAUGUAUUGGCGGCGACAAAUAAUUGUCGCCACCAUUUUUUAUGCAAUGGCGGCGACAAAUAAAUGUCGCCACCAUUUUCUAUGCAAUGGCGGCGACAAAUAAUUGUCGUCGCCAUUUUCUAUGUAUUGGCGGCGACAAUGCCUAUCGCCACAAAAAAGUCGCCACUAAAACCUACUUUUGUUGUAGUGGUAGUUAUGAUAAUUUUAUUUUUUUGAAGAGGUAUUUAUGAUAUUUUAAAGUUUAGAGGAGUAUUCACGAAAUUUACAAGUUUGAUAAUAUUACUGAUGAAAUUGCCCUUUUCUUUAUAACAAUAAUUGCAUAUAAUUUAGGAUAAACUUCAAAUACCAAUAUCCUGUAGUUUCGCACUUUUUCACUUUUUUAUUAUGUAGUUUAAAAAGGAUCACUUUAGUACCCUAUGGUUUUACUUUUCUUCUUUCGUCAGCACUUUCAUUAACUCUCCAUUAAAUUAUAUACAAAAAACUUCAGAUAUCCCACCUACGGUUUAUUGAAUAGUCACUUUAUUAUCCUGUGAUUUACUAAAUUUAAUAGGAAAAUUAAUGAAGGGAUAACGGAAAGAAAAAUUUAUUAAAUUUAUUAAAAUUAAUAAUGAAAUGAAUAUAAAAACUCAAAUAAAAAAAUAGAGGUUAAAGGGGUGUCAACAAAAAAAAUUUAAAGCUGAUGAGCCUAUAUCAAAAUCGUUUAUAAUUGAGGGGGUCUCCAUACAAUUUACCUAUUGAAAUUAAAUAAUUUUAGUUAUUUUAUCUGAAAAAUUGUGUUAAAUUUAAUAAAUUUCCCUUUUUUUUACACUACAUCUCUUAAUUUUUUAAAAUUAAAAGUCAAGGAGUCUUAAUAAAAAAAUUGCAUAGUUAAAUAAAUUAUUUCAAAAUAGCAUAUAGUUGAGGGAUCUCCGUACAUUUCUCAAGCAGUAUCAAGUAAUUAGGGGUAAAUUCGCCAUUUCAUUACUUAACCCCUUAUAAAUUAGGGUAAAAUGACGGUAUUUUAACCGUAGGAGUAUUUAUGAUAAUUUUUUAUGUUUUAAGGGAUAUGUAUGAUGUUUUAAUUUUUGUAGAAGUAUCUACGAAAGUUAUAAAUUUUAGAAGGGUACCAGUGAAAUUGCCCCAUAUAGUUAUUUCAUCUUGUACAAUUGUAUGGCAUAAUCGAGUGUAGGUUUCUAUGUGUACAAGUUGAAACAUUGAGAUCCAGUUUGAUACAUAAAAAAAAAAAAAAAAAAAAGAAAAAAAAAAGAGGAUGUCAAAUAAAUAAAAAAAAGAUUAAAAUAUAUAGACAUUCCUCACACUUUAACCCAUUUUGUAAAUUAUCUCCUAAUUUGUUUUAUUUGAUUUGUACCCGUUCUACUUAGUAAUUAUUUAAUUUAUACUCGAUCUUCUUACUAACUAUUUGAUAUACCUCAUUUAAGAAAUUUUGGAGAUUUUAUAAGCAUCAAAAUAUGUGCCCAUGUGAGAUAUACGCGUGAUCAAGAAUCAUUUUAAUUAGUCAAAAAUUAGAUCACAUUGAUAUCUCAGUGAAUAUUUAAUUCUAACAAAAUUUUCAAGAUCACUAAUGAAAUGAAGUUCAGAAGGUAGAAAUAAAAUUUAAUAAAAAAAGUUCAGAAGGUAAAUUUCAAAACAUCAGGAAAUAUCUGUACAUGUCAACCAAAAAGAAACUUUGCAAAACUUCAAGUAAAUAAAGGGUUAAAAAAGGGUAUACAAAUUAGAUUACGUAUGCAAAUGUAGAAAAGAUAUGGUGAAGUGAAACACCAUCAUCCACCGUCACAUAGAUAGGUUUUUCUUUCUCCAAAAUUAAGUACCAAAAUAUCCCAACCAAUGAGCUACACUUUCUUGGCCACUUUCCUUUGCAACAACAUAAAUAUCACGCACCCAUCGUAAUUAUAAGUUAGCAUCCAUUUGGCACGCAAUAUCCCAGAAAAAUAAAAAUAAUAUAUAAUAACAUAUUGUCAAUCUCAUUAAACUACGCUUGAUGGUGAUUUUAUCCGCAAACUUUAAUUUAUCCCCCGAAGAAUUAAUAUUCGGCACUAAUAAUCUCUGACAUUAACACCAUGGAUGCGGAUUCAUAAAAAUAUAAAAAAUAAAAAAUAAAAAAUAAAAAAUGGAUGGUGGCCUGACGCCACCCAAUAAUUAAUUUAGAGAGCCACCCAAUAAUUAAUUUAGAGAGCGGACCACUGUAAGCGACGACAAAAAAACUAGCUAAUCUUGGGUGCAGUCACCACUCAUUAUCCCAAAAAUUGAUCAUAUAUAUAUAUAUAAUUGAGCUCCUAUACUUUUGAAAGUACCAAGACAUUGGUGCUUGUAAGUUUUUAGCCUUUAGAUUAAAAAAUAUGUGGUUAGGAUGAUGUGGAUCCCCUAGGGUUGAGUGGGUGGUUGGUUGAAUAAUAUAAUCUAACGGGUGUAAAUGAUCAACAGUGCUGAUCUAACGGUUAAAAACCUAUAAGCACAAAGUGAUUGGUGCUUGUAAAGCUUUUACAAGCACCAUAGCCGAACUCUAUAUAUAUAUAUAUAUAUAUAUAUAUAUAUAUAUAUAUAUAUAUAUAUAUAUAUACACAUGCUAAGGUUCAAAUUACACACUUCUAAGUUUUAUACUUCUUAUAUUAAUUAAAGGCUAAAUUACAUAAAAUCUUUCUGUCAAAAUUCGAUUUUUUACUUUCCCCCAUGUCAUUUAAAACCUACAGUUUGUUCUCUUGUAAAAUAAAAAAUGUUCACAAGGAGGUACAGUAAGAAAUGUGAUGACAAAAUAAUCAAUUUGCCUCUCACCAUUUUCAUCUCCUCCCUCAUCUUGCUCAUCCGCCGCCUCGAUCGGCCACGGUUCGCGCCUCAAUUGGCAAGGAUUCCUCUCCAUUUUCUUCUCCACCUUCUCCCUUUCUCCUCCUGCACCCUCGGCGCCUCUCCAUUUUGAUGACAGUAGUGAGGAAAUCGAAAUAAGCGUGGAUGAAAAGGUAGGCAAAGGUAACAAGGAUGAAGGCAAGACGGCGGAGAAGGGCGAGAGGGUGUUUGUGGGCGCGGACGGAGACGUGGGCGAGGGCGAGGCAGUGAAGGAGGGCUAGGCGGCGAGGCGGAUGAGGGCGAAACACAGUAGAGGGCGGAGGGUAUUUUUGGCAUAAAAAAUAUUUUAUAACGGAACCCUAAUGGUCACUGACGGUAGGGGGUGAAGUGAACGUUUUUUAUUUUACAAGGGGCAAAGUAUAGGUUUUUAAAUAACAUGGAGGGAAAGUGAAAAAUCGGAUUUUGACGGAUGGGUUUUCUGUAAUUUAGCCUAAAUUAAAAUCUAAUGUUUUAGAAUAAAGAUCUAAAUGUUGAAAUUAUUGUACAAUGUAAAAAGGUCGUACAAGCCAAAUUUUAUAAUUUCUAAAAUAUUAUAUCUCGGGUUUUCAAUAUGGCCAAUUUGCAUAAACAAUUUAUUAGUUUUCAGCUUUUGCAAAAGUAUGCCGUCUUUUAAAAUUUUGUAGAUUCGAGACGGAUUUUUAGAAAACUGACCAAAAUAACUUUAUUUUCUUUUCUCUCUCUUUUUUUCUUUCCUUUUUUAUUUUCUUUCACUCCGAAGAGGGAGGCAGAGGCACAGGCGGAGGCGGAGGUGGAGGCGGNCGUGUCAUCACCCUCACCCUCACCCAUGCCCGCGUACCCUCCCUCCGCCUUCCUCGCCUCCGACCCUGCUGAGGCCGCACCUCGACCCUCUUUUUCUUUUCUCUCCAACCCUCUUCCACCGCCUCCCCGGCUCUUUACAACAGUAAAUAGGGCAGCGUCACGUCCUUUUCCUCUCUUUUUUUUUCUUUCAUUUUUUUCCUCCUCUACCACCUCCGUGACCCUCCACGACAGUAACGAGAACAGCGCUGCAUCCUCUUUCUCUGCCUUUGCCAACGCAGUUAUCGACGCCGGUGCCGGAGAAGGAGGACUCGGAGCAAGUGCGGGUGAAAGUGGAGCCGAGAAAAAAAUACAGAAAACAAAAAUAAUAAAAACUCAAGUAUACAUAAAGCGCCCACUGUACAUACAAUAUCCAAAGCACAACCUCGAUCCAGAGAGUACAACAAAACACAACUGCAUGUACAUGGUAACGUCCCAAAACUACCUCUGAAGGGGGUACUCCUCUAGCCCAGUGACCAAGGAAGGUAGGGAUUUAGCUCGCGACUCACUUACCACAGUCAGAAUCAAUAACAGCAGCAAUAACAGACAAAAACUCUGCAAAAAUAUGGCAACAACAGGGUAUGAGAACUACUGCAAAAUAGAGUAGCCCUCAAUGGGUACCGUCACCGAUCUUAACGGCCUACCCACUAAGUCUACAGUACAAGCAUGCAAAGGAUAGUAAAAUAAGCUGAAAAACUCUACAGUUAUAUGCCACUAGACUACUGCUAUCCAAACCAUAUUCUCUGUAGACCUAGAAAUGCAUCACUAGCUACAACUCUAUCACACUAACCUAAUCUCAACGGACUGCCAACUGGUCAGUCCAGUUUGUACCCAAGCUACACCGCACACCACCCACGGGGGUGGCCGGUCCAAGAAGAUUGUCCAAAUAGGACUGCUAUGACAUCAACGCAAGUAAAGCCUCACUUCGGAGAAACACUCGUGGGAGCGACCCAACCGAGUAUGCAAGCGUGUCUCUGUCGAGCUCAAUCAGGCUCACAUAGACUAUAAUCAGCACAAGUGGGUCAAAUUAGUCUAACAACCAAGGCUCACGUGCCAUCGGCACAAUCUGAUACAAGAUAGAGGAAUCUGGGUCCACCGUUAGCCCCGACGGCACCCGACAGUACGGAACAGACCAACUCUACUGUAACCACGGGCUCAGCCCCUCAGCACCAGCGUAAUCUCAACCUACACUAAUUUAAAUAUCCACAGCACACUAACAACGGUGAUACAAAAAAAAAAAUAGCUCCUGAAGCUAAUUCUGUUAACUUUUUCAAAAAAUGUCAAGUGUGGGUUUACCGAGUUUUCUCCUAAGUCAAAUUCCAGUUCAGCAUAUAAGAUUUAUCUAACAUCAGUACAUUAUGCUCCAAAUUCAGAUUUCAUAUAAAACAUGCAAAUUCAUGAAUUCGAGCUACUAAACGUGAUGUUCAAAACAAAAAAUGCAUGCUGACAACUCUACGACUUAGGAGAAAUGCAUACUGACAACUCUACGACUUAGGAGAAAUUCCGACGAUUUUGGUAAACAUUAACCCACCUCAAACGCUCGUCCAACAUCGGCUACAAAUCGAUAGGAGAAAUCCCGCGCUCGUUCGACCUCCAACGGCUCAACCGGGUGCACGAGCAACCUCCAAAGACCAGAUGAAAAGAAACUGAGAUCAAUUCUCAAGUUGCUAGAGAGAGAGGAAGAGGAUAAGCUUUAUCCGUUCUCUAAGCUCCAGCCCAUAUAUACAAGCUUGGGUCAGUUGGGAUUUAUCAACAGCGAAAUGACCAAAAGAACCCUUACCAACUCAAACCACCGCCUAGAGUACCAGUUCUCAAUUUGGGUACCGGUACCCGACACUCAUCCAGCAAACACGAGCGUGGUGUACCGGUACUGGUCCGAUGCAGUACCGGUACCCAGUCUCAGUCCGGUUGUUAUGGAUUUUAAGUUGGCAUAUUUCGUGAACUAAAUCGGAGUCUUGAAGGUUAAAAGAAGAAGAGACGAAGAUUGAAGACUCGAAGACUCAAAACAUGAAUCCAUAAUGCUCGGUAAGUUUAAGUACUGUUGAUGAUGAUUUAUAAAUAUUUACAAAUAUUUGGAAGACAUUAGAAUAGGUAUAAAUUGAUAAAAAUUCAAUUCUGAGUUUUCCAAGUUUCAGGAUCCAGACCCUAAAAGAAAGGUCCGAAUCCCGUAAGCCUCCCUGGCUGAUACGGAGCGAGGGUCCGGACCAUGGCUCCAGAGUCCGGAUCCCGUACAUCGGUUUUGCUGAUACGCAAGGAGGAUCCAGACCUUGGGAUCAAGAUCCGGACCUUCAAGAUCCGAAUCCUACUAGAAGGUUUGGACCCUGAACCCGACGUCAGUUUUCCAAAUAUAGUUUUAAGGUUUCCAAAUAUGGCUUUUCAAUCCUAAUCUAUUUUCUAAUGAUUUCCAAAUAUGGUUUUUCAAUCCUAAUCUAUUUUUAAUAUCAUCUAAACCUAUAAAUAAGAUAUGGGGGUAUUUUUAAAAGGUAGCUAAGCAUAGAAUAUCUUUUUGAAGCCCUAGAAACUUAUUGGGUGCUCUCUUUCUUAUCUCCAACAACAAGUUUAUAUUGGAUCAAUUCUCGAAACCCUAAUUUCUCGUUCUUCAUGAAGAAUUGAUCUGGCUAUUGCUUAGAAACAUCUUCUACGAUUAUUUCCUGAUCAUCUAAGCAAUAAAUCAUCGCCAACCGUAUUAUUCUUACUCCGGACGGAGUGCGCUCGUGGAUUCGAGUGGGCGUCGUGGAUUCGGUGUGAUCAAGGCUUCGUGGAUUCGAAGUGUGGACAUCUCAUGGAUUCGGGACGUGGCUUUCGUGGAGUCGGACGUGGGGCGUAGACAACCCGGCGGCGUGCGCGAGAUCUGAAGAAGAUAAAAGAGAGGUUGAGUCCGUGGAUUCAGUAAUCACCUUGUAAUCUUUUAUUUCUUAGUGGAUUGUUAUCGCGUGUUGGUCCCGUGGGUUUUUCUCCAAAUUGGAGUUUUUCCACGUAAAUCUCAGUGUGGUUGUACUUUCCACAUUUAUUUUUAUCGCAUUGAGAUUUGCGUUUUUGGUCUAUCACCUAUUCAGCCCCCUCUAGGUGUUUGAUAGUAUUUAGAUAGAUCCUAGAUUUUCAUAUCUUACAGUUGGUAUCAGAGCGGGAUCUAGAUUUUUCUAUUAAUAUGGGUGAAGGUGGUAGUAUUAAUAGGGCUCCUCUUUUUUAUGGGAUCAAUUAUUAUUUUUCAAAGAACGUUGGAUGAUUGCUACAUAAAUAGUGCUUUGAACAUCAAUAGGUUCACUUUCAUUCACUCCUAGUUAAUUUCGUACUAAUUAUCGGUUUUACUUUAUUUUCAUUAUUUAUGAAGUUAAUUUAUUAUAGGAUAUUUUAAUUCUUAUAUUCAUCAAAUUUGAGUAAUCAUGUAUAAUCUUUAGACACUUAACCUAUCUCGGUUGUGUGUGUUGAAUUUGAUGAAUGAAAAUUUGCUAAUAGACUAAAACUUAUCAAAUUUUCUUUCAAAUAAGAGAUUGCAUAAUUAAGGGAGAGUUAUAUAUAAAUAAAAAGAGAAACACUCCAAGUGCCUAAAAGAUGUGGAAAGAGUUACAUCCAAAGGAGUGUGAAAACUACCACCACAUGUAGGAAAGAGCUACCACCCCGAUCCUCCGGUCAGUGUGUGAAGCUACCACAUGAAAUUUUAGUGUAUAACUGAAAAGGUUGAAAAAGUGUUCAUAUUAUAUAAAAAUUUUCGGUGUAAUAAGGUGGUUUAGUAAAAGAUGCUCAAAGAGGCACCCCCCGGUACAUUAUUGCUUGGUCUUGAAUUUGAACGUUUAUGCGACAAUUUCUAUCAUUUAAUGAAUCUUCAUAAGUCAUCUUUAUAAUCCGUUACAUCUUGAUAGAUUUUGAGUAUUCAGAUUAUUUUUUGAUGACUUGAUUUUGAAAUAUAUAUGGAUAAAGAAAUUUUAUUAUAUUUUAUCUACAUCUUGGUGAUUUUUUAGUGAAAUUCUUAAUUUCUAUGAAAUUGAUGUGGAUUGAAAAAAGUCUAUGUGAAUUCAUUCUGUUCAUGUACUAACAUUAUUGUUUUCACAAUGGAAUCAUCAUAUUCUAAACUCUCUCUAUUUUGGUACUUUUUCUUUUGGCAAUUUUUGACAAAAAGGGGGAGAGAGAUGAGAUUUUGAAGAGAAAAGAAGAGAGAAAUUAAAAUUGAUUAAUUUAAUAUUUAGACGCAUGAACAAAAGGGGAGAGAUUUUCAUAUUUUUACUACUAACUUUGUUUGUAGAGAAAGUAAUCUUUUUGUAGAUCAUUGAAAACUUCAAGACUCCUUGUGACUAAGUCAUAGAGUUUGUUUAGGAGUUGCACAAUUGUAGUUUUGUGCUUUCUUUGGAUCUUUCACGCGAGAAGUUCAUUGUUUUAGUGAUGGCAAUUAAUUUCAAUUUUAAUUUUUGGAGAGUUGAGCGUUCUGAGUAUUUUAAUAUAAUUUUGAGUUUUGUCACGAAAUUGCCAAAGAGGGUGAUUAUUACGGAUUUUAAGUUGGCAUAUUUCAUGAAGUAAGUCAGAGUCUUGAAGAUUUAAAGAAGAAGAGGCGAAGAUUGAAGACUCGAAGACUCAAAACAUGAAUUCACAAUACUCGGUAAGUUUAAGUACUGUUGAUGAUGAUUUAUGAACAUUUACAAGUGUUUGGACGACAUUAGAAUAGGUAUAAAUUGAUAAAAAUUCAAUUCUGAGUUUUCCAAGUUUUAGGAUUCGGACCCUAAAAGAAAGGUCCGGAUCCCGUAAGCCUCCUUGGCUGAUAUGGAGUGAGGGUCCGGACCUUGGCUCCAGAGUCUGGAUCCCAUACGUCGAUUUUGCUAUUACGCAAGGAGGAUCCGAACCUUGGGAUCAAGAUCCGGACGCUACUGGAAGGUCCGGACCCUAAACCCGGCGUGAGUUUUCCAAAUAUGGUUUUAAGGUUUCCAAAUAUGGUUUUUUAAUCCUAAUCUAUUUUCUAAUGAUUUCCAAAUAUUGUUUUCAAUCCUAAUCUAUUUCUAAUGUCUUCUAAACGUAUAAAUAAGAAGUGGGGGUGUUUCUAAAAGAUGGCUAAGUAUAGAAUAUCUUUUUGAAGCCUUAGAAACUUGUUAGGUGCUCUCUUUCUUAUCUCCAACAACAAGUUUAUAUCGGAUCAAUUCUUAAAACCCUAAUUUCUUAUUCUUCAUGAAGAAUUGAUCCGACUAUUGCUUAGAAACAUCUUCUACGGUUCUUUCAUGAUCAUCUAAGCAAUAAAUCAUCGCCAACCGUAUUGUUCUUGCUCCGGACGGAGUGCGCUCGUGGAUUCGAGUGGGCAUCGUGGAUUCGGCGUGAUCAAAGCUUCGUGGAUUUGAAGUGUGGACGUCUCGUGGAUUCGGGACGUGGCGUUCGUGCAGUCGGAUGUGGGGCGUGGACAACCCGGCGGCGUGCGCGAGAUCCGAAGAAGAUAAAAGAGAGGUUUGAGUCCGUGGAUUCGGUAAUCACCUAAUAAUCUUUUAUUUCUUAGUGGAUUGUUAUCACGUGUUGGUCCCAUGGGUUUUCCUCCAAAUUGGAGUUUUUUCACGUAAAUCUCGAUGUGGUUUUUUCUUUCUGCAUUUAUUUUUAUCACAUUGAGAUUUGUAUUUUUGGUCCAUUCACCUAUUCACCCCCCUCUAGGUGUUUGAUAGUAUCUAGAUAGAUCCUAGGUUUUCAUAUCUUACACCGGUACUCACCAACAGGUACCGAUGCACAACACCAAGCUGCACGAACCCGAGAGUACCCAUUCAUGUAAUCCCUUUGGGGUACCGGUACUCCUCUCAGGUACCGGUAUACAACACUCAAAAUCCUGCUUUUACAGAUUUCAGUAUCCAAACUCCAAAUCUCACAGCUCCUUUUCGCGCCUAUUUCGUGCCAAAACAACUCCGACUCGUCCCAACACUCUACAGAUGUGUCGACAAGCUACUUAUGCUGUAGUCAGUCAAACAGCUAUGCCCCAGAGACACUACAAAAAGACAGCCUAUUUUUGCAAAAGCUCAAAACUAAUAGAUUUUUUAUGCAAAUUGGCUUUUCAAUAUUGUACUUUAUUGAAAGUUUUGGAUAAUCAAUAUUAACAUUACUUGAUGCGUAGAAAAUUAAUUUUUAAAACUUAUAAAACGAUAUAGGUAUGCAUUUUAAAUAUUCUUCAUCAUAUUUAAUAGUUUAGAUCUUGUUGCGUGCUGAAUGUCCCGACCUUGACCCGGUCAAUAAUUCUCCUCGGGAAGAUCGUCGGGAUGCGAGACGGCUGCGGAUUAUGACCCUCGAAGUAUGCGCCCACAGAGGAUCAAACGAUUAGGCCGAUGAGGGAUCGAAUCAGCCGGGUUCGAAAACCUCCGCAGUAAAUUCGCUUCGGCAGGAUUAGCCGAAUGGAGAGGGGAAGCCCAGAACUCGACUAAGAAACGAGCCGAAUAGCCAAACAACUUGUGAUCUGAUCGGCAAGAAGAGCCGAAGAUGACUUUCUAUUGAAUAGCAAAAGGAAAAAGUACACAAACAGGGGAGUGAUGCCCGUAGGGCAGACAGACUCCAAGUAUGGGAACAGGGGAGUGAUGCCCGUAGGGCAGACAGACUCCGAGUAUGGAAAAUUACAGAAACUACUCCUAAGGAAAGCAGUAAAUGCAAGAAUAGAAAGAUGCAGAAAAAUAAAGGUGGUCUUUGUAAGAUAUGGAUCCCGAGGAUCUAAAAGGUAAGUAACACCUAGAGGGGGGUGAAUAGGUGUAACAACGGCAAACUCAAAAAAUCUCGAUGCGAAUAAAACAAAAUAGCCGANAUCGCAGGCACUUGUAGGCCUGCUAUCGGCUGUUCAUUUCGAGCUAACAAUUGCCCUAUUCGGGCUAUGUUCUCGUUAGAGGCUGUGAUUGCGGCCAAAACGGCAUCCAGCCGUGCGGUACUUGCGUGACUAUUCUGUCCAAAGUUUGUAGGACCCGAGUCAUUUGACCAAGCGCUUAGGUCAAACUAGGCUCCUGUUGGCCAGACUGACCACUAGUCUCACCCUCAGCAGGUAAAACCGCUUGGCGCUCUACGUUAUUCUCCGAAUUACUGGGCUAUUCACUCCCAGAAUUUCUGGGAAUAGCCCGAUUACGGAAAUUCAUGGCGUUAUCGUUAGCCAUGUUUUAAAUAAAAUGCAAAUUUACCUCAAAAGAUAGUCCCAUCGGGCGUGCCAAAAAAUUGUUGCGUGCCGAAUGUCCCGACCCUUAACCUGGUCAAUAAUUCUCCUUGGGAAGAUCGUCGGGAUGCGAGACGGCUGCAGAUUAUGACCCUCGAAGUAUGCCCCCACAAAGGAUCAAGCGAUUAGGCCGAUGAGGGAUCGAAUCAGCCGGGUUCGAAAACCUACACAGUAAAUUCGCUUCGGCAAGAUGAGCCGAAUGGAGAGGGGAAGCCCAGAACUCGACUAAGAAAUGAGCCCAAUGGCCAAACAACUUGUGAUCUGAUCGGCAGGAAGAGCCGAAGAUGACUUUCUAUUGAAUAGCAAAAGAAAAAAGUACACAAAUAGGGGAGUGAUGCCCGUAGGGCAGACAGACUCCAAGUAUGGAAACAGAAGAGUGAUGCCCAUAGGGCAGACAGACUUCGAGUAUGGAAAAUUACAGGAACUACUCCUAAGGAAAGCAGUAAAUGCGAGAAUAGAAAGAUGCAGAAAAAUAAAGGUGGUCUUUUGUGCGCAGGGGCGAAGACCCUUUUUCAGGGUAUCGUAUGCCUAUUUAUAGAACCGCCUUUGCGUCAGUUAUUGCUCUUGCACGAUCAGCCACUACCUCCUGAUUCGUAAGACCACCUUCGGCCGAUCGGAACCGCUCGUAACUGCUUGCGGUUGUUAUAACUCUUCGGCCCAGUGUGGCUCGUAUACGUCCGGUGUACUCUAGGUCUACCGUUUUAGCCGUCUUACGAAUAUGGACCCGGCGUGCCAGCUGUUCGCGCCUAACUGGCUCAACAGAUCUUAAUUUUUGACCUUCUAGAUUUAGAUUCAUAUUUGUGUAAAAAUUUAUUUAACUUACACAUAUACAAUUGGAUCCCUACACACACACGCACGCACGCACGCACGCACGCGCACGCACACACACACACGCAAUAGUGAGAUUAUUAUGCUUUUAUAAGCACAUAUACCUCUAUGCUUCCACUUUGUUUUCGAUGAUAUAACAUCUAAAUCGAUGAUAUGCUUUAUUAAACUUGGUCAACAUUAUUUGAAGUAUCUAGCAGCCAAAUUUUAUAAUUUUUUGGACAUUAUUUAUCUUCCUAUUGAGUGGUUCAAAUAUAAAUGGAUUUAUUAAAGGCAAUGAUAGAGGACUUGAUUGCUAGUAUAUAUUGAUAGAUAAAUUUGCGACCAUAUUAUUCGUCGCAAAAUAUUUGUUGAAUUAAUUACUUGUUAUUGAAAUUGCGACAAAUUAUUUUCGUCGCUAUACUAUCAUAAAAUAAUAAAAUAAAAUUAUUAAAAAAAUAACGACUUUUUGCGACGACUAGAUGUUGUUGCAAUUAGAUUAUAUUUAGCAACGAAAAAUAUUAUCCAGAUGUAUAUUUAGCAACAAAUUACGGGGUCACUAGCGACCAGUUAUUUUGUCGCUAUUACUGCAUUUAUAGUGACAAAUCUUUGUUCGUCGCUAAAUGUAACAACUAAUAGCGACCAACUGCUUUACUUCAUCGCUAAAUAGUUUUAGCGACGGGGCGGUAGCGACGAAGCAGCGACAGAGCUAUUUUUGUCGCUAAUUAGCAAUAGCGACAAAAUUUCAUUAUAUAGCGACAAAUAAUGUUGGUCGCAAAGGACCUAAAUUUUUGUAGUGUACCUCGUAUCGACUACUAAAAUAAUUAAUUUUUGAGACAUUUCGAUCACUAGGUAAAUGAAUUAAAAAUUAUAAAAUUUAAUUUAAAUAUUUCAAAUAGUGUAGAUUAAGUCUAAAAAUGACGAUCUUUGAUUUUGAUGUCACAUCAUCGAAAAUAAAGUGAAAGUGCAAAUGGCUCCGUACUUCUAAAAGUAUAACAGCCUCACUUCAUACUAUAUAUAUAGAAUUCAACUACUAUCCUUUUAAAAGGACGAAAGCGUUCAUCAUAUCAAGUUGUUUUUAAUGAUAAAGAGUCCGAAUCGAUGAUCAGAACCAUUAAAGUUUAGAAUAUUUGAAAUAUUUAGAAACAAAUGUCAAAAUUUUUAAAAAUUAUUACGUAGUGAUCAAGGAUCACAAAAUUGAUAACUUUUGACGGCAUAUAUUAGCCAUGCUUAUUUAACGGUGUAGAGUGAUCCAAACCACUUGAAUUUUUUAUAACAAAAAUCUUUAUAAUAUUUAGAUAAUAUUUGAUAACUCUGAUUAUGAAUUGAAAAUAUCUAACAUUUAUUUUCACAAGAUUAUUCAGUUUUUACCCUUUUUUGGAUGUUCGAUGGACUUGGUAAUGUUUUUUAAAAAAUACAAAAUUUGGUUUCUAAAUAUAAUUAAUAGUGUAGAUCAAUUUCAACGAUACUGAUUAUCAAUUUGGAGUCACGAUCGUCUAAAAUAAUUUAAUAGGACAAAGGUCUCUAUCGACUUGAAGUUUCCGAUCAUCGAUCCAUAUCAUUAAAUAUGACCUAAAACAUUUAAAGUAUCUAGAAAUUAAACUUUAUAAUUUUUUGAAUUUAUAAUAAAAUCCAUCAAGUGGAUAUAAAAUGAACAGUCGAAAUAAAACAAUCUCCUAAAAAUAGGGGAUGCAAUUUUUAAAUUCAAUAUCUAAGUAAUUGAUCUUGAUCUAUAGAGUGUAUAUAUAGAAGUUUCCAUUAAAAAUUCAAUCGAUUCCUAUUCUUUUACACCGUUAACUUGGAAACAGUCUAUACUCGCUAUUAAAAAUGUAAAUUUUUAGGCCCUUUCAUCGUAAAAUAUAUGAUGUUACAAAAAUUAUAAAAUUUAAUUUUUAAGAUUUUUAAAUACUUUAAAUUUUAUUUAACGGUAUGUAUCGUUGAUUCGAAACUCUAUCAUCGAAAAAGACUCAUUAGUACGAAAAUGAUUGUACUCAUAAUAAUAUAGUAGUCUAACUAUAUAUAUAUAUAGAGAGAGAGAGAGAGGGCUGGUAUGCUUCUGGAAGCAUGGAGACCUCCAUGCUUCCAAGUUGUUUUCGAUGUUUGGACUUUUGAAUCGAUGAUCGGCUCCAUUAAAGUUGAUCUAGAGUAUUUGAAGUACCUAGAAAAUAAAUUUUGUGAUUUUUCGAUAUCAUUUGCUUAGUGAUCGAAGGGGCUCAAAAUCAAUAAUUUUAAUGGCCGUGGUGAGCCGUUUGCAAGUUUAACGGUAUAGAAAUAUCCAAAUCACAUGAAAUUUUGAUAAAAAAUUCUUUAUACCAUAUAAAACAAGAUCAAUAACUUUGAUCUAAAAUUUUAAUGUCAUAUCAUCAUAUUUUGUAAGAUUUUUAUUUUCAGCCGUUGAUUUUGAGCCACUUCGAUCACUAGGCAAAUGAUAUCGAAAAAUCGCAAAAUUUAUUUUCUAGAUACUUCAAAUACUCUAGAUCAAGUCUAACGGAGCCGAUCGUCGAUUCGAAAGUCCGAACAUCGAAAACAACUUGGAAGCACGGAGCGCUCCGUGCUUCCAGAAGCAUACCAGACACACACUCUCUAUAUAUAUAUAUAUAUAGAGAGAGAGAGAGAGAGAGAGAGAGAGAGAGAGAUAGCUAGACUGUUAAACUAUUGGUAGCACGGAGACCUCCGUGCUAUCAAAUUGUUUUCAAUGAUACGGCUUCCAAAUUGAUGAUCGGCUCUGUUAAGCCUAAUCUACACUAUUGAAAGUAUUUAAAAACAAAAUUUCUAUUACGCCCGGGCUCCACCGGAAGCCUAACCGGUAUAUGCACAGACCCGCAGUGCGCACUAGGCAACUCCGAUGCACACAUGGCGUACACAAUAAGAAGUAUAAUGUGAACAAGAGAUAGUAAAGUUCAAAUAUCAUACACGAGAGAAUCAGAGCAUACAACGGAUUCUAUGAAAUAAAGUAAAUGAAAUACAUUGACCAUUCAAAAAUAUACAAUAUGUAUCAACUAAAAGUACAUCUCAUGAGCAAAAGGGGUCUUUAUACAACAGGUACUAACAUGCCUUUCAAGACAAAAAUCAAAAGAAAGGUGCCUCAGGUCCACCUCUAAUGACUCUCACAAGCUCUAGAUAGUCGCUAACCCCUUUCCUCGAUCACUAACCUCUCCCGCUUUGAAUCUAUUACAUCCGGGCCCCAGCAGAAGCCUACCUGGAACGUGUAUAGAUCCAUCGUGUGCACUAGGCAACACCAGUGCACACAAAGCGUACACAACAAGAAGCAUGAUGUAAACAAGAGAUAGUAAGUUCAAAUAUCAUACAUGAGAGAACAAGAGCAUACAACGGAUUCUAUGAAAUAAAGUAAAUUAAAUACAUUGAUCAUUCACAAGAUAUACAAUAUGUAUCAACAAACUGUACAUCUCAUGAGCAAAAGGGGUCUCUAUACAAAAUGUACUAACAUGCCUUUCAAGACAAAAACCAAAAGAAAGGCACCUUAGGUCUACCUCUAGCGACUCUCGUAGGCUCUAGCUAGUUGCUAAUCCUUUUUCUCGAUCCCCAGCCUCUCCUGUUGUAGAAGGCUCUACAAUAAAAACAAUCAAACAUUGGGUGUGAGAACUAUUAUAUAAUAGUUCUCAAUGGGUAAAACACUGAGAAGAGCAAAUUACACCACUAGGUCAACUGAGACAAGAUUAGUAGAUAACUAAAAUGAAAAACUAGUACCAAAGAGCUAAAACAUAAAGUUUUGAUUCUAUCUUGCCUCUAUGCUAAUUAUGCUAAUCCCAUAAGUAACUAGUUCCACCACUUUCAUGUAGAGAAGUGAGUAUGCAUGUAGUAACCACCAUCUUAUAUGCAAAGUAUGCAUGUAAUACUUGCUAGGAUAUCUAAUUUCCAUGUAUACACCAUUUAGUUAUGCUGUUUAACAUUUGAUUUAACCAACUUUUACCCAAUCGUCGAGGACCUACUUGUGGUAAGGUCGAGGGUUGUGGAGUGCCGACUUGUAGGAAGCGACCCUUACAAGAGUGUGCGAAUGAGCACAAGGGCAAGCAAGCGUAGUUAUAAGCGCAAUGUCUAAGGAUAACAAAUCUCAAACAUCACAUCUAAAAUAUGAAAUUAUAAUCAUCAACUUGAAGGUCGGAUACUAUAGUAGGUAUGAUACAUUUUCCUUCACAACUAAUUAUGAGUAGUUCACUACUAUUAUACAUCAUGUCCCUAACAUGCAAAGACUUACAUCUCAUUUCAUUCACAAAUAUUGAGGUGUUUGCUAACCACAUUCUAAUAAGAGAGUAAUUCUAUUACUCAUGCAUCAUCAUAGGGAGUUUUAAGUAUAUAACAUUUCCACUAUAGAAUGUAAAAGUAAUUUGCUCAUGUCAUAUCUGAAAGAUGCAAGGAUGUCAACCAAGUUCAUAAUUCAUGCCAUGCAUAUAACUUGCUACAUAUGCCACUACUAUAUAGAGAGUGAAAUUCGUCAUGCAAGGGAUGACCAAUCUAGAUGUCUAAAAAUUCAAUGAUGCCAUGAAUUGCAUGUUUAAUCAUUUCUUGAGUUCUAGAAUAAAGUAGGAGACAUAGAAAGGGUUCACCUAUUUUCGGUGAGGUUAAACCCACCAGAUAACUAUUGAAAUCUCGUUCGUUUCUCUAAUGACCCCAAACUUCUUAUAUCUUAAGAAAAAAUUUCAAGAGGUUACAAACUUCUAAAAGGCUUUCCCAUGAAAUUCACUAAAAAUCAAAGAGAAAUUAGGUAAAAAAUUACCUGAGUCAAAGAAAACUUGACCAAGCUUCAAACUAAAAUAAUAGGGCUUUAAUUCCAACCUGCAAGAGUGUUCUACACUCAACAAUUUCACUCUAAAAUAAAUCCUAGUUCCAUCAAGACUAGGUUUCUACCAAAAUUCUUGCAAAUCGCACAAUUAGAGAGUGCAAGAAGGUUGCUAAUCUCAAGUCAAACUUCAAUCAAAACUAUAAAUUGUUAGGGUUGAAGCUCAAGCCUUCAAACAACUCUCCUUUUCAAGCUUGAGCUCUACUCCAAGUCCUAGGAGCAAGCAUCCAUGGAAGAGAUGAAGAAAAGAAGAACAAAUCCAAGAAUUAGGAGGAUUGGAAGAAGAAAUCCAAGAAAGGGGGGAAAAGGAACCUAUCUUCUCCUUCUCUUUCACUGCCCAAAAGAGAGGGCUAAACAAGGGUGAAGUGCGUUAUAAUCCGACUAGCACGAACCCUCUUAGGUCCCUCAAAAACCAGAAAAUUACAAACUGCACGAAACUGUUUCAGAAUCAUUGAGUACCAGUACACAGUUUGGAGUACAGGUACUUGGGCAGUUCCGGUACCUCGGGGUUUAGUUCCGCAAAACCCGAACAUUAGAAUUUUUGCUUCCUAUUGCGUUCCGGUACCCACUCGUAUCAGUACCGGUACAACUUGGGUCAUUACCAGUACUCAGCCAAGUUUCGCAAAAUUUCAGAGCUGCUCAAACACACAUUUUACUGAAUUCCGGUACCCCAUUCCAGUAUCGAUACUCAAUACGGAAAAAAACUGCAGUUUUAUAAAUUUUGAGUUCCGAAAUUCGUUUUCGUGCUUAUUAAGUUUAAAAAACGAUCCUAAGCUCUCAAAACUCAAUCAAAAUCCCUAAAAAGUAUAGAAUAUUAUAUUUACACUAGAACUCCGGAAUUUGGUAAAAUUUAGUGUGCUACAAUUUCAUAAUUUUUUGAUAUUAUUUGACUAGUGAUCAGCUAUCCAACUUUUUAAAAUUUUGAUUUUACUACUUAAUAUUUAAAUUUGUUUAACUUGACUCAAUCAAUGGUGUUUUGACUUUAAAAUUUAAUUUAAUUACUUAUUUUAUUAUUUAUAUAGUUAUGAAGAAUUGCAUGAAGUAUCUUAACCAAAACUGUAAAGAUAAAUAAGACAUUCAAAUUUAAAGAUAAAAGUAUUAUUGACUGAUUCAAAUUAAAUAAAUUAAAAGGUUGGAUAGUGUUACGAGCCGUAUUUCUAGACCAUUGACACGAUUAGUACUCUCCUUCGGGAAACGAGUUGAGCAGUGGGUCGGUUCCUGAUGAUGACCCUCGAAUGUGCUCCAUACAGAAUCAAGCGAUCAGCUGAGAAGGGAUCUGUCCAGUCGAGUCCGAACACUCGAAUAUAUUAUUGACUUGGCUGAAUAAACCGAGUGACUUCAAUAUAAUUUAAAAAGAUUUCGAAAUACAGGAAGAUAAGUCCUACCCUUAACUAAAGAAAAAAUAAUAAGAUCUACUGCAGCUAAUAAGAAAAAUCUACUGUAACAAACUAGAGCAAGUCCUUAGAGCAAGUGGCAAAAAGCUUGGUGGUUGGUACCCGAGGUCCCAAGUUUGAAUCCUAGUUGAUUCACAUUUCUAGCUAAGUAUAUUUCUAAAUGAAAUAAACGAAACGGGUAGCGUGCCACCUAUCUCUCAAAACAAAAAAAUCUCAAAACAAAAAAAAAGAGAAAAAUCUACUGUAACAAAUACCUAAAUUACAGUGAUCUUUUGUACGGAAAAGAAACCUCUUAAUUAAUACUUAUUGAGGGAGUACAUUUCGGCCACGUCCUUAUUUUUUCGAAUUAUGCUCUGGCCAUUUCUCUUAACUCGCGGUGUAUCACAUGUGACUUUAUAUGUGAUUUUUUCGUUUCGUCCACGUAGUUGAGCCGGUCCUUCUAUACGGCGCAUUUUGUGACGCCAAUAAAGAGUAAAACCAAAGUAUAUAUAGUGCAGGUUAGUUAGUUCUAUAGGCGUGUUUUGUUGGUUAGCUUCGUAGGACAGCGACACCGGUUUACGACCAAUCCGGUCCAACCGCCCAGUCCGGCCCGGUUCUCUAAACAUGGGUAGGUAGCGGCAGUGAGCCGUGAGCGAGACGGGUGGUGAAAAAGAGCUUCUUCCUAUGCGCUUCUUGAAAAGGGACAGACGAGAUGAGACGAGACGAGACGAGACGAGAAAUGGUGGUGGGAUCGGGAAGUUGUGCGGAAGCAGCGGGGAUUGGGUAGCACUUUUUUCCUGCAGCUUCGCAUUGCGCACGUGCUAUAAUUAGUAAUAGCACGCACUCCAUAUGAGCCCAAAUGUCUUAAACUAUUAAUUAACUAAUAUUAUUCUUAUUCUUCCUCACGUAAUCAGGGACGAAGCUAGCAUUCGAUUAUGAGAGGGGCCAAAAUACAUACAAAUCAAAAUUUUAGCAAACAAACAAGGUUUACCUAGUUAAAUUUUUGAUGAGAAAAUAUAUUGACUAAAUAAUUAGUGUAAAAUGGCAUUACCCUUUUUUUAUUUAUACUUAACUUUUAAUUAUUUUAUUUAUAUUAUUUCACUCAAAUAACUUUGAAAUUUACUAAAUCUAAUAGUAAUUCAGUGAAUGAUUUAAUUUCUUAAUUUUUACUAAAUAUAAUUGUGACGAUAAAUAACUAUUAGUUAACAGAGCUAUUAACUUUAAUAUAAUUUUUAAUUUAAUUAAAUAAAAAAAUUAUCUAAAAUAAUUAGAAAUUAUGAACGUACUAAAUAAAAAAUAAAAUAAACUCAAAGUUGAGAGAGUAUUAUAUUAGCGUCAAAUUUUAAAAAAAAAAAACAGAAUACUCAUCAUACUUUUAAAAUUAAAUAAAUUUUUUUAAAAAAAUUGCUUAUAUAUGGCCCCCCUCAGCCCCUCAAUAGCUCCGCCCCUGCACGUAAUGCGUGACGGGAUUUCUUUUCUCUCUCUCUCUUUUCUUUUUUUUUUUCUUGGCCUCAUUCUCGCACGAGUCAAGGAUUGGGUGAAUCCAAAGAGUGGCAAUUCAUAAUGAAACUAAAAAUUUGUUAAAAAAAAAAAAAAAAACCUCAUUCUCGCACGAGUCAAGGAUUGGGUGAAUCCAAAGAGUGGCAAUUCAUAAUGAAACUAAAAAUUUGUUAAAAAAAAAAAAAAAAAAAAGAUAGUAUGCCUUUUCUUUCGCUUACUUUUUAGAAAUAAUUAAGCAGAAUUUAUUUUUUUAAAAAAAAUUAAACAAAACUGCUCCACUUUAAUCGGUGUCUUUAUUUAUUUAGAUUUUUGUUACUUUCUGGCAAUUCAAUUGUCAAUUUGAUGGGACUGGUUUAUGUUGUAAAUAAUAAUGACGAAUGUAAAGAGUAUUUAAUAACUAAAUUAGAACAUAUUUUAUUAUUAAAAAAAAAUUAUUUGUGUCUCUUUUGACUUAUGAGCUUAACUCUCGUUACCUUUGCUUUUUUUUUUCUUUUAUUUUUGUUAAAUUAUGCAAAAUAAUUAUUAUUCUCUAAAAAAACUUAAAUUACUAAAAGUAAAACUUUAAUAUUUUAUAUUCGGUAAUUUUGAUUUGGUGUUAUUUUAUUUUUAAGACUCGCGCGUUUUCUCUUUUUCGAAACAAUAUAUUUUCAAUAUAGAAUACACACAAAAUGUGCCCCUUCUUAAUUUUUUUUCCCUCUCUUUUUAUCUUACUUGUUGUGGACGAGUCUAGGACGUCUAACUGGGGCGAAUUAAACUGUAUUAUAUAUGGCUAAGCGGGACCUGCGUACCUCUUGAAUACAUGCUGUAGCUAAUCAAGCAUAUUUCUUCUUAGCAAGUGAGUGGGGUCCUUAAUUUCUUUAAUUAAUUUGAUGUUAAUGAUUAGUCGCCAUCUUAAUUAUCAAACACUUCCGAAAAGGAACCGCAGAUUUAAUUUUACAAGUUCUAUUGUGUGUGUGUGUAUAUAUAUAUAUAUAUAUAUAGAGUAGGGCUACUAUACUCUUAUGAGUAGUGGACCCUUACUACUCAUAAGUUGUUUUCGAUGAUGGAGCUUCCGAAUCGACGAUCCACUCCGUUAAAUAUGAUCUAGAGCAUUUAAAACUUCUAGAAAUUAAAUUUCAUAAUUUUUCAACAUCAUUUACCUUAUGAUCAAAAGCUCACAAAAUUGACAAUUUUUAACGGCCGGUAUGGGAUACUUGCUAGUUUAACGGUGGAAAAGAAUCGGAAUAGGUUGAAUUUUUGANAAGGAUUGGGUGAAUCCAAAGAGUGGCAAUUCAUAAUGAAACUAAAAAUUUGUUAAAAAAAAAAAAAAGAAAAAAAAAAAAAAAGCCUUUUGUUUCGCUUACUUUUUACAAAUAAUUAAGCUGAAUUUAUUUUUUUUAAAAAAAAAUUAAACAAAACUGUUCCACUUUAAGCGGUGUCUUCAUUUAUUUAGAUUUUUGUUACUUUCUGGCAAUUCAAUUGUCAAUUUGAUGGGACUGGUUUAUAUUGUAAAUAAUAAUGACGAAUGUAAAGAGUAUUUAAUAACUAAAUUAGAACAUAGUUUAUGAUUAAAAAAAUUUAUUUGUGUCUCUUUUGACUUAUGAGCCUAACUCUCGUUACCUUUGCUUCUUUUUUUUUCUUUUUUUUUUUGUUAAAUUAUGCAGAAUAAUUAUUAUUCUCUAAAAAAACUUAAAUUGCUAAAAAUAAACCUUUAAUAUUUUAUAUUCGGUAAUUUUGAUUUGCUGUUAUUUUAUUUUUAAGACUCGCGCGUUUUCUCUUUUUCGAAACAAUUUAUUUUCAAUAUAGAAUGCACACAAAAUGUGCCCCCUCUUAAUAUUUUUUUCCUCUCUUUUUCUCUUACUUGUUGUGGACGAGUCUAGGACGUCUAACUGGGGCGAAUAAAACUGUAUUAUAUAUGGCUAAGCGGGACCUACGUACCUCUUGAAUACAUGCUGUAGCUAAUCAAGCAUAUUUCUUCUUAGCAAGUGAGUGGGGUCCUUAAUUUCUUUAAUUAAUUUGAUGCUAAUGAUUGGUCGCCAUCUUAAUUAUCAAACACUUCUGAAAAGGAACCGCAGAUUUAAUUUUACGAGUCCUAUGGUGUGUGUGUCUGUUGUGAUAAUAUAAUAAUUACUAUAUUCUUAUAAUAUAAUAUUAGAAUAAAAGAGUAGGGCUGACUAUCUCUUUAUGAAGUGUGGACAUUACUACUCAUAAUUUGAUUUUCGAGAUGGAGCUUUCCGAAUCGACGAAUACCAUCCGUAAAAUAUGAUCUAGAGGCAUUAAAACUUGCUAGAAAUUAAAUUUCAUAAUUUUCACAUCCUAUUUACCUUAUGAUCAAGAGAAGCUCACCAAAUUGAGCAAUUUUUAACGGGCGCGUAUGGGAUCUUUGCUAUUUAAACGGUGGAUAAGAGAAUCGGAAUAGGUUGAAAUUCUUUUGAUAGAAAAUUCUAUUCACUACUAGAUAAAGACAAUUACUCCGAUCUUUAAUGGGGAUCCGAUCCAAUCCAUUUUUUAGGACAUCGUCGUCUUGACGUUCAUUUAUUCCCCGCUUGAAUGCUUUAAUUAUGAUUUCGAAAAAUACGAAAUUUAUUUCACUAGAAUUUCAAUACUCUAAAUCAUAUUUGAACGGAGGAUCGUGUCGAUUCGAAGCCUAUCAAUCAACAACAACUUAUGAUAGAAGGAUCCACUACUCAUAAGAGUAAGUUAGCCUACUCUAUAUAAUAUAUAUAUAUAUAUAUAUAUAUAGAGAGAGGAGAGAGAGAGAGAGAGAGGAGAGAGAGAGAGAGAGAGAGAGAGAGAAAGAGAGUAGAGAGAGAAGAGAGAGACGUUGGACUGAUCUCAAUAUUAGUUAGCAAAAAUCUCAUUGUGCAACCAGUUUUUUUAGCCCUUAGAUCAACUCUUUCUAUUAUUCUCUCUAACCAUUGGAUUAAAUACUAUAAACCAGUGGGGACCACUCAACCCUAGGGGACAUUCCAGCUCUAACUGAUUAAUAUAUCCUGACGUUAAUUAUUUCAUUAAAGGUUAAAAAACUUGAUCUUUACCUAUUAAUAUAUCACGGCCUAAUUCUGAAAUAUAUAUUAUUUAAUUAUAAUAUAUAUAUAAUAUAUAUAUAUAUAUAUUAUAUAUAUAAUAUAUAUUAUUAUGAAACUUACUGAGUUCUAUUGUAUAUAUACGAAACUUUCUAGUUGUGUUGUCAUUUUAAUUUGCCUAUUCAAUAUAUACUAUUUAAUCUUUUAAUUAUUUUAAUUUGAGUCAAUUAACAAUAGUUUGAUUUUUAAAUUUGAAUAUAUAUAUUUUGUUUAUCAUUAAAGAUUUAAUUAGCAGUAUGCUCCGUACAAUCUUUGCAACGAUAAACUCAGUAAAAUGAGUAAUUAACUUAAAUUUGAAAGUCAAAGUACCAUACGUUUUCUAACACAUACCAAACAAACUGAAAGGUUCGAUAAUAAAAUUAAAAUUUUAAAAAAUUAGGCAUCUAAAUCAAAAUGGUUUAUAGUGCAAAUAAGUUAUAUAUGUACGUACUUUACCUCUUUUGAACAUAUAUUUUAUAUAAGCAUCAAAAGUUUUCAAACUUCUCUAAUGCCUGAGAUGCAUGGCUAUUAAUUUUUAGCCUACCGUAAAUUAAAUGUCUGUCUUAUUUAUUUUGAUCUAAUUAGCAUGCAUAAUCAUGCAAAAAGACUAUUUUACAACAAAUUAAAUUAACUCUCUUCUUUUAAUUUACAAAUACUAAUUAAGUGCCAAAUUUAAAAUGUAAAUUUAUAGAAAAUAUAAAAGAAGAGCCAACUUAAUUAACUAUCAAAGGUCAGUUAUGUGGUGGAAAUUAUCAAGACAAGAAGAUCUCUAAUUAGAAUUGAAUUCCAAAAACAGCAGUAGAGUAGAAGAAUGAUAGAAGUUUCCUGGGGCGACGCAUGAGAAGGUUAGAGAGGAAACAUGCAUGCACUUGUGGAAAUUAUCCUCGCUCUUUGUUUGCACUUUCGCUGCCAAUGAGGAAUCUAAUCAUCUAGUUGACACUUUAUGAGCUCUUUAAUUACCCCCAAAAUGGUCAACCCUUUUCUUUCUUUUUUUUCCUUAGUACCUCUCUAGAAAUUAGCCUAAUUAUAAAUAACAAUCAAAUUUUUAGAGUGACUAAUUACAACAUAAUAUUCAACCACUUUUACAGAUGGCCAUCUAAACUGUAAAAUUAUCAUAUUUGUCACACCAACUUUUAUAAUUUUGUGAUUAGCCCCUAAGUAAACGCCGUCUUAAUCAACAACGUAUUGAACUAACAAUCUCAGUUUCAAAAAUGAAUCAGCAGCCGCUUCUCAUUCUUACCCGUUCCGGGCCAAAUCCAGUUCGUCUUCGAACGCUUUUUUUUUUUGCUCCUGAUGCACCACAUAUCACCCUUCGAUUUGCCCACGUCAAUCAACCACGUUGACCGAGCUGUCUACUAGUUAGCGCUAUUUUCUUGCACCAACUGUCACUAAGCUUUCGAUGAAACUUCGUUUAGGUUACUAAAUUGUAAUUUGUUUCGAUUAUGUUACUGAAUUUUAUUUUCUAUUUCAGUUUGACCACUUUGUUAAAUAUUCUAUAUUUUAUCGAACAACAUGGCAAAAUAGUAGCUAACUUGCCAAAUUAUGUUCUAUGCAGGACCCGAAAAUUAAUUUAUCAUCUAGAAACGAUCGACUGCAAAUUUAGUUAUCAACAUAUCUUGUCGAGAUAAUAUAACAAUUUGAAUAAUAAUUGUAGAACGCAGCGGAAGUAUUCGUUCGUAUCUUUUUGAGGAAACGAUUCGCGUUACAACGCGAUGAGCCCGGAUCGUCGAGGUUGAUUCACGUGUCCUUUGAUCGUCCUUGAUUAAAUCUUCUCACGUUCAAAACUCGCAAUGGAUCGAACUACAAACGAGCACGAUCACAAAUCCAUCGUUCAAGUCCCUCUUAGAAUAAUAGGUUGAUGGAGGAUGUGGUUUUUCUCUUUUGUUUUCUUAUUCUCUUUUCUUUUUCCAUUCUUGUACAUUUUUGUUAUGUGGGAUCGCCCGUAUAUUUAUAAGGGAUUCCAAAAUCCUAAUAAUAUUUGAAAUAAGGCCAAAUCGGUUAUUAAUUAUUAUUUUAAUAUGACUAGAAUUUAUCUCUAACUAACUUUUCAAUUUGAAAGCGAGAUUAAUUCUAAUCCAAUUAGAUAACAUAACAUCCGUCGGAUCGAACCCGCUUAUGGGCGUAUCCGAUUCGAUUUAACCGAACGCCAACAAUAAUAAUUUUGAAAUAAUGUAAAAAUCUAGUUAACUAUUAAUGAUUGUCAUGUCGUUUUCAGUUUUCGAAUUAGUUGCCAUUAUUAAUUCACCAAGAAAUAAUAAAAUUAAAGUCCAGCAGCGUCCUAAUUAACUGAAUUUUCACAGGAAAUUCAGUAACUAAUGAUGUAAUUUAAUCUAUCAAAAUACCGCAAAGAAUGUUUAUGCAUAUGAAACUCUUUAUUAGCAUCAUUCUGUUGCGCACCCGGACGAUCCGCAACCGCCGAUGAUGAGAUUGCUCUGAGGCCGGUAUGGCGGUGAGGAUGAUGGGCGUAUUUCAGUCGCGAUUAAGAUGAGAAAGUGAUAAGGAAUAAGGGAGAGAAGGAAAGAUCAGAUGUAAGAAGAGACAGAGUAGAGAAUAGAAACAGAGGGAGAUGAAGUUGAGAAAGAAAGCAUUAAUUUCAUUCAUUGCCUAAUUCCUAUUACACGCUGCCUCUUAUUUGCAAUCUGAAGAAAACCCUAAACCUAACUGGACUCCUAGGACUCCUCUCGGUGGCCCACGUAACAUGGGCCUUGCUGGCCCGCUUCUUGAGAGAUAUCGGAUCAGACCCCCUCGACUAUCCGCAUCCGCCCAAAGCCGCCCCAUCAGAAUAAUCUAGAAGCUGGGUCACUUCCCACUGCUCUUCACUCCUGUCGGAUUGCCCUCUUUCCUCUACCUCUUCCUAAGUCGUCCCUUCUCCUUCCUACGCCUCCCUCCUACCGCCGAUCCUUGCCGACGCACGGCACACCUCCUGGAACCUGGACAAAGAAGAAGAAGUUAAGUCCUUCUCCUCUCUUAUUAUUCCGACCAUAUCCUCUACUGCUGCUACUAACUCCUUCUUCUACUUGGCAGGUGCAACAAUCCCCCCUACUUGAGUUGAUCCUUGCCCUCAAGGAUCAAAAGAUGGAUANCUUAAUCAACAACGUAUUGAACUAACAAUCUCAGUUUCAAAAAUGAAUCAGCGGCCGCUUCUCAUUCUUACCCGUUCCGGGCCAAAUCUAGUUCGUCUUCGAACGCUUUUUUUUUCGGCUCCUGAUGCACCACAUAUCACCCUUCGAUUUGCCCACGUCAAUCAACCACGUGAACCGAGCCGUCUACUAGUUAGCGCUAUUUUCUUGCACCAACCAUCACUAAGCUUCCGAUGAAACUUCGUUUAGGUUAAUUACUAAAUUGUAAUUUGUUUCAAUUAUAUUACUGAAUUUUAUUUUCUAUUUCACUUUGACCUUCUUUGUUAAAUAUUCUAUAUUUUAUCGAACAACAUGGCAAAAUAGUAGCUAACUUGCCAAGUUUUCACAGGAAAUUCAAUAACUAAUGAUGUAAUUUAAUCUAUCAAAAUACCGCAAAGAAUGUUCAUGCAUAUGAAACUCUUUAUUAGCAUCAUUCUUGCAACAUUAAGUAGUUUUCCUUAAUUAAUGAUACAUUCUCUCUACCUGUAUACUGUUCUUCUAGAAAGAUUAAAUUCUAAAACAUAUGCAUAUCUACAGAUAUAAAUAUAUAUUCAUAUAAAUCCAAAUGAGCCCACGCCAUUUUUAGGACGACCUUGAGUCCACAUCCACCUGUAUACUGUUUUCUCUUCUUUUUUUUAAAAAUAAAAAAAAAAUAAAAACACCUAAAAGACGGAUCAACAAAGGGAAGUCCUACUUGGCAUAUAAUAACAACAAUAAUAAUAAUAAUAAUAUUAUUAUUAUUAUUAUAUUAAUAACUAUAUAGCCACCAAUUAAAGAAAACAAAUGCACAUGUAUUUAAAUCUAAGGCAUGCAUCAAAGUUAUUAUAUUUAAGCAACCUCCUAGUCCAACUUUUAUUAGAGUUUAGGAUAACUACUCACUCCUUAAAACUAAUCCAAAUAAAAUAUCACCUAACAGAAACAGCCAGUCUCAUUUGGGACCCAGAUUUACACCCAACCUCAACAGUAGUCAGUAGGCUGUCCAACAUAAAGUAUCAAAAAAUUAUUUUUCAAGAGAUUAAGUUUUUAGAGAUAAAUAAUCAUUUUAUAGACACCAAAGAAUUCGAAUCCCACCGGUCUCCUAGGUAAACGGUUGUUUCGGACAUGUCAUUUUGAAACCAUCCUUUUAUGUCCUUUGUUGAAAUUUUUUAAAAUUUUGAUUUAAAUAAUUUGAGUCCAAUAAAUUAAAAAUUUUAGUGAAUUCAUCAAUAAUUCCUUUAGAUUUAGUUAUUCUAAUUAUGUUUUGGUAAAAAAAAAUUAGAGCAAUUAAUGGCUAAAAAGUUGAUAGAAUAAUUAUACUUGAAUUUUUAUUUUUAUUUUUUUUAACUUUGCUAUCUAGAUUAAAUCAAACAAUUUCCUACGGCGGCCAAAGCAUUGGGGAAAAAAAAAAAUCUUUCAAAAUGUCUACAAAUAGUGAGAGAUAUCCAUGGACGGAAAAUGUCUAAAAUAUGGUGGUAGCGUAAUAGCACUAUAUCUUCAUGCCACCAAUCAAAUUGUGUCUACAAAUUUACCUAUUUCAUUAUAUUUUUUUUUAAAAAAAUAUUAUAUUUAGUGAUAAAAAGAGAAAUUUGAUUAAUUUAAAAUAUAAAUAAUGUGACGCAACUGUUACAUAAAAGAUCACGUCCUAUGUUAUUGAUCAUAUAUUUUACCUUAUAUAUAUAUAUAAUAUUUAAGAGAUAAUUGUCUAUAUAUAUGUAUCCUUCAAAACUUUUAAAAUAUUUUAUUUAUCUUUACUUAUUUUUUUUUUCUUUCCAAUAUACCCCUCAUAUGUUUCUCUAUUAUUCCAAAAUACUUCUACAAUUAUCAUCCGUUAAGUUAAUUUGGAUUAAACGUGAGUUAAAUAUCUAGCACAGUUAAAAAAAAAUUAAAAUGCCACUUUUGUUCUUAACUUAAGGGCAAAUAAGAAAUGUUGGUGAUGGUAGAAGAGUAUAUUUGAAAAGACCAAAAAGUAAAAUAUAUUUUGUAUCCCCUAACUUAAGAGCAAAUAAGAAAAGCCAGUAAUAUAUGGUAGAAGGAUAUAUUUUAUAGAGAUAAUAUAAUUCAUUAACAAAUUUUAAUUCUAGCGAUAUANUUUAUAAUAUAAAACAUGCAGUAACUUUCUAUGUGGUUCAGUACAAUACUCUGAAUUGAGUCCCGAACUUUCUAUGCUUCAGCUUAGUUCUCUCCAAAUUAACUCCUUCCAAUUUAUUUAAUAAUCAAAAAUUUUUUAUCAACUAAAACAGGAGAUUUAAUUAAUUUGUUAGUGAUCUAACAUAUAUGCGAGGGGUAGGGGUCUUUAUUCAUUUUUCACCAGUUUAGAGAAUAAAUGACUUGAAAAGAAAUAUUUUCUAUAAAACUGAUUAAAUAGGAAAUGUUUGGCAUAAUUAACACCCCAACCAGUCCACGUGGCGCUGAUGUGGCGCCUACGUGGCAAUAUCAGAAUCAUUUUUACAAAUUUAAAUUUAUUAUAGCUAUUUUUUAAAGGCUAAUUGUAAAAAAAAAAAAAGCCCUCGAAACUAGUACCAUCACGUGGAUCAAUUUUUAAUCCGACCCCGUCCCUAUUACACUCUUUUAAUUAAUUACCACAAUAUUUCAUAACAGAAAAUAUAUUUAACACCAAAUCUCUCGGAUAUCUCCUUUAGAUUCUCUCGAUUAUAAUACUACUACCAACUACUAUUAAAAGCAAAAGUAGUAAUAAUAAUAAUAAUAAUGUAAUAAUAAUAUAUUAUUAUUAUAUUAUGGACGUGUAUGGUAAGUCCUCCAGGAUUUCUAAAUUAAUUAAUUAUAUAUAUAAAUAUUUAAAUUCUUACAUCACACUGUGAAAUACAAGGAAGGUUCGACGCGUUGCGCUCCAAAUAAAAAACAGAUUGAGACGUCCACGUGUCCGUUCUUGCUUCCGCAUUCUUCGAUCUCAGUUUCUCCUUAUCCUCUAACGGUGGGGGUUAACCACACCGGGCGGUUUCUAUAUCCUCACUCCAUCGCUACCCGCUUGCUCCUGCAGUCCUGCUUCUCCUAAUAAUAAUUCCGCCACGCCUGACUUUUCUGCGUAUAAAAUAAAUACAUACCCCGCCUCCCCCUUUCCGAAGCGAAGCCCCCUUCCUCUUCUUCUUUCUUCCUCCUCCUGCUCCUCCUCCUAACUCGUCGCGUCGGGUCGUAUCGAAGCAAAGCGAAGCCCAAGAAGAAGAAGAAGAAGAAGAAGAAGAAGAGCAUAUAUGGCCCUGGUCCGAGGUCGAAGGCCCCACCUCACCAUCGACCUCCCAUCUGCGGGGGCCGCCGCCGAGUGCCGCGUCCGGUUUCAGGCUCAGGCUCAGGCGCAGGCGCAGGCUCAGGCUCAGGCUCAGGCUCGGCCUCGGACUCGGCCUGAGUCGCCGUCGCCGUCGACGUCCGGAUCCUCGGAAUUCGGCGAGUUCCGGCUGUGCGACCUGGAGCGGCUGGGCGUGCUGGGGAACGGCAACGGGGGCACCGUCUACAAGGUGCGCCACCGCCCGACCGGCGCGCUCUACGCCCUCAAGACGCUGAGCGCCGCCGACUCGGCGGCCCGGGGGGCGGCGCGGGAGGUGGAGAUCCUGCGGCGCACGGACUCGCCGAGCGUGGUGCGGUGCCACGCCGUGUUCUCGACGCCGUCGGACGCGAAGCUGGUGCUGCUGGAGCUGAUGGACGGCGGCUCCCUCGACUCGGUGCUCCGCGGGCGCGGCAGCCGGCCCUUCCCGGAGGCGGCGCUGGCGGAGGUGGCGGCGCAGGCGCUGCGGGGGCUGUCGUACCUGCACUCGCUCAAGAUCGUCCACCGCGACAUCAAGCCCGCCAACCUGCUGGCCAGCUCGCGCGGCCUCAUCAAGAUCGCCGACUUCGGCGUGGGCAAGAUCCUGCGCCGCUGCCUCGACCCCUGCGCCACCUACGUGGGCACCACCGCCUACAUGAGCCCCGAGCGCUUCGACCCGGACACCUACGGCGGCGACUACGACCCCUACGCCGCCGACGUCUGGAGCCUCGGCCUCGCCGUCCUCGAGCUCCGCCUCGGCUACUUCCCGCUGCUGCCGGCCGGCCAGAGGCCCGACUGGGCCGCCCUCAUGUGCGCCAUCUGCUUCGGCGAGCAGCCCCCGCACAUCCGCAGCUUCGUCGCCGCCUGCCUGCAGAAGGACUCCAAGCGCCGCGCCUCCGUCGCCGACCUCCUCGCACACCCCUUCGUCGCCGACCGCAACCCCGACGACUCCGCGCGCGCCCUCCGCGACCUGCUCGCCGAGGCCCCCAGCCACCAGCACCAGCACCAGCACCAGCACCAGCACCAGCACCGCCACCACCACCACCACCAAUAAUGAAGAUGGAAGAUGCUCUCUGCAAUGCAUGCAGUUCUCGCUCUUCCAUCGAUCUCCGCAUCACUCUCGCUCUUCACUCUCACUGAUCUGUAGAUAGAUACGCAGACUGAGUCCACGUGGAGCGAGGGCGUCCGCGUUGCGAUAUCUUUUUUUCUUUUUUUGUUUCUGGUUUCUGUACAGGCGUACUAGUUCCCUCCCCCUCCUCGUCGUUACAAAAAUUUUUGCCGCUGCUACUUUUAUCAUUAUCAUUAUUAUUAUUAUUUUAUCGAUGUAGGUUGUGGAUUAGUAGUUUCUUUCUUUCUUUCUUUCUUUCUUUCAUUUUGUGAAGCUGCUGGUGGUGGGCGACGGCCGGGGAUAUUGUAAUUUCUUUCCUCCCUGCAAUUAGGGGUUUUCAUUUAUAAAGGAAGAGUUUCUUUAUUCCUUGGCAAGAAAUUCGUGUCUGUCUGUCAGAAGAUCUAUGUACAGCUAGCUAGCUUAAUUUGUGAUCGGUUAUCAGAUUACAAUUUUGUGAUCGGUAUUAUUAUAUUUUAAAGACCUAAAUUGCAACAGUUUACAAUUGGUUUCCAGAUUCCAGAUUCCAGAAAAAGAAACAAGAAGAAAAGCCCUUUGAGCAAUUGAAGAUGAAUAUAGGGCGUGUUUGGUUCGAAGUCGGAGUUGGAAUCGCAAUCGGAAUCAAAAUAAGCUGGAAUCAGAAUCGGAAUGGCUCAUUACCUAAUUCCGUUUGGUUCAUCACCUGAAUCGGAAUCGGAAUAAAUCAUUCCCAUUGUUGGUGUUUGGUUCAGGUGGAUAUAAAAAACGUAAUCAAAUUAAUAUACGAACGUUAUCUUUAUAAUAUAUUAAUUUAAAUUCAAAUUAAAAAUUAAAUAUUAAAAAUUUAUUAUCAAAAUUUUUAAAUAAUGUCAAAAUUUUAAAUCUAUUUUUUUAAAAAAUAAAUUAAUCUUUGAAGUUGAGUAGAUAAUUCAAAAUAUGAAACUAAAUUUUUAUUUAUUCAAAUUCAAAUUUAAAAUUACAAUUUAAAUUUUAAUUUGAAUCCAUAAAUUUAAUUUAAGUUUGAAAUAAAAUUUGAAUAAACUUCAUAUAAAUUAAAAUUUAAUUUAAAUUCAAAUUCAUAAGUUAGAUUCAAAAUACUUGAUUAAAUUUUAAUUUUUAAUUUAAGUUCAAAUUAAAAUUUAAAAUUAUAUAUUUAAUUUUUAAAAUUUAACUUAUAUUUUAAUUUAAAAAGUUGAAAAAAUAAAUUUAAUCCGAAUAAAUAUCCAUUCCGUCCGGAUUCAACUUUCAAUCCGGCCUCCUAGGCCGGAUUGAAAAAAGGGGUGAUUUGGGCAUUCCCAUUCCACUCAGGAAUCGGAAUCGGAAUGGGACUACCGCGUACCAAACACCCACAAACGGAUUCACUCAUUCCGAUUCCGAUUCCAUGGUAAAAAAGAAGCGAACCAAACACGCCCAUAGAUUAUUCUUUCUUUUUUUUUCUUUUUUCUUUUUAAGGACAAAAAAGUAUCCUAUCAGCUUUCAUUUAAACUUUCAUUAAAAAAAAAAAAAAAAGGUUAAAUUACAGAAAAUUCCCUAUCAAUACCCGCUUUUUUAUUUUCUUUCCCUGUUAUUUAAAACCUACACUUUGUUCCUUGUAAAAUAAAAAAAUAUUCACUUCACUCCCAGUGCUUCGUUAGGAUUCCGUUUAUAAAAUAUUAUUAUAUAUUUUUUUAUACCAAAAGUACCCUCAGUCUCCUCCUUAAUAUUGUAGCCUGUUGAGGGGCAAAUUGGUCAUUUUGUUAUUAUAGUCAACACCGUAACCCUAUGUGAAUAGUUUUUAUUUUAUAAGGGGAUAAAUUGUAGGUUUUUAAAUGAUGGGAGGAAAGUAAAAAAAUAGGUAUUAACAGAAAAAUUUUAUGUAAUUUAUUCAAAAAUAAAAUUGAACUAUAAAGAUGAAACAACUAGGCCUCGAAACUUAUGUAUUACACACUCGUUAAUAAAUCUCGCGUCGAAUCGGACACACCACUAUUCAUAUUGGACCCGUGCUAGAAAUAUAAUAAUAUCUUGUCAGAAUUAUAUUUUAUAUAAAUAUAUAUAAGAGAUUAAUAAUAUAAUAUUUUAUUAGCGGUGUCUGAGUCGUAUUUGUUUUUGAAGUUGCUAAGUUACCAUAUCCGAGUCAUACUGUGUUUGCAGAUAUUGGUUUAGAGUUGUUUGUCUGUCUAUAGGGUCAAUUUAUAAAAUACUAGUUAUGUGCUAUGCACGUCAUAUUUAGUAUAUUUAGAUUUAUAUUUUGAAUUUAAAUAGUUAUUAAUGGUAUGAGUCUAUUUAUCAUUUGAUUUUUUUAACUUUAAUUUAUUUUCAAUUUAGUUAUAUAGUAAGUGUUUUUCAUAUGUAUUUCAUAAUAUACAAAUUUUCUUCUCUUGUGUAUCCCAAUUUUAAAAAUUUGAAUUAAUUCUAAAUUUUAAUUUAAAAAGUUCAAAUUUAAAUUUAUUGUGAGGACUGUGAUUUUUCUAUAUAAUAAAAUUGUAGCACACUUGACCUUUGCAAAUUGCGAGGUUCGAGUGUUUGAUAUGGAUUCCGAACUUUUUCACACUUGGUGGAAGGUCGUAGAUGGUAUUCCGACCUAAAAGUUCAAUUUCUGAAGUUUUGGCAUUGUCCUGAGAGUUUUCACUCUCGGGGACCGGUCCCUGAUAGGAGAGACCGGUCCCCUCAGAAUAGUGCUGUGGCAGGACUUGAGGCAACCGGUCUCUGGCGGGUGAGACUGGUCCCAGAGCGCGACUACGCAGGGAGAGACCGGUCCCAUGUGGGGAGAGACCGGUUCCCGAAUGUUGGAUUUUCGGAGCAGGCUGAGAGACCGGUCCCAGGUCGGGGAGACCGGUCCUUCAGUCCGAAAACUGCCCAUACCUGGGCAGUGCACAGGUUGGAUUUUUGAGGGACUUAUGUGGAUUUUGUUGCUUCAAAGGGCCUUAAGGCCAUUUCCUCACCCUCUCACCCUAAUUUCUCUCUCUCACAUUCUCUUUACACCCUCUAGAAAGAGAAGAAGAAGGAGAAGAAGAAGAAGGAGUUGGAGGAGAGCAAGAUCUUGAAGCCUUGGAGCAUCUUCCUCUCCCUUUUCUCACCAUUGGAGGCUUAGGGCUUGCUAUUGGGGCUUUGUGGAGGAUAAUCUUCAACCCUAGAAGAUUUGGAGCUUGUUUUGGGACAUCUAGAGAGGUUAGUACCUUGAUUCUAGCCUUUGAUCCAUGUUUUGGUAGGUUUUACCAUAUGAAACCCUAGAAAUGAGAUUUAGGGUUUAUUUUGGAAAUUUUUGAUUUGAGGGCUUUGAAACCUAUUUGAUGGGUUUAGAACCUUUAUUUAGGUUGGAUUUGAAGAACUCUAACUCCCAUUUGGAGCUUGAGAGAGGAUUUCUUCACUUGAGGUGAGUUUUCCCCACCUUAGCCUAUGUUACUUAUUGAUUGAGCUUAGGGUUGAUGGUAAGAUUCGUUUAACCCUUGUUCCUACAUCUUUAGGAUGCUAGGAGACUAGCGAACACCUUCGUUGGAGCAAACGAAGGAGUGCAAGAGUUGUGGUGAGUUUGGCUUUAUAAAAACGGGGCGAAAUGGUCCCCAUGCUUUCUAUACUCGUCGUAACGUCAUUUUAAGUGCAAAUCUAUGCUAAAUGGAAUUUAUGUGAAUUUUAGAACACUAAAAAUGCAUGUGUUAUGUAUAAGAUAAUUUUCACUCUAUAUAGUAGAGCAUUCUGGGUAUCGUUACAUGCAUUUGAGUAGUGUUCGCACUAGUCGUUUGGAAACAUGCUUCAUAUGUUUAAAGUGGCUCAAUUAUGUAUUUAUGAAUAUUUGGGUUAAGCUUGGACGUAGUAAAUGAAAGUGUCAUAAAGAGGCACUUAGACUAGCACACUAUGAGACUAUUGUAUUGAGACUUAGAGAUAGGCCAUGGACAUCUACUACUUUCCAUGUUUUAGAGAUGAUAACAUAGAGAUAGGCCUAUGAGAGAGUUGUGACGUAUUCCAUGUUGUUAAACAUGAGGACUUGGCACUUAAGACGGAUCUUUUGUUACUUGCUAUUGUACUCAUUCGCACAUGCUUGUGAGGGUCGCUCCCUACAAGCCGGCACUCCGGAGAUGGCCAUCGCGAUACAUAUUCGCCGUGCGGGAUUAGGUGCCGAAGUGGAUUGCCAUGGGAAAGGUUCAUUCCUAGAGUGGGGAUGUUGACUACCACGGGGCCAUUAGGCUCGGCACCGACCAGACAGCCUACGGGUGGGUUUCAAGGCCAGACAGCCUUCGUGCGGGUCUCUUCAGAUUUGAUUUUGAGCAUUCAUCAUGCCAUGUGGACAUUGAUUAGAAUAGUAAACAAUGACAUCUUUACUAUUUGACUUAUGGACAUCAUACUAGCGAUGCUUGGGUACAUUCGCAUGUGAAUAGCUUUCUUACUUAUGCUAAAUCAUGCUAAGUAGAGAUAUCAUGUGGUAGCAAAUAUUCAUACUUAUUUACUUGUGGUACAUAUCGUUUUGUUUAUAUCUGCUUACUGACCCCUUUUUAGUUUGGGCCUAGUGGUGCAUUUCACUGAAGCCAGUAAUUGCCCACUGGGAACUAUUAUUCAAUAGUUCUCACGCCCCCAAUUUUAUGGUUUUAUUUCAGAGCCUUCGGCACUGGCAGAGGCACGGGAUCGUAGCAAGGGAGUCGCGUAGCUAGUUAGCUGGAGCUACUUUUGAGUUUAGGUGAUUUGCUCUUUCUUUUAUUAUUUUAGAGAGAGAGAGAGAUUUUGUACCAUGUAUGGAGAGACCACCUAUGUACUUGUUUAGCUUUUGUAUUGGGAUUCCUAUUGUAUUCACUUUAUGUUUUUACUUAGUGGACUUACUUUUAUGUUCUUUUCCUCUAUCGUAGCAUCUAGAUAUAUUUGCUCUGAUACUCCUAGAUGUUCUCUUUUUACUGCCUUAUUUAUCGUUUUAUUUUAGACGCCUCGUAUGUUAUAGACAUACGGCGAGUCUGGACACGCGCCGGGUGGGCUUCCGCUGGGUCCUGGGGCGUGACAGAUUAGUUUGGCAUCAGAGCCUAGGGUUGAGUCUUAGUGGACCUAGCAAACCUUAAACCGGUUGAACUAUAGGAAAUAGGUUCAUGAGAGACGAGGUCUAUUUGACUUGUAAGCGAAAGUAUCGUGAUUGGGUAUCUUGAUAACUCUAGAAAGUGGAGUUAAAUUGAAGUGUAUAGUUCCUAACUUCGCGGAGGGUUCCGUUGGCGGCCGACAACGUAACAUCGGGAGUUAGUAGUGAAGCACACUUCAUUAUUUUCGCAUAAUUUGGGGUAUUAUCUGCUUAAGCGGGGAUACGAUAGCGUGGGUUACUAACUUAUGCUUUUAUGAUGUUGUAGUGAGAUGCCGAUCACUCGCUCCCAAUCUACCGGAGCAGAUAAUGCGGCACAUCUUGAGGAGGUCGGGACCUCCUCUAUCUUCGGAUCCGGCGAGGUCCGAGAGUUGAGGGGCCAGCUUGCGGCACUCACUGAUAUGGUGGCACAAGAGACGGAGGCGGCGCGCCGACAGGAGGCGCAGAUGAAGCGCUUGGAGGAUCUCCUACUUCAGCAGGCUACUGCUCGAGAGACUCAGGCCCCUACAUCGCCAGCACCAGUUGUGGACGUGGCACCGAGGGUGCCGUCACCCACGCACGGUUCUUCACGGGCAGCACCCGUGGUUGUACCCCGGGAGGAGGACAUAGUGGCACCACCGGCUCAGGCGCCACCGACAGGGGCAGUUUUUCCCGUGACGAUUUCUGCUGAGGAAAGGGACAGACUGAUGGAGCGCCUCAAUGAGUUCAGGAGGCGCAGUCCACGUAUCUUCGACGGUGAGAAGGUCCACCACUGGAUCGUGGAGAAGUGGUUGAUGCAUAUGGAGAAGCUCUUCCGCGACACCUUCGUGGAGGAGAGUGAUCGAGUUUGGCUCGCCGCACACUAUUUGGACGGCGAGGCCUACCGCUGGUGGUUAGAUCUCUAGGAGAACCCCAGUACUGAUUUGGCGGCUAUUACUUGGAAGAUGUUCAAGGAGCUUCUUUUGGCCACUACUUCCCGACUAGCGUCAAGAGGAAGAUAGAGUAGGACUUGGGCAACUUGCGCCAAGGAGAUCGAACUGUAGCCGAGUACGAGCGGGAGUUUUCUCGACUUCUACACUGCGUGCUUUUCAUUGUGCGAGACGACGAGGACAAGGCCCGCAAUUUCGAGCGAGGGUUGCGACCGUCGAUUUUUCGGUUCGUGCAAUCCUCUAACCUCCAGACCUACCGGGAGGUGGUGGAUCGCGCGCUCAUAGUGGAGAGCGGCGCAACAGAUGUCCAGGAGCGGCGCGAGGCGAUGGACAAAGAUAAGGCCAAGAGGCUUGCGGUGGAGGGUGCGAGCCAGACGCACUCUAGGAGGCCACCGAAGCAUCCUAGGAGCCAGCAGCGUGGGCGCGGCUCAGUAGCGCAGCGAGGAGGUUCUGACUGUCGUCGGCCUUCCCCGUGUGUGAACUGCGGUGGUCCCCAUUACCCACCGCAGUGUCCGCAGCGGGCGGGCAGGUGCUUCCAGUGUGGCCAGGAGGGCCACGUUCAGACCAAGUGCCCGAGAGGUUCUUCACCGGCACUGUCGACGGCAUCAGCACCGGCUCUACCAGCCGUCAGCCACGGGACUCCGUAGACACAGUACCAGCCUGGGCGGCCACCCAUCCAGAGCGAGAGCGAGGGAUUGCGACAGGCCCCGAGUGGGCGAUUGUAUGCCGCUCAGACCGAGGAGGCGGCAGCAGCCGAGGAUGUGGUUGCAAGUAUCAUUUUACUUGAUGGCAUUAGAGUUCGUGCUUUAUUUGAUACUGGUGCAUCGCAUUUAUUUAUAGAUCGGCUAUUUGCCGAGUUGCAUGGUAUCCCUUCGGUUUUCUUGUUGCAUCUGGGACAUAUUGUAGUACCCGACCACACUCUGGAUAUUAGAGAACAUUGCCCUAGUUGCCCUGUUCGGGUAGGAGAUUGGAUCAUGCCCGUAGAUUUGCUAGCUCUGCGCAAGCUAGGAAAUUUCGAUGUGGUCUUGGGUAUGGAUUGGCUAACCAAGUACUACGCCACCAUCGAUUGCAAGAAUCGCACGGUUACUUUUUGAGAACCGGGGCAGACUGAGGUUGUGUUUAGAGGAUGCCGGAGUUCGCUUUUUGCGAUGUCGAUCAGCUCGUCUCGAGCUAGGUAGCUGAUCAGCCGAGGAUGUGUAGCCUACUUGGCUAGUGUUGUGUUGAGGGGCGAGGAUGACACCCCUAGGAUUGAGGAUAUCCUGGUGGUACGAGAGUUUCAGGACGUGUUUCCAACUGAGCUACUGGGUAUGCCACCCGAUAAGGAGAUCGAGUUUAUGGUAGAUCUCGUCCCUGGGACUACUCCAAUCUCGAAGGCACCCUGUAGAAUGGCACUGGCGGAGCUGAGGGCACAGCUACAGGAUCUGUUGGACAAGGGUUUUAUUCGACCGAGCGUAUUGCCGUGGGGAGCACCAGUUCUGUUUGUCAAGAAAAGGGGCGGAUCACUUUGCCUAUGUGUGGACUAUCAUGAACUUAAUAAAGUCACGAUCAAGAAUAAGUAUUCGUUGCCGAGGAUCGAUGGCUUGUUUGAUCAGCUUCAGAGAUCGUGUGUGUAUUCCAAGAUAGACUUGCAGUCGGGAUACCACCAAUUGAAGAUCAAAUCCGAGGAUGUAUCGAAGAUGGCUUUUAAAACACGGUAUGGACAUUACGAGUUCACUGUUAUGCCGUUCCGGCUUACUAAUGCCCCGGCAGCUUUUAUGGAUCUGAUGAACAAUGUUUUUAAGCCUUAUCUGUACAGGUUCGUCGUGGUGGUCAUCGACGACAUUUUGGUUUAUUCCUGAAGCGAUGCGGAUCAUGAGGAGCAUUUGAGGCUUGUACUUCAAAUAUUUCGGAGAAAGGAGCUUUAUGCCAAGCUGAAAAAGUGUGAAUUUUGGCUUCGAGAGGUAGCCUUCCUUGGACAUUUGAUAUCGGGAUUGGGUAUAGCCGUGGAUCCUAAGAAAAUUAAGGCUAUCAAGGAUUGGCAGAGACCGACGAGCGUUACGAAGAUCCGGAGUUUCCUUGGACUGGCCGGUUACUACCGGAGAUUUGUCGAGGGGUUCGCUAAGCUAUCUACUCCCCUCACGAGGCUUACGCAUAAAGGUGUCAAGUUCAUCUGGAAUGAUGCGUGUGAAAGAAGCUUCCAAGAGUUGAAGCAGAGACUGACGACCGCCCCGAUCUUGACCCUACUCGUGGCUGGAGCAGGGUAUGUGAUUUAUAGUGAUGCUUCACAUAAUGGAUUGGGCUGUGUUUUGAUGCAGGACGGCAAGGUGAUUGCGUAUGCUUCUUGCAAACUAAAGGAAUAUGAAAAGAAUUACCCUACGCACGAUUUGGAGUUGGCGGCCAUAGUCUUCGCAUUGAAGUUAUGGCGCCACUACUUGUAUGGCGAGCGGUGUGAAGUAUACACGGAUCACAAGAGCCUCAAAUACCUGUUCUCAGAAGGAGUUGAACUUGAGACAGCACAGAUGAUUGGAGCUGCUCAAGAAUUAUGAUUUGACUAUUCUUUACCACCCGGGCAAGGCUAACGUGGUGGCGGAUGCGCUAAAUAGAAAAUCAACGAAAAACUUAGCGAUGCAUGUUGUUACUCAACCGCAGUUGAUCGAGCAGAUGAAGUGGUUGGAGUUGGAGGUCGUGAUUCCAGAUACGCCUUUGAGAUUGAUGAUUUUGGUGGCGCAACCUACACUUUUGGAUAGAAUUAAAGAGAAGCGAGCUUCCGAUGUGGAGUUGCAAAAGGUUCGAGAUAAAAUGGUUGAUGGUUGCACCGGCAACUUUCUUGUGGAUGACCAAGGAGUGAUGCAUUUCCGUGGACGGAUUUGUAUACCGGCGGAUUUGGGAAUUAAAGAGGAUAUUCUUCAAGAAGCGCACCGAGCGCCCUAUGCUAUACAUCCGGGAGGCAGCAAAAUGUACAAGGACUUGAAGUUGCUUUAUUGGUGCCCCGGGAUGAAAAAGGACGUUGGCGAGUUUGUAGCUCGUUGUCUAACUUGCCAACAAGUGAAGGCUCAGCAUCGAUUACCGGCGGGAAAACUUCAGAGUUUGCAUAUUCCCAUGUGGAAGUGGGAGAAGAUCACCAUGGACUUCGUGACUAGGUUGCCCCGCUCUCAGGCCGGGCAUGACGCUAUAUAGGUGAUCGUGGAUAGGUUGACGAAGUCGGCACACUUCAUACCUACUCAUACUACUUAGACCCGGAGAGAAGCUCGCACAAGUGUACCUUGAUGAGAUUGUGCGCCUUCACAUCGAUAGUAUCGGAUCGAGACACUCGGUUUGUGUCUCACUUUUGGAGGAGCCUACGGGACGCCCUAGGCACUCGAUUAGACUUUAGCACUGCUUUCCACCCUCAGAGUGAUGGGCAGUCGGAGCGCACCAUUCAGACUUUAGAGUAUAUGCUCCGAGCAUGUGUGAUAGACUUCCAGCGAGGAUGGUCGCAACAUCUACCUAUGGCUGAGUUUGCUUAUAACAACAGUUAUUAAGAGAGCAUCAAGAUGGCGCCGUUUGAAGCACUUUAUGGACGGAAGUGUAGAUCGCCACUUCAUUGGAGUGAAGUCGGUGAGAGAUUGGCAUUAGGCCCUGAUGUGCUCCAGGAAGCUGAGGACAAGGUUCGAAUUGCCCGACUAGAGGGAUCAAGAGAUUCGGGAUUCGGGGUAAGUUGAGCCCCCGUUUCGUUGGACCGUAUGAGAUUUUGGAGCGUGUAGGUCCGGUAGCGUAUCGACUUGCUCUACCACCGAACCUAUCGAGCUUGCACAACGUCUUUCAUGUAUCGGUCCUUCGGAAGUACGUCUUCGACCCUACUCAUGUAUUGGAUGCUACACCUGUGGAGUUGCGAGACGACUUGAGCUUCGAGGAGCAACCGGUGAGGAUUUUAGCUCGCGAGGUGAAGAAACUGCGGAAUCGGGAUAUUCCGUAUGUGAAGGUUCUUUGGAGCAACCACAGGGAGUGGGAGGCCACGUGGGAGCUAGAGAGCGCGCUGCGGGAGCGCUAUCCCCAUCUUUUUCAGAUGGAGCUUUGAGGUAUGCGUUGCUUUUGAGUUUCGCGGACGAAACUCCUUUUUAGGAGGGGUGAAUGUAGCACACCGGACCUUUGCAAAUUGCGAGGUUCGAGUGUUUGAUAUGGAUUCCGAACUUUUCCACACUUGGUGGAAUGUCGUAGAUGGUAUUCCGACCUAAAAUUUCGAUUCCUGGAGUUUUGGCAUUGUCCUGAGAGUUUUCACUCUCGGGGACCGGUCCCUGAUAGGAGAGACCGGUCCCCUCAGAAUAGUGCUGCGGCAGUACUUGAGGCAACCGGUCCCUGGCGGGUUAGACCGAUCCCCGAGUGCGACUACGCGGGGAGAGACCGGUCCCAUACGGGGAGAGACCGGUUCCCGAACGUUGGAUUUUCGGGGCAGGCUGAGAGACCGAUCCCAGGUCGGGGAGACCGGUCCCUCAGUCCGAAAACUGCCCAGACCAGGGCAAUGCACAUGUUGGAUUUUUGAGGGACUUAUGUGGAUUUUGUUGCUUCAAAGGGCUUUAAGGCCAUUUCCUCACCCUCUCACCCUCAUUCACUCCCUCACAUUCUCUCUACACCCUCUAGAAAGAGAAGAAGAAGGAGAAGAAGAAGGAGUUGGAGGAGAGUAAGAUCUUGAGGCCUUGGAGCAUCUUCCUCUCCCUUUUCUUACCAUUGGAGGCUUAGGGCUUGCUAUUGGGGCUUUGUGGAGGAUAAUCUUCAACCCUAGAAGAUUUGGAGGUUGUUUUGGGACCUCUAGAGAGGUUAGUAUCUUGAUUCUAGCCUUUGAUCCAUGUUUUGGUAGGUUUUACCAUAUGAAACCCUAGAAACGAGAUUUAGGGUUUAUUUUGGAAAAUUUUGAUUUGAGGGCUUUGAAACCUAAUUGAUGGGUUUAGAACCUUUAUUUAGGUUGGAUUUGAAGAACUCUAACUCCCAUUUGGAGCUUGAGAGAGGAUUUCUUCACUUGAGGUGAGUUUUCCCCACCUUAGCCUAUGUUACUUAUUGAUUGAGCUUAGAGUUGAUUGUAAAGUUCGUUUAACCCUUGUUCCUAUAUCUUUAGGGUGCCAGGAGACUAGCGGACACCUUCGUUGGAGCAAACGAAGGAGUGCAAGAGUUGUGGUGGGUUUGGCUUAAUGAAAACGGGGCGAAAUGGCCCCCAUGCUUUCUGUACUCGUCGUAACGUCAUUUUAAAUGUAAAUGUAUGCUAAAUAAAAUUUAUGUGAAUAUUAGAACACUUAAAAUGUAUGUGUUAUGUAUAAGAUAAUUUUCACUCUAUAUAGUAGAGCAUUCUGGGUAUCGUUACAUGCAUUUAAGUAGUGUUCACACUAGUCGUUUGGAAACAUGCUUCAUAUGUUUAAAGUGGCUCAAUUAUGUAUUUAUGAACAUUUGGGUUAAGCUUGGACUUAGUUAAUGAAAGUGUCAUAAAGGGGCACUUAGACUAGCACACUAUGAGACUAUUGUAUUGAGACUUAAAGAUAGGCCAUGGACAUCUACUACUUUCCAUGUUUUAGACACGAUAACAUAGAGAUAGGCCUAUGAGAGAGUUGUGACGUAUUCCAUGUUGUUAGACAUGAGGACUUGGUACUUGAGACGGAUCUUUUGUUACUUGCCAUUGUGCUCAUUUGCACAUACUUGUGAGGGUCGCUCCCUACAAGCCGGCACUCUGGAGAUGGCCAUCGCGAUACAUAUUCGCCGUGCGGGAUUGGGCGCCGAAGUGGAUUGCCGUGGGACAGGCUCAUUCCCAGGGUGGGGAUGAUGACUACCACGGCGCCAUUAGGCUCGGCACCGGCCAGACAGCCUACGGGUGGGUCUCAGGGCCAGACAGCCUUCAGGCGGGUCUUUUCAGAUUUGAUUUUGAGCAUUCAUCAUGCCAUGUGGAUAUUGAUUAGAAUAGUAAACAAUGAUAUCUUUACUAUUUGACUUAUGGACAUCAUACUAGCGAUGCUUGGGUACAUUCGCACGUGAAUAGCUUUCUUACUUAUGCUAAAUCAUGCUAAGUAGAGAUAUCAUGUGGUAGCAAAUAUUCAUACUUAUUUACUUGUCGUACAUAUCGUUUUGUUUAUAUCUGCUUACUGACCCCUUUUUAGUUUGGGCCUAGUGGUGCAUUUUUCUGAAUCCAGUAAUUGCCCACUGGGAACUAUUACUCAAUACCUCUCACGCCCCCCGUUUUAUGGUUUUAUUUCAGAGCCUUCGGCACCGGCGGAGGCAGGGAUCGCGGCAAGGGAGUCGCGUAGCUAGUUUGCUUGGAGCUACUUUUGAGCUUAGGUGGUUUGCUCUUUUUUUUUAUUAUUUUAGAGAGAGAGAGAGAUUUUGUACCAUGUAUGAAGAGACCACCUAUGUACUUGUUUAGCUUUUGUAUUGUGAUUCCUAUUGUAUUCACUUUAUAUUUUUACUUAGUGGACUCCUAGAUGUUCUCUUUUUACUGCCUUAUUUAUCGUUUUAUUUUAGACGCCUUAUAUUGUCACGCCCCGGGACCCAACGAAAGCCCGCCCGGCGCGUGCCCAGACCCGCCAUAUGUCUACAACAUAUAAGGCGUCUAAAAACAACGAUGAUAAGAGCAAUAAUAAAAGACAUCUAGGAGUAUCAGAGCAUAGAAAAUGUCUAAUUGCUAACAACAAGGGAUAAAGUUCAAACUGUAAGUCCACUAAAUAAAACAUAAAGUAAAUACAAUAGGAAAUCCCAAAGACAAGUACUAUGAGUAGAUACAUAGGUGGUCUCUAUACAGGGUACAAAAACUCUCACUCUCUCAACUACAAAAGAAAGAGUAAACCACCUAGGCAAGUAAGCNUGGACACGCGCCGGGCGGGCUUCCGUUAGGUCCUGGGGAAAAACAGGUAUUAACAGAAAAAUUUUAUGUAAUUUAUCCAAAAAUAAAAUUGAACUAUAAAGAUGAAACAACUAGGCCUCGAAACUUAUGUAUUACACACUCGUUAAUAAAUCUCGCGUCGAAUCGGACACACCAAUAUUCAUAUUGGACCCGUGCUAGAAAUAUAAUAAUAUCUUGACAGAAUUAUAUUUUAUAUAAAUAUAUAUAAUAGAUUAAUAAUAUAAUAUUUUAUUAGCGGUGUCUGAGUCGAAUUUGUUUUUGAAGUUGCUGAGUUACCAUAUCCGAGUCAUACUGUGUUUGCAGAUAUUGGUUUAGAGCUGUUUGUCUGUCUAUUGGGUCAAUUUAUAAAAUACUAGUUAUGUGCGAUGCACCUCAUAUUUAGUAUAUUUAGAUUUAUAUUUUGAAUUUAAAUAGUUAUCAAUGGUAUGAGUCUAUUUAUUAUUUGAUUUUUUAACUUUAAUUUAUUUUCAAUUUAGUUAUAUAGUAAGUGUUUUUCAUAUGUAUUUCAUAAUAUACAAAUUUUCUUUUAUUGUGUAUCCCAGUUUUAAAAAUUUGAAUUAAUUCUAAAUUUUAAUUUAAAAAGUUCAAAUUUAAAUUUAUUGUGAGGACUGUGAUUUUUUUAUAUAAUAAAAUACUUUGUUAGCAAUAUUUUUAUGUGCAUUUUAAUUUCAUAUUCACUCGCCAAAUUUUAGUGAAAAAUGAGUUAAAUUGAAGCUUUUACGCGAUUUUCGUUAUUCACUUAAGAAAAUAGUAACUCAUAUUUCCAAAAGAGGCUGUUGAGUGUAGAUGCCUUUUGUCACAUACCGACACCGUUUCGGGCGAUCAAUAGCUCGUUUUCGAUGGUCUGACUGUGUUGAAGAUAACAACACUGACGAAUUUUUUGUUUGAUGCACAGUUUUUGAGAAAAGUGAAUUUUAUCGUAGUUAGAGCAAAAUAUACUUCGCGUUUCUGCUUUUUAAGCACAACCGGUGCGCCGUUUUGCAACAAAACCCACGGGCGGGGACCUUUCAGCGAAAGAAAAGUGGUAGAGAAGGCUGAGUCGUAAAUUUGGGAGUUAUGAGGGGUUUUUGGGGUAAUUAUCCUAAACUACAUAGGGUAAAUUUUGAGGAUUAGGGUUUCAUGACCCCUAACCCUAACCCUAAUUCUCUCUUGCUCCCAUAUCUGGUACUCUUGAGAGGCGCCGCCGCCGCCAUCGCCGUGCCAGUUGCAAGAGAAGCCUCCCUCUUCUCCUCUCUUUCUAUUUUUCUCACUCUUUCCUCCAUUUUGGCUUUGUGGGUGGAGGUGACCCGAGCCUCCUAUUCCGGCACCGCCACCAACUGGGACCACUGCCGUCAUCAUCACCCGACCUCGGGCGACCAUCCCUGAGGCUUCUCGGUGCCGUGUGCCCUACAUUGCCACCGUGGCCAACGGGAACUAGACCGGACUCGUGUGACCGUAGGUCCCACCCGGCCGUCGUUGCCGAGCAGCGCCAUCCUAGCCUUCCUUUGCCGGUCUUGGGGGAACCCUCGGCACCAUUGCCGACCUCCCAAAAUCGCCAGAGAGGUCGUGCGCUCGUGCCCUAGCCAUUGCUUUAUUUUGGGACGCCGCGUGACAGCCACGUCGCCGCCGCCUCCCGUUGUCAGCUAGGGCCGCCGGGCACCUCCUUUGGGUGCAAUGACCUUCCGCUGGGCGGAGCUCACCCCCUACGUGCAGCCAGCCAUUGCCACCAUUGUGCCCUAGCUCUGCCUAGGCUCGGGUCUGGGAGUGGCUUGGGAUGGUCUUCUUGUUCUAGCCAUCGGAGACUACGGCGUGCAUCCAAAGCAUAAGCACCACACUACUGGGAUCUUGUGGAGUGCCGUGCUCACCCUCGCUGCGUUCGACGAGGUUCUGAUGAGUGCGAUGAUCUCGAUCGCUUUUGGGAUCAAUCCUUUGGUGGACUUUCUUGCUGUUUUGAAGCUUUUCGGCCGUCGUUUGCGCUCCGGACAUCGAGCACAAGCAUCAUCAUGUCGAGACGAAUCAAAUCGACUGGAUGGUGGGAUUCGUUGCGACAUAGAUAGGGGUAACAAGAUCGAAACUCGUUUUAUAUAUUAAUUAUAUAGUAAUUAAUAUUAUAAUGGGUUUGUUGCAUAUUUUAUGCAUUGGGGAUGCCAUGUAUUGCCUCGCAUAGCAAUUGUGGUUAACAACCUCUUGACUGAUUGUCAAAGGUUUGGGAGCCGUUGCGGAGUUUUGAUGUGGCCCCACGACGUCGUUCGGUGGAAAUUCGCUAAUCGGAUGUUAGUUAUUUGUGGGUUUUGGUGUUCUAAUGCCGUGGAUAGCUUGAGAGCCCUGCCAUGCCUUGUUGGUUGGUUGCUACUACUGUCCUCGAAGUACAAGGGUGGUAGAUUAGCGGCGGGAGGGUUUCGGAGCUUGAUUUGGCGAUUUUGGAAACCUGAUUUGGCAGAUUUCUACGUAGUCGAUCAUUUAGUUUUUGUUGAGGGUUGUUGCUGCUUGGGCACUUGUUUUGGUGCGUUUGGGGACAACGGAUAGUUAUGGUAAGGAUUGGAGAAUUUCGGAACAAUUUGUGGGUUUCGAAGGCAUUUCGGUAAGUUCCGAAAGUUUCGGUGAGUUGUUGAGAUAUCGGUUUCUGCGACUGUUUGUUUGUGUUGUUUGGGAGUCUCAUUUGGAUAGAGCUUGACUUAGUGGAUCUCUCGUAGGUCUGGCGGAUGGUUUCGUAUGUUUUGCAUUUUAGGUUCUCGAUAGUACAGGUGGGUACUUCGAGCUGAUAGUCAGUGAGUUCAUUUCACUUUUCUCUUUUCUUCUAUUACACUUACAUAUCUGUAUCUUAGUCUCUGCCUUUUCUUACUGUUCGCAUAUCUAUACUUGUUACUUGCAUUGUAUACUUGUUGUAGACAUGUAGAGCAGGCUUGCACUUGACUAUCUAUCAGACCUUUAGGUCCAGGCAUUACAGUUCUUUUGCUAUUGUUGCAUAUUACACUAGUUGAUCAAGUUCAACAUCUAUACGCUAGGCAUCUAGCUUCGGCCAAGGCAUCGGCUUCCUAUCAGCUUUCGUGUUGAGCAUUUCGUAUGACUUAGUCACAGCACUUUGAGUAUAUUCAUGACACCGGUCGGUUUGCCCAACGACCAGGCGGUGUACUAUACGUAUAGGUCAUCUAGAGGAUGCAUAGGUUAGGUUGGUGUAGGCAUUGUAACAGGCAACACUUAAGGUUUACGGACCAAUAUGGCAGGCACUGGAUUGGGUUUGAUUUGGAUUACUUACCCUUGAGGCAUCUAUUCAGUUGUGGUUGAACUGUUACAGUAGUAGUUUGUUACUUGCUCAUUUACUAUUUCGUUACUAUUACUAUUGUAGUUCGUUUUUGUAUCAUGACAUAUGUGUACUAGCUAGAUCGUAUUAGCGGUCCUUACCCUUGUUCUGCUUCAUUUAUUGCAUUUCGUAGUUUAAGUAAAUGAACGGUUCAAUUAGAUGACCAAAUUAUUGUUGCAUUAAUAAUAAUCUUGAACUUGUAUGAAUGUGAGAUUUCGAUUAUGUAUAUACUCGGACUUUUUUGUAUAUUCAGUAUUUGGGCUUAUGGAAUCAUGUUAUUUGGUUUUCUCUCCCUCGUAGUAGUCAGUUUUCAAAGGGUUUUUGAAUAGUUUUCAAUUGAUAAAUAUUUAGAAUUUUAAAAAGAUAAAACUUCCGAGUGGAGAGUACUUUUAAUAGGGACUCUGUCCGUUCAGCGGUCUGUGUACAUGCCCGAACCGAUCAAAGUGGCGGUCUCGAGGCGUGACAGAUAAGGUGGUAUCAGAGCGUAGAAGUGGUUUAGAUGGAACUAAGAGACCCUAGGAUACAGUAAACCAUAAGAACCUAGGCUCGUGAUAGACGAGAACUUGUGAAAUAUGGCAAAAGAGUCAUUAAUUGGGACAAGUGUUGUGUGCCUCUAGUCGAAUGUUAGAGGUAGAUUCAAGGUGUGGUGCAUUCUCAAUCGGAGGUCUUCAUGUUUGGCAGCCGACAACAUGAAGCCGAGUGGUGAGAAUGAACACCAUUGUGUGAUUUUUGCCUGAUUUGAUUCUGUAUCGAUGCUAAUCGUUUGUACUUGACCUAGAAGGUCGAGAAUUUGAUUAAGUUGUCAUGUUGCAGGAAACGAUAAUGCUGCGUAGGCGAUCUUCAACGAGAUCGAUGUGGGAUGGGCCAAGUGGGGUCCUUGAGCAAUCCAAGGCGAGUAGGGACUCGGAGCUCCGUGAAUAGUUGGUCACACUCAUUGGAGUAGUGAGACAACAAGCUAAUACUGUGCAGCGACCGCAGGAAGCUGCCCUGCGCCAGGAGGAACUGUAGUAUACCGAAUUUAACAAAAAAGGGUAAAAAUAAUUAAAAAUAGUGUGAGAUACUAUUUUUAUUGAAUUUAUAGAAGUAAAAUAUAAGUCGAAAAUGACUCGUGUGGAAAUCAGAGUGAGAACAGAAGAUUUUAAAUUUUUUGUGUGAAUCGAGGCUGUUAUUUUAGCAGAAAAUGCAGUGUCAGAAAAUUAUGAAAACUUGGAAUUAUGUUCGGAAUAUUUUUAUGAGGCUAGAUUUAAAGUUUCAUAUUGAUCCGACACCUGGAAGGUGAAAAAUAAAAUCCGACUGCUAUCUGCUAGAGAUUACAGUUCGGUAGAGUUUUCGGUGACCAAACAUGGUCGUAACGGAAAGAUUUAAAUUUCUUUCUUCUAGUUAGGUAAAACCGAGCCUGACUGUCAAAUUUGAGCGCAAUUGGACAUUCAGAAGGGCUUCGGUGAAAAACAUCAGUUUGUAUCUGCUGAUGAAAGAGUGAGCUCCAAACCGAGAGAGAGAGAAAGAGUGAGUUUUCUCCCCUUUCUCUCUUUGUCUCUAAGAUCUCUCUCUCUCUCUACCAAAGAGAGGAUUGGAGGAGAAAGUUGGAGCAAGCUUGGUGGAGAAGAAGGCUUGGAGUUGAAACUUCAUCUUCAUCUUCUCUUUCCUUGGUCUAAGAGAAAACUUGAGAGGUAAGCUUCAUAGGGCUUUAAUGGUAGAAUUUUAGAGCCUCAAUUACAUGCUCUAGGAAUGGGUUUAGAGAACUCCCUAGAUGCUAAUAACAUGUUAAUUGCAUGAAUCAAGUUCCAAUUUGGUGAUUUCUUGCAAUAGUAGCAUGUUAGAGCUCAAAAAAGGAGUUUUGUUAUAUAAGGGGGUUUGAUCUAAAUUGAACAUAUUCUAACCUAAUUGUUAGGUAUACGAACGCGCUGGCGAAGUCGGUUUGGCGAUACGACGAGGCUACGCGAAGAUACUGAAGAAAAGGCCGAGUUUGGUACAGAUUGCCGCAGCUUGCGGCGUAAGCUUCCUAAAAUCACGAAACCGGAAUCGUAGCAUCGUGACAUUACCUAAAGUCUUGGAGCUAGGAGCAAGGCUUGUUUGAGGGAUUUUCUACUCAUAGGGUGCUAGGAGGGUCGUAGGCACCUUCGUCGACGCAUCGAAGGGUCGCGUGGAGCUCUCGGUGGGUUUGGCCUCACCGAAAUGGGAUAAAUUUUUCUUAAGAUGGUUUUCACUUAUCGUAAAAUAAUAAUGCAUGCUAGAUAGAAUAUUUCAGAAUUUUAGAAUGCUUAAAAUGCACAUGUUAUAUACAAUGCAUGUUGGACCUCUAUGUAGUAGAGAGUUUUCGUGUUGGGCUUAGCCUUAUGGAUAGCAUUCUUAUUUGUGGCUUUAGAUCAUGUUGCAUCUAGUGAAUAUGUCACGCCCCGGGUCCCUUUUAGUUUAAAAGAUAGCGAAAAAGCGUCUGAAUUUUUUUUUGAAAAUUUGACCCCAGAGUAUGCCAAAUCCGCCACAAAUACAGGGAAUCCACUGUUCACUCGGACAGAGUCUUCCCUGUAUUUGUACGGCGUCUCACAAGUACAAGAGUUCAAACAUGAUACAACCACAACCAGAUGAACAUACAAAUAACCAACAGUUAUAUAUUCAUACACCAUUCACCACAUUUUAACAUUUAUACAUUCAGUAUUUAAACAUAAAUCCAUAUCUAUCAGUUAAAAUGUUUCCAACCACAGAAACAGGUUUUGAAAUACUAAGAUACAAAAUCCACAGAAAAUCUUUUGAAAGCUGUUCCCUAUACGAGAACUUUUAUCUUUUUAAAAAACGCUACCACGAGGGGUAGAAAACUAUUUUUAUUUCAUGAAGACACAAUGAAGACACAAAAUCCUUUAUUACAUUACAAAACCAACUGAAAACAUCAAUAUCCAGAUAGUAAAAUAAAAUUGAACCAUAAUAUGUCUAACUUAGUUAUUUAUUUAAGCAUGAAGAGUAAGGGGAGAUAAACCAAACCACGGGACGGAAAGUUCUAUCGUAUGCUAGACUCGAUCCUCACCAGCUGUCCCACUCGGACCUCUUACGUCACCUGUAAUGGGGGCGGGGGGUGAGAACAUAUAAACAUGUCCCCCCUCCCAGUGGGUACCGCAAGCCGAAGAAGGCGAGGGGUACUCACUAGUCACGGAGAUAAACAAGUAUAUAGAUAAUGGUAGUACAGUAGCUAAGAUAAACAAGUACUGAAAUGUAUAUGAAUAAACCACUACAGCUACUGUAUGCAUGCAUCAACGGGACAAUCAGUCCAAAAGUAUCCAAUCUGAAAUGGCCGUAUUGGUACCCAACACCUCAGGCCUAUGCCAUAUCUGCUCUGACAGAAACAAGCCAUAUUGGUACCCAACACCUCAGGCUGAAAGCAUAUAACCUCACAAGGGCUCACGGGUUGACACAAGCAACCACUUUUUCGGAAAAGAACACCCUCUUGCGGUGGAUCAGACCGCUGGUGUUUGUGAAAUGCGUGUGAGCAGUGGCGAUCGAUGCAGAAUGCUCAAUAGCCAAACGUCGGCAACGAGCCGACAAUCCUGCCCACUCAGGGAACACUUACCAUAUGGGUCCUCAUGUAACAAAAUCGACCAACCAGGUCACAAGUAUAGAAUAUGAACUCGACCAACCAUGUCACAAGUAUAGGAUACGAAACUCGACCAGCCAGGUCGUAGAUACAAUAUAGGAGAAUUGAUCAACCAGGUCACAGAUACAAAUAGGAGAAUCGACCAACUAGGUCAUAGAUAUCAUAAACGGAUAAAAUAUACUCUACUCCUACACAUGAUACUACACAUGGAAACAUCUAAGUAGAGUAAAUAAGGAAAUAGCAUGGGUGCAGGGCUCAACAUGUAUAAGGUAAGUGAUAUGAAUAACAAGGGUAAAGGAAACGUCACCGAGCGUGCACCACUGUACCGACUUCGGAUCGAAGUACCCACCUGUACGUGUCUGACGAAGAUCUCUCGACUGUGAAGACGGAACAAUCGAACCUACGAAAGGUCCAACGGGUUAGAAUCUAACCCACUAACAUGUCUCGCUAACACACAAUCCCCACUCACCAAAACCAUGAGAACUGGUUUUCCCAAAACCGAUUACCGAACAAGCCGGAAGUCCCGAAAACCGCACCGGAACUCCACCGUCGCUCACCCGUCAUUUCCGAACCCUCGAAAUGAUGCGGGUGACCAGCCAACAAGGCUCAGUGACGUCGCAAAUAAUCACCAAGUACCGUCGGAAGAAUUCCGAACCGAAACCGCGUUCUAUCGGCAGAUUUUACCGAGAAACGCUCCGAAAAUCACUUUUCGAUCUUCGCAGGGGCUUGGGGCCUUGGACGAUCAGUCCAGAGGUUAUCCUCAGCCCAAACAUGCUGCCAACAGCAGCCCCGACAAACAGAAUUGCAUAAAAGCCCUCCCAGAUACACAAAAUCACAUCAUUUUAUGUGAUUUUAGGGCUUUUAUGGUCCGUGCACACAAACUAGAGGUCGAUUAAUCAGACCGUCACACUCGUUGAUAGGUUUCAGCGUGUCGGAGGCCGUGCUCACCUUUCAGAGCACUGCCGGCCACUGUGGCAUGCGCACGAGCGACGCAAAAAUCAGCAAAACAGCGCGCACAGCGCUAAGAUUAUGUCUAAUACACCAACCAGGGCAUCUCAGCCUUUAACAGAGGUGAGCAUGAUGUUCAGCACGAAACAACGAUGAUCAUGCUCACCUCUACAUUCGUCGGGGUGCUUUCGGAUCACUUAAAAGGCGACCGGAACCCCAAAAUAUAAUGCUGGAACCGUAAUUACAGCCUUACCAGAACAGUGGAGCUAGGGUUGGUCACCGGCGGCCGGACGGUGGGUGGUUUGGCCGGGGAAGUGUGGUGCUCCCCGCUGUGGGCGGCGGCAACGCGUGGAUAGGAGGGAAGCCCAGCCUCGGCCCGCACCAAGUUUGGGCCGCUGUAGGGAGCUNAGAAUCGACCAACCAGGUCACAGAUAUCAUAUACUGAUGAAAUCUACUCUACUCCUACACAAGAUACUAAACAUGGAAACAAACGAGUAGAGUAAAUAAGGAAAUAGCAUGGGUACAGGGCUCAACAUGUAUAAGGUAAGUGAUAUGAAUAACAAGGGUAAAGGAAACGUCACCAAGCGUGCACCACUAUACCGACUUCGGAUCGAAGUACCCACCUGUACGUGUCUGACGAAGAUCUCUCGACUAUGAAGACGGAACAAUCGAACCUACGAAAGGUCCAAUGGGUUAGAAUCUAACCCACUAACAUGUCUCCCUAACACACAAUCCCCACUCACCAAAACCAUGAGAACCGGUUUUUCCCAAUACCGAUUACCGAACAAGCCGGAAGUCCCGAAAACCGCACCAACUCCACCGUCGCUCACCCGUCGUUUUCGAACCCUCGAAACGAUGCGGGUGACCAGCCAACAAGGCUCAGCGACGUCGCAAAUAAACACCAAGUACCGUCGGAAGAAUUCCGAACCGAAACCGCGUUCCAUCGGCAGAUUUUACCGAGAAACGCUCCGAAAAUCACUUUUCGAUUUUCGCAAGGGCUUGGGGCCUUGGACGGUCAGUCCAGAGGUUACCUCAGCCCAAACAUACUGCCAACAGCAGCCCGACAAACAGAAUUGCAUAAAAGCCCUCCAAGAUACACAAAAUCACAUCAUUUUAUGUGAUUUCAGGGCUUUUAUGGUCCGUGCACGCAAACCAGAGGUCGAUUAAUCAGACCGUCACACUCGUUGAUAGGUUUCAGCGUGCUGGAGGCCGUGCUCACCUUUCGGAGCAUUGCCGGCCACUGUGGCAUGCGCACGAGCGACGCAAAAAUCAGCCAAACAGCGCGCACAGUGCUAAGAUUACGUUUAAUACACCAACCAGGGCAUCUCAGCCUUUAACAGAGGUGAGCAUGAUGUUCAGCAUGAAACAACGAUGAUCAUGCUCACCUCCACAUUCAUCGGGGUUCUUUCGGAUCAUUAGAAAGGCGACCGGGACCCCAAAAUGAAAUGCUAGAACUGUAAUUACAGCCUUACCAGAACAAUGAAGCUAGGGUUGGUCGCCGGCGGCCGGACGGCGGGCGGUUCGGCCGGGGAGGGGUGCAUCCGGUCGGAAGGGUCCAAGGCAGGUGCUGGCUGGCGGCGGGAGGCGGUAGGUGGCGCGGCGGCUGAGAUCAACUCACGGCUUGCUCUCGGGUUCAAAUGGUCCGCAGCGGCCCAGCGGCGGCCGGAGGAGCUCUGGGCGACGACGAUCCGUCGCCGGAGGCCGUGGGAAGUGUGGUGCUCCCCGCUGUGGGCGGCGGCGACGCGCGGAUUGGAGGGAAGCCCAGCCUCGGCCCGCACCAAGUCUGGGCGGCCGCAGGGAGCUCGGACGGCGGCCGGCGGCGUGCGGGGAGACGGAGCUAUAGGAGAACCGAGAGGAGGCCGGGGUGGCUUUUCCGGCGGCCGGAGCUGCUCGCCGGCGGUCCGGGUGUGCGUAUAGGCAGGGGAGGGUGUAGGUGGGGCGGCUAGUAUUAGCUAGGUGAACGUGGGCAGCCAAAGAACCAUGGAAACCCUAGAUGCCCCUUUUAUACAAGGUGUCAUUUUGCGAGAAACCCCUUCAAAGUCAAAUAAUUAUAAUCCUGCCCCUGCCUGCGUGUGUAACUUGCAGGCGAGCCCCUCGACAUUCAAAAUCUCGUGAAAUGACGCAUAAAAUACAUGGUCUUUUCGCGAUUAAUCGAUUCUGCCAAAUUGACCUCUCAGCGGACUUUUCACGAUUCCCGAAGAUCCGUCCGUCGAAUUUCCGAACGGAUUGCGCCAGCGCGUUCAGCACGACUGGGGCAUCGAAUCUAGCAUUUUAUUUCAUCUGAUUUGGUCUCUGAUCAGCGACGAAACCUGCCCUCUCUAUUUUCACCAUAUAACCACUUAUAUUAAUACGUGUAAUUUCAAUCAAACCCCUUUUUUCUUGACAACCGUGCAUCAGAACCCAAUUCCGUCAGUGCCAUUGGGUCCAGAAUGGUCGAGCCAUUCGAAACGAGCUAUUGAAGUCCUAUAUUCGGAGUUCAACGUACACCAAAACCCUUCUCUAAUCCUUGGCUCAUCCGGAAAGCCGGAGUUACUAUUCACUUAAGUCGUCGGUUCGGGUCGCGUAACUUCGCCGUCUUAGGUCAUUUUCUCCUGAAAUUUGACGAGUGGUUUAGUAAUUACAUUACACACAAAAACAUCAUCAACCAAGGGUUUAAUUUUAUUUUUCAAAAACUUCGGUUAUUACAGAAUAUGACAAGUAUAAAUGCACAUGUUAUAUACAAUGCAUGUUCGACCUCUAUGUAGUAGAGAGUUUUCGUGUUGAGCUUGGCCUUAUGGAUAGCAUUCUUAAUUGUGGCUUUGGAUCAUGUUGCAUCUAGUGAAUAUAACAAGUAUAAAUGCACAUGUUAUAUACAAUGCAUGUUGGACCUCUAUGUAGUAGAGAGUUUUCGUGUUGUGCUUAGCCUUAUGGAUAGCAUUCUUAUUUGUGACUUUGGAUCAUGUUGCAUCUAGUGAAUAUGACAAGUAUUAUACACUCUUGGAUUUGAAACUCAUGCUUGACAUAGAUGAUCAGUUAAUGUCAUAAAGUGGCAUUAGACUUGAGUAAUGCAUGUUAUAGUAAGCUAAUGUCAUAAAGAAACAUUGGGCUUGGAAUUGGUAUAGUAGGCUAAUGUCGUAAUGAGACAUUGGUCUUGGAAUUGGUAUAGUAAGUUAAUGUCAUAAAGAGACAUUGGGCUUGGAAUUGGUAUAGUAAGCUAAUGUCAUAAAGAGGUAUUGGGCUUGGAAUUGAUGUAGUAAGCUAAUGCCAUAAAGAGGCAUUAGGCUUGGAAUACGUAUGGACUUAGUAAAUCUAAGGUCGCAUGAGACAUUAAAAUUAUUGAACGGUUAAACCUUCACUUGGGGAUAUUAAACUAGACCUACGAGUUGCUAGCGAUUAUUUCUAUGGUUGAGCCAUGAUGACCGGAUCGUUGUGACGAUGACUAUGCUUGCUUGCCAUUUGUGCUCAUUCGCAUAUGCUUGUGAGGGUCGCUCCCUACAAGCCGGCACUCCGAAGUUAGCCUUUGCGACGCAGUUCGCUCGUGCGGGAUCGAGACGCCUGUAGGGUCGUGUGGAAUAGCCUCAUUCCCAGCGUGGGAUGAUGAGCUACCACAGGCAGCUAGGCGGUGAGACGCCUGUAGGGUCGUGUGGGACAGCCUCAUUCCUAGCAUAGAAUGAUGAGCUACCACAGGCAGCUAGGCGGCACAAGCUGCACUACACACGUGUAGAUCCUAAAUGAGAUUGAACGAGAAUAUUAAAUAACAUUAUGACAAUCACUACUUGAUAGUAUAUCGUAGUUGGAUUUAGUGGACAUUGGGACAUGUACUAUUGCUUUCGCAUAAUAGUAUACUUGGUGGCCAUGAUAAAGCAUAUUAAUUAUGUAUUGGUAUAUUGGAUCAUGAUGGGGUAGAUGUACACUACGUUGACAUCAUGUGAUAUUGCGGCAUUGUAAAUUACCAUUUCAUUACAUGCUUUUCCUAUUUGCAGUUUACUAGUAGUUCCUUUAUCUACUUAUGCUUUUGGGCUUAGUAGUGCAUUUUGCUCAGGUCAGUAAUUGCCCACUGGGAACUAUAAAUUAUAGUUCUCACGCCCCCUGUUUCAUGUUUUCUUUCAGAGCCUUCCACCUUGGGAGAGGCUCGGGAUCACGGGAAAGGAAUCGCCUCGAGAUAGCUAGCGAGGAAUUCGACGAUAAGUGGUCUACCUCUCUUCUGAGUUUUGUUUGGAGAUGUUGAGAGACUUGUACCAUUUUUAUAGAGACCACCACCUAUAUGUAGCUUGAGACUUAUGAUGUAUUAUUUUACGUUUUGCCUUAGUGGUUUAGUUUUCUUUGUUUCUACCUGUUGUUAGAACCUAGCUGUAUACUUGCUCUGAUAUCUCUAGAUACACUCUAUUUAUUGUUCAUUUAUUCACUAUUGUUGUAGACGUCUUAUAUGUAUAGGCAUAUGGCGGGUUUGGGAACGCACCGGGCGGGCCUAGGCCGGGUCCCGAGGCGUGACAGGAACGGAUCAGGAGACGCCAAGAGGCUGUGGAGCAAUUGGUAACUGCACCGAUUAUGAUGCACUGCGCGCAGCCGGGGGUUGCGGCCGAAACCAUUCAGACUGGGCGAAGCAAUCUGGCUCCUGGCUAUGCGGAGAUGCAGGCGGAGAGGGAGCGAGCUCUGGUGGCCCUCAUGACCUUCAGGAGAUUCAAUCCACCUAUCUUUGAUGGAGAGACCGUAGAUCCGUAGGUUGUGGAAAUGUGGAUUGAUUCCAUAAAGACCUUAUUUGAGGAUCUGUACACCUUGGAGCGAGACAAUGAACACCUAGCCGCACAUUGCUUGGAAAAGUCAGCAAAGGUGUGGUGGAAAGGGGUCAAGUGGGACCAAACCCCCAGUUGUCCUCCGGUCACUUAGGUAGAGUUCCGAGGAUUGGUAUUUUCUACUUUUUUCCUCAACAGUGAAAAGAGAAAGCUUCAGGAAAUGUUCAAAAAAUUGCGGCGAGGGAACCACAUGGUGAGAGAGUAUGAGAGGGAAUUCUCUCACAUUGUAAAUUUUAUUCCAUACGUGGUGCGGGAUGACAAGGACAAGGCAAAUUGUUUUGAGCGGGAACUUCGGCCAAAAAUUUUUGAGGUUGUGCAUCCUUUCAAGAUGCAAGCUUUUGCCAAGGACUUGGACCGGGUCUUGUGUGUAGAAUAAGACAAUGCAUUUGUGCGGUAGGAGCACACAUGUUAUGACAAGGAAAAAAGGAAAAAACGACCAUCGAGCGAACAUGGUGGUUAGUCGAGUUCUGGACAAACUCUAACAUGUUUGCGCUCACGAUCCUGAGUCUCGGGGAGCUACCAUACUCGAUCCUUUGCGAGAUGUUUAUUUGUGGGGGGUCCUCAUCGCCCAUAAUAGUGUGAACAAUGAGAGGGAAAGUGCUUUGGAUACGGUCAACCGGGCCAUAUGCGGGAUGAGUGCCUGCAGGGGGAUAACCGGGCCCUGACACUUACGAUAGCUUUCUCCUCUUCGAGAUAGCUUACAAGUACACAACCUACGGCAUGGUCUAGAGAACAUGAGUUGAUGUUGAGGCAACCGAGGGGUUGCGGUAGGCGCCAGGUGGCCAUGAGUACGCGACUAAGGUUGUGGAGCCUAUUGCUAUCAAUGAUGUUGUGGUAGGUAUGAUUUAAUUGAAGAAAUUAUAUGUAAAGCAUGAUGUGACAUUAGAGCAUUGCAUACAAUUAUUAUGUGGUCGUUUACUACUAUUUAGGUAUAAAUAUAGUAGGGACCAAAGUUAUGGGUAAGUAUAGAUAUCCGAGCAUGCUCGUGUCAUGGAAGUGUAUCGCCUGUUGGAGCAGGUAAGAAAUUAGAUUGUGAGAUCCCUGGUGUUUGACUGUGGAGGCUUGUCGACAGCUCUGGAGAGUGUCGGGACAAGUCCGAGUUGCGUUGGCGUCAAAUAGACGUAAAACGGACUCCGUGCAACGCGAGGGCAGCUUAUCGCGAAGAAUUCUGCAAAACAGCAGCAUUCUCUGCUUACUGUACCGGUACAAGCUUAGUGGCUGUACCGGUACAACCAGCGCGAAACAGCUCAAAUGCUCUCGGGUUGGCUCUUGUACCGGUACAGGAUCCCGUGUACCGGUACAAGGGAGUAGGUAGAGGGCUAAAACAGUAAAAUCUCACCUCGUUUGUAUCUCCGUCACCUCCCCUCUCCUCUUAAGUGUCCGAGCAGAGAGAGAGGGAGUACUUCCUGCUCCUCUCCAUUCUCUUCUUCUCCUCUCUCUCUCUAGGUGUUGGUGGAGAGUCCGGUUGGGGUUUUCGUCGCCGACGUCGCGCCGCGAGCCGUUCGAGCGCACUUGCUGCCGGAGCUUUGCAAGGAGGCCGGGCGAGGGAGCGUCUUCACUGUUCUUGACGUCGCGCCGAGGUUCGACGCUGUCGAGGUGGGUGGUUCGGCGUCUUUUCUGGAUUUUGGGCAAGUGCUACUAUUUCUACUCGGUUAGUAGCUGUUUUGCUGAAAUCCGCCGUCGACUGUUCGUAUUUCAGCUCGUUCUCCGCGUAGGAACGUCGGAUCGCGACAAGGCUUGGUUCGUUGGAUUCGGGACUUCAAGAGGAAUCCACGAAGCCCUCAUUUGCCAGAUUUGGUGAAGGUUAGCUCAGUCGAAUCCCAUUUCUACUCAGCUGCUGUGGAUUUUGGACUGAAUUGAGAAAUUUUGGUGUUUUAAUUUGGAGUUAGCUCGAUUUCGAGACUCGGGCGUUUUUGGUCGAUCCAGCAGGUGGUGUCGCAGUUGAGGGGGUUCUGUGCUGCCAGGGAUUAGCGUGUGAGGUGGGUUACAUCGGCUUUACUCCUAAGUUCUUAUUGGUCGACAUGUAUAGAUCUUGAUUUCGGUAAAUUAUGUUAGCUCAAAUUCAUGGACUAUAUGUAGAUUGUGAAAUCUGAAUUUUGGAGCAUGUUUUAUAAAUUAAGUAGAUUAUACAUGUUGGACUUGAAAAUUGAAUUAGGAGAAAACCUGCGAUUUGGACCUGUCACCAGUUUUAACUACCUGAUUUAGCUCUAGGAGCCGUUAGAAAAUUGUACUGUCACAGUUUCUUCGAGACGAGUACUCCAGGUAGUUUAGAAUAUAUUUACACUCGUGCUGGUUCGCCGAGUGGAUUUUUACAGGGUCGUUCAGGUCGUUUCGGACUGUUGGGUGCCGUCAGAGUUGACGGUGGACCCGUAUCGCCUUUUUGGCGUCAGAUUGUGCCGAGGGCACGUUACCUGUUGGUUGUUAGACCAGUUUGAGUCGAUUACUUGACUUUGGCUAGUUGGAGCCUGAUUGAGCUCGACAGAGAUACGCUGCAUACUCGGUUGGGUAGCGCCCACGAGUGCCACUCCGGAGUCAGGCUUGUGCUUUUGCGUUGGUGUCGCUCAUGCCAGUUGGACUUGCUCUCCACGGACCAGUUAGUGUGGAUAGAGCCCGAUAGUCGCAACGGGGCAGGGACGGGUGUAUUCACAGUCCCGGGGACGGGUAUGCUUACAGUCCCGAUUGGAUUGGGUCAGAUUUGACAUUUCCUACAGUUGGUUAGUGUAGAGCAUGAUAGUGUAGUGGAUGAUAGCGGUAGAGUAUGCUUCCUGCUUUCCUUCUAUCCUUGCUCCCUUCUGUAGACUUAGUGGGUGACCGAUGUUGUUUUGGGCGGUACCCACUGAGGACUACUUGUUUUUACAGUAGUUCUCACGCCCAGUUGUUACCUAUGUUUUUGCAGAGCCACAGGUUCCGGCUGCUGCACCGUCCGUGGAUCAGGAUCGAGGCAAGGGCGUCGCGAGUUAGAGCCCUACCCGUCGUGCUGAGCUAGAGGUGCCCUACUGCAGGUAGAUGUUUUGUUUCGAGUUUAUGUACAUAGUUGACUUAACUCGCCAGUGCGAGUAGCACUGUAUUUUGGAUCUGAACUAUGUAUAUGAAACUCUGUUUUAUUUAGCUUCUGUUUUCUCUAGCAGCUCUCUACUACUGUUCGUAGUAGUGUUUGAUUUACAGGUACAGCUAUCGCUUCGUAUACAGGGAAAAUUUCUUUGUAUACGGUGGAUUUGUCGGCGUGCCCGGGGAACGUGUAAUCCGGGGCGUGACAUAGAUGGUGCUAGUGAGUUGCUGGUAAUGAGCUAAAGAUAGGGCUCGAGGUAGGGAUGGAAAUGGUAGACUGACUUUCUCGGCAACGUGAGUAGCCGCUUGCGAGUGUCACGCCUCGAGACCCGUCGCUUUGGUCGGAUUUGACGCGCCAACAGAACACUGAAUGAACAGAGUUUUUCCUGUCUGUCUAAGACGUCACAAUCAGUACAAUUCAAGUGGUUCCAAACAGGAACAUAAUUCAUACACAGAUUGCGUAAGGAAGGCAUCAUAAACAAAAAUACUAAGCUAUUACAAGCAUUCGUUGGCAUUCCAUAUUACAUUUACAUUCUUUUUGCUUCAAAAUACAAUCAACUUUAUUAUAAUUUGUUCAUUCCUUUCUAUACCCUACGCUAUGCUGACCUAGGGUAUACCUUUGGUAUCAAGUGGUAGGGCGUUAUCUACCAAGCUAUACCCUUUCCUCGCGCCGCCGCGCCGCUCAUGUAUGGACCUGAAAAACAUGAGGAUGAGAACUAAAAACAUAGGUAAACCAGUAGGUAAGGUCAUCCAAGGGAAGAGUUCGACCUACCAGGUCCAAAAGAGGCAACAUAAGCAAAUUAGUCCAACAUAUAUAAACAUAUAACUGUAAGCAACUAACAAACAUCAUGCUUAUGCCUAAACUAAAUGCAAUGUGAAAUCCAUGCAUUAAGAUCUACCAUUUCUACUUUCUAUUUUACAAUCUAUUGCAUUCACAAUCCGUUCCUAACGUUCUUUUACCUUAGCGAAGCUAUUUCACUUGACUCGAUCUUGAGUCAAUCAUUCACAACUUACCUCCUUAUUGACUUAACCAUCCGGCGACGAACUCGCCGCACACGCCAGACAAUGGCUCAAGUCGCCAGGCGGUGUAAUCCUUUACUUGACUUAGUCAUUUGGUGGCGAACUCGCUGCACACGCCAGACAAUGGCUCAAAUCGCCAGGCGGUGUAAUCCUUUGCUUGACUUAGUCAUUCGGCGGCGAACUCGCCGCACACGCCAGACAAUGGCUCAAGUCACUGGGUGGCGAAAUUGUUGCACGUACCCCGGGUUGUUAAGUCUUGUGUGUUGGCAAAUUUUGUGAAGUGAGUCGGAGUCUUGAAGGAUCGGUGCGUAUCGUCGAAGAUCGAAGAAUCCAAGACUUCGAAAAAAGCGGAAUUAACUCACUUUGUGAAUCACGAUGCCCAGGUAAGGUUUUAAUUUAUGUUAUGGUGAUUCAUACUUAGUUGUAGGCAUUAGAAUCAUAAUACCAAAGUUUACUGGAUUAGAAAGUGUGUUGGUACUUUGCAAAACCCGAAACUGUGCAAAAAUUGGGUUUUUGCAAAGUGUACCGGUACAACAUCGGAAGUGUACCGGUACAACAUCGGAAGUGUACCGGUACACAUUCUGUUCCGGUACAGCAAGCGACUUGUCACCGGUAACAUUUUUACGCAGGUUUUCUCUUCCGUCAUCGUGUAACCGGUAACAGCUUAAAGUGUACCGGUACACAAUGUAAUUUUCAAAAAAACUUUCUGAUCCGACUCCAAUUGAAUCUAAAGUCUAUAAAUAAGCUAUUGCGGUUCUCUAACAUAUUAAGCAUCACGAAAAUACAUGUUUUAGAAACCUUCGAGGCUUGGAUUUCAUCUAAAACCUAUUUUCUACAUAUUAGCUUCUUUUAGGUCAAAUCGAGAUAUUGGAAUUUCAUAUCUAUAUGUCGAUUUGAUCUUCGCUUCGCUUGGAGUUUCCUUCCCUGGUUUUCAUCGAUACUCUAAACGAAGGAUCACCAUACACAUGAUGUUCUUCAUGACGGCGUCAUGCAUUCGGCGUGAUUGACGACGGUUCGUGGAUUCGGAUCGUGAGCUUCGUGGAUUCGGAGUGGAGGCGUUUCGUGGAUUCAGAACGAGGUGUUCGUGGAUUCGAACGUGUGGGCGUGGAUAACCCGGAGGAUUGCGCAAGAUUCAUAGGAGAUUAAGAGAGGUCGAAUCCGUGGAGUCGGUAAUCACCUUGUAAUCUUUUCUCUUAGUGAAUUAUUUUUUCGUGUGUUGGUCCCGUGGGUUUUUCUCCAAGUUGGAGUUUUUUCACGUAAAUCUCGGUGUGAUUUUUAUUUUUCGCAUUUAUUUAUCGCAUUGAGAUUUGUGGUUUUUCGCUAUUACACCUAUUCACCCCCCUCUAGGUGUUAGAUACAAUCUAGAUAGAUCCUUGGGCACCUCAAAACUUUCAUUUGGUAUCAGAGAGGGAUCUAGAUAUAUUAAUAUCUAAUGGCCGAAGGCGGUAAUAUUAAUCAACCACCGCUCUUUGACAGCACAAAUUAUGCCUAUUGGAAAGUUCGCAUGAGAGCUUUUCUAAUCGCAAUCGAUGAGCGGGUGUGGAAAGCAGUUACGCAUGAAGGAACAAGCUUAGUAAAAGUUCAAAAAUUACAAAUGCUAACAAGCAAAUUUGACUCGAUUUUUAUGGAAGAAAACGAGACCUUUACCGAGUACUAUAAGCAUCUACAAGACGUAGUCAAUACAUGCGCUAACUUGGGAGAGAAAAUUUCGGAUGCUAAAGUUGUUAGAAAGAUUCUUCGAACACUUCCGGAACGCUUUCGGGCAAAGGUUGUCGCGAUCGAAACCGUUAAGCAUCCGGACGAGAUGAAAGUAGAGGAAUUAGUAGGCACUUUACAAACGUAUGAGAUGACUUUUCCUACUAACCCAUCUUCUUCCAAGUCUUCUUCUAAAAGUACAGGAAUUGCACUCAAAUCGACAAAGAAAGAAGACGACGAUUCGGAUUCCGACGGAGAUAUUUCGCUUGCCGAUUUCGAACAUCAACUUGCGCUCCUCACAAAGAAGUUUCGCCGGAAUUUUCGAAAGAGCAAAUCGAAAUAAACCUUCAUCUUCGAAGCAUAAAUCCUCUUCUAAGCAUUCUUCUAAUUUAAAAUCUAAGGAUAAAAAACUUGCAAUGUUUUCGAAUGAAAAAGACGAAUUUGAAAGGGAAAUCCAAUGCUACAAAUGUAAAUGCCAGGGUUACAUUGCAACGGAUUGUCCUUCUAAGAAGACUUAUAGACAAAAGGCUUUGCAAGCAAAAACCUGGGAUGAUUCUACUUCGAGUGAAUCAUCUCCAAGUGACGAAGAAAAAAAUCAUCAUAUUGCUUUACUUGCUAAUAAUUCUUUGCCUUCGUCUAAUGUUAUGUGCUUAUCUUCAAUUGUUUCUAAUUCUAGUAUUUCUCCUUCCGUGCAAGGUACUUCGAGCGAUAUCGGUGAAAGUGAGGAGGAAUCAAACGACGAGGAUAUAGCGGAAGCAUACAACCAACUUCUUAUUGAUUCGAAAAAGAUGACCAAGCACAAUAAGAAGUUGAGGCGUCGUUUAUUGGACAUUGAAGAGGAGAAUAAAAAUUUGAAGACCAUGAAUAGUGCUCUCGAGGAGGAAAGGGAAUCAAAUUUGAAAGAUCGUUCAAUCCUCCAAGGAAGCUUGAUGAAGCAGAAUCAACUAUCAAAUCUUAUAAAGACAAGAUUGAAUUUUUGGAGCAUCAAUUUGAGGAAUCGCACAAAUCCAAUCAAUCAUUGACCGAUCAAGUUCGUCAACUCUAAUCCGAUCUUCAACAAUUUUCUUCGGGAUCAAAGAAGUUGGACCAUAUGCUUGGGUUGGGUCAAACGAGCAAGUUGGGCCACAGAUAUGAAAGAACAUGUGUUGAGAAGGAUAAAGAAGUAAUACAUAAAGUCUUAACAACUUCAAAAGAGAAGGUGUGUCAUAAAUGUGGCAUCAAAAGACACAUUAAAACGAAUUGCCCAAAUAAGAAAAAGAAGAAUCAAUCGGCAAUGUCUAAACCUCAAUUGGCAUCAUCUACAACUCGGCUUCCCCCACGGAAUCAAAAGAAAAAUCAAGUGAGUCGAGUACCUCGAGGGAACCGGACUUCUAAGCCGCAACGUCAAGUUCGACCAUACCCACAAGCAAACCGGAGUUCAAAGGUUCAUCAACAAUUCCAACUGAAGCCUCAAGCAACGAAACGACCAACGGUUGAUCAAAAAUCAAAGCAAAUUGUGCCUAACGUCGACAAGACAAGACAACGCAAAAUCCGACAAGUUUGGAUUCGGAAAGGUGAUGUCUUUCCUUGCUCUCCGUCUUAGUUUGUUUUGAUUGUUUAUGUAAUGCUUUGUUUGGUGCUUGUUGCAUAUUUUUUUUCAUUGCAUUACAUGAUGAUUUUCGUGUAUGAAAUUUAUUUUUAAAUUGAUUUGAGGAAAAUGGUUUGGGAAUUUAAAAUGUUUUUUUGUGAAAGGAGAUGAUUGAAAAUCUUUAUUUUGGGAGAUUAGAUUUUUUUCAAAGUGCCUUAAUCGGAAUUCAUCUUGAAUUAAAUUCAUAUUUAUUAUCGAUUUUACUCCACUUUUUGUUAUUUUGACGAUAAUUGAUUAUAUGAAUUCUUAAUAUAUUUAUUCAUCAAAAUUUUGAAAUCAAUUUUGAUCUUUUGGUGAUUAAUUCAUCUUGGUUGUGUGUGUUGAAUAUGAUGGAUGCAUAUUCACUAAUCGACUAAAAUUUUGUUAAAAUUAUUUUCAACUGUGAGAUUGUCUAAUUUAGGGAGAGUUUGAAUUAUUUUAAAAAAAAGAGAAAAGAUACUCCUAUAUUUAAAAGAUGUGGAAAGAGUUGCCUCUUAAAAGGAGUAUGAAAACUACCAUCACAUGUAGGAAAGAGCUACCACCCCGGUCGUCCGGCAAGUGCGUGAAGCUACCACAUGAAAAUUAAUUAAAAAGCCGAAAAGGUUAAAGAAAUUGAAUAUUUUAGACUUUUUCGGAGUUAUAAGGUGAUAGGAUGAAAAGAUGCUCAAAGAGCCACUCCCGGUGCCAUAUUAGUUAAAUCUCUAUUUUGAACGAGUUGCGACAAAUUAGUGUCAAUUUUGUUGAAUUUCUAAAAAUCAUUUUUCAUCAACUUACAUCUUGAUGGUUUUUGAAACACUAGAUUAUAUUAGAUUUCCAAAUUUUGAUGUUUUAAUGUAUUUUGACUUCCUAUAAUACUUUACUAUCAUCAUAAUGAUUUUUGGAGUACAAUUUGUAAGUUUUGGGGUAGCCCAGGGAUCUAUCUAGAUUGUAUCUAACACCUAGAGAGGGGUGAAUAGGUGUAAAAGCCGAAAACCACAAAUCUCAAUGCGAUAACAGUAAAUGCGGAAAAAUAAAAAUCACACCAAGAUUUACGUGGAAAACUCCAACUAGGAGUAAAAAACCACGGGACCAACAUGCGAUAACAAUCCACUAAGAAUAAAAUAUUACAAGGUGAUUUACCGAUUCCACGGACUCAAACCUCUCUUUUAUCUUCUCCGGAUCUCGCGCACACCAACGGGUUGUCCACGCCCCACGUCCGAAUCCACGAAUGCCACGUCCCGAAUCCACGAAACGUCCACAUUUGGAAUCCACGAAGCCUUGAUCACGCCGAAUCCAUGACGCCGACUCGAAUCGACGAGCACGCUCCGUCUGGAGCAAAAAUACCAAGAUUGAUGAUGAUUUAUUGCUUAGACAAUCAUUAAAGAACUGUAGAAGAUGUUUCUAAGCAAUAGCCGGAUCAAUUCCCCAUGAAGAACGAGAAAUUUUGAGUUACACGAAUUGAUCCGAUAGAAACUUGUUGUUCGAGAGAAGAAAGAAUGCACCCAACAAGUUUCUAGGGUUGCAAAAAGAUAUUCUAUCAUUCGUUAUCUCUUAGAAACGCCCAUACAUCUUAUUUAUAAGUUUAGAAGACUUAGAAACCAACUAGGAUUGCAAAAAUCCAAUUUUAAAAACUUAUGUCGUCCUCAUGGACCGGUCCUCUCAAGGAGACCGGUCUGUCAGAGACCAGUGCCUUGGGUGGGAGACCGGUCCCUCGCUGCGUGAUAGAAAACACAACGUUCGGGAACUGGUCUCUCAUGCCAGAAACCAGUCUCUCUCUUAGAGUCAAAAAUCCCAACGUUCAAGAACCGGUUUCUCAUGCCAGAGACCGGUUGCACCGACCAGGAGACCGGUCCCUCAGAUCAGGAAACCGGUUGCCUUGAACUUUCACGCAGAGAGGACUCUCGGGAACCGGUCUCUCAUCUCAGGGGACCGGUCCCAGCACAUUGAAAAAUUCAGUUUGUCCAGAUUCAUAUUUUAAAAACCAUCCUAAGUCUUCGAAACACUUUUAAACAUUUAUAAAUCAUCAUCAAUGGUUUUUAAACUUACCAAGCAUUAUGCAUUCAUGUUUUGAGUCUUCGAGUCUUCGAUCUUCAUCUCUUUUUCUUCAAACAUUCAAGACUAUGACUAACAUCACGAAAUAUGCCAACAUAAAAUCCGUAAUAAUCUCCCCCUUUGACAAUUUCGUGACAAAACUAAAAAAUACAUCAAAAUACUCACAAUGCUCAACUCUCCAAAAAAAUGAAAUUCAUUGCCAUCACCAAAACAAUGAACUUCUUGCGUGAAAAAUCCAAAGAAAAUACAAAAUUAUAAUUUCGCAACUCCUAAACAAACUCUAUGACUUAAAUACAAGGAGUCUUGAAGUCUUCGAGAAUCUGCAGAAAGAAUACAAAGAAUAUUUUCUCCUCGAACAGAGUUAGUAAAAAAAAAAUGAACAUCUCUCCCCCUUUGUUAAUGAAAAUCUGUCCCCCUCUGUUCAUGCAUCCUUUGUUAAUAAAAAUCUGUCCCCCUUUGUUCAUGCAUCUAAAUAUGAUCAAUAAAAAUUCACAUGAAAAAAUUGAAAAUCUCUUCUCUCUCUCUCUCCCUUUUUGUAAUGUACCGAAAAUUCGAAAAAUAAAUAUCGAACUUUAGUCAAAUUGACCAAAGUGCGAGGAUGGAACACUUCGGAAAGUCCGAAGGUGUUAAAAUGAUUAAAAGUGAGUUGUGGAAGGUUUUCGAGAGCUAAAGAAUUGAAUUCUGCAAAACUGCAGAUUUUCAGCUCUCGGGGACCGGUCCCUGUGGUUACGCAGCCUUUAUGGGGGUUAAUCCAAAAAUCUCCCAGUUAACGUGUAUCUUUGGAAGUACUCGUUUUCGGGGUUAAACCCACGGGAUCGAGGUAACAUAUAGUUUUGGAUCCCAAACUAGAGUAACCCUUCGUUUUCAUCGAAGUAAUAUGAGAUUUAUUGGGUAAUCUUGGUAAGAAUCCGAAAGGUUUUGGGAUCAAACCUAAAGUGGUAAUCUCCACCAGGUUCGAGUGGAUAUAUCGUUUUGAUCCAAAACUAGAGAAAUCUUCGUUUUCUUUCGAAGUUUUGAUGAUCUGUAAGGUAAUUUUUGGUAAAGAUACAAGUAAGUUUGGGUAAAGAUCCCAAAAUGAUGUAAUCCCAAGUUUCGAAUGGAACAUUCGAGAGGAAAGAACGGGAUCUCUCCUUCUUCUACUUCGGGGAAAACGAGAAACUAGAAGAAGAAGUGAAAGGAGAGGAAGAAAAGGAAGAAAGGGAACAGAAGAAGAAGAGGAAGAAACAGAAGAUCUCUCUCUUUCUCUCCUCUCUCACACUCUCCCUCACCUUACUCUCCUUUUCGGGGAGUCGGGUGAUGUAUCGAGUUACCCAACGUUUUUACGUUCUUUUGGGGAGUUGAAAAUAGAGACACGUGACGGACCUGACCCGUCAAAAGCGUCCGUCUCUGGCCAGAGGGGCUCGUCCCUGGCCAAGGGCUUGCAGGUGGGACGCGUCGGUCUCAGCGACGCGCGCUACGCUGGCCAGAGGGAGGCUACCCUGGCCAGAGACCCCCUGGCCAGAGAGUCCAUCUCUGGCCAAGGGCUCUCGAUUAGAAGGUCCUGAAUCGGCUAAAAAGCCGACAGAGUCAAGUAUGCGCAAGCCCCUGGCCAGAGAGGGAAGNCAAAUUGGCAUCGGUCCCGGGGCGUGACACUUUUUGUCAAAAAUUGCCAAAAGCAAGUACCAAAAAUAGAGAGUACCAAUAAUGUUAGUGCAUGAAUAGGAUAAAUUCACAUAGACUUUCGAAAGAACCAGAAAGGAGCACUUUGAAGAACUGUGGCCUCUUCGGAUUGUUGCAGCUCCUUCCAGAAGCCAUUAACCCUUUUAUUUUCUUUUUCUUUUCAUUUUCCAUAUUUAUCGUCGAGAAACAAACGUGCCCUGUAACAGAUUUUAAGAAAGAGAAAGGAGAAGUUUUGAUAAAGUUUGGAGAAAGAUGGAAAACCUGUAACCGGUUUUAAAACUGUGGCUACCAAUACACUUUGCUGGAUUUCAAAAAUUUUGAAUUAUAAAAACCUUUUAAACUUAAAUUAAUUUCAUACGAAUUAAGGACUUUACUCCAAAAAUCAUUAUAAUGGAGGUAAAAUAUUAUAAGAUUUCAAAAUACAUCGAAACAUCAAAAAUUUUGUUAUCAAAAAUGAUCUCGUGUUUCAAAAUCAUCAAGAUGUAAUGGUUCACGAAAAAUAAUUUUUAGCGGCAAAAUUGACACCAAUUUGUCGCAAUCCGUUCAAAAAAGAGAUUUAACUAUUAUGAUACCGGGGGUGGCUCUUUGAGCAUCUUUCUCAAACUAACACCUUAUUACUCCGAAAAUUUUAAAAUAUUCAUUUUGUUCAACCUUUUCGGUUAUUCAAAUCAAUCUUCAUGUGGUAGCUUCACAUACUUGCCGGACGACCGGGGUGGUAGCUCUUUCCUACAUGUGGUGGUAGUUUUCACACUCCUUUUGGAUGUAACUCUUUUCACAUCUUUUAAACAUAGGAGUUUUUGUUUUUCCCCUUUUUUUAAAAAAAUAAUUUCAAACUCCCCCUAAAUUAGACAAUCUCACAAUUGAAAAUAUUUUGACAAAUUUUAGUCUAUUAGCGAAUAUCCAUCUAUCAUAUCCAACACACAACUGAGAUAGAUUAAUCAUCAAGAGAUCAAAUUUGAUUUCAAAAUUUUGUUGAAUAUAUGUAUUAAGAAAUCAUAUAUUAAAUUAUCGUCAAAAUAAUUAAAAGUGGAGUAAAACCGAUACUUAAUAUGAAUUUAAUUUCAAGAUGAAUUUCGGUUAAAAACACUUUGAAAAAUUGUAAUCUCCCCAAAAUAAAGAUUUUCAAUCGUCUCCUUUCUCAAAAAAUUUUUAAAAUUUCCAGACAUCCUUCCUCAAAUCAAUUUUUAAAAACAAGUUUUACAUACGAAAAUCAACAUGUAAUGCAAUGAAUAAAAAUAUGCAACAAGCACAAAUCAAAGCAUUACAUAAUCAAUCAAAAUAAAUUAAGACGAAGGGCAAGGAAAGAUUUCACCGUUCCGAAUCCAAACUUGUCGGAUUUUGCAUUGUCUCGUCUUGUUGGUGUUAAGUGCCGUUUGCUUUGAUUUUUGAUCAACCGUUGGCCGUUUCGUCGCUUGAGGCUUCAGUUGAACUUGUCGUUUUGCAUUAGAAAUCCGGUUUGCUUGUGACUUAGGUGGGACUUGGUGUUGUGGCUUAGAAGUCCGAUUCCCUUGAGGUACUCGACUCACUUGAUUUUUCUUUUGAUUCCGUGGGGGAAGCCGAGUAGUUGAUGAUGCUGCUUGAUGAUUUGUAGUCGCCGAUUGAUGUGUAGACAUUGCCGAUUGAUUUUUCUUUUCCUUAUUUGGGCAAUUCUUUUUUAUGUGUCUUUUGAUGCCACAUUUAUGACAUACUUUCUCUUUCGAAGUUGUUGAGACUUUAGAAUUUGAUUUUUGAUCCUUCUCAACAUAUGUCCUUUCAUAGCCGAGGUCCAGCUUGUUUGUUUGACCUAAUCCGAGCAUAUGAUCUAGUUUCUUUGAUCUGGAAGAAAAUUUUUGAAGAUCGGAUUUGAGUUGACAAACUUAACUAGUUAAGACUUGAUUGGAUGCAUGAAUUUCUUGAAAUUGAUGCUCCAAAAAUCCAAUCUUGUCUUUAGAUGAUUUGACCGUUAAUUCCUCUUCCUCUAGCUUCUUUUGGAGGAUCGAAUUGUUUUUCAACAUUGCUUCCCUUUCCUCCUCAAGUGCUUUAUUCGUGGUCUUCAAAUUUUUGUUCUCCUCUUCAAUGUCCAAUAACCGACGUUUCAACUUCUUAUUAAGUUUGGCCAUCUUUUUCGAAUCGAUAAGAAGUUGGUUGUACGCUUCCACUAUAUCCUCGUCAUUGGACUCCUCCUCGCUUUCGCCAUUGUCGCUUGAAGACCCAUGCGAAGAGAUAGAAACAUUGGAAUUAGAAACAAUUGAAGAUAAACAAACAACGUUAGACGAAGGUAGAGAAGUGUUAGUAAAUAAAGCAAUGUGAUUACUCUUUUCUUCGUCACUUGAAGAAGAUUCACUAGAAGAAGAAUCAUCCUAAGUCUUAGCUUGCAAAGCCUUUUGCUUAUAAGUCUUCUUUGAAGGACAAUCCAUUGGAAUAUGGCCGUAACCUUUGCAUUUGUAGUAUUGAAUUUCGCCUUCAAAUUCAUCCUUUUCUUUCGAAGACUUUGCAAGUUUUUUAUCCUUAGAUUUAGAACUUGAAGAUUGUCUUGAAAAAGAUUUAUGCUUCGAAGAUGAAGCCUUGUCCGAAUUGUUCUUCUUUCGGAAAUUCCGUCGAAACUUCUUCGUGAGGAGCGCAAGUUGAUGUUCGAAAUCGGCGAGCGAAAUAUCUCCGUCGGACUCCAAGUCGUCGUCUUCUUUCUUUGUCGAUUUGAGUGCAACCCCUGUACUUUUAGAAGAAGACUUGGCAAAAGAUUGAUUAGUAGGAAAAGUCAUCUCAUACGUUUGUAGAGCGCCUACUAAUUCUUCGACUUUCAUCUCGUCCGGAUGCUUAACGGUUUCUAUCGCGGCAACUUUUAUCUAAGCGUUCCGGAAGAGUUCGAAGAAUCUUUCUAACAACCUUAGCAUCCGGGAUUUUCUCUCCAAAGUUAGCGCAUGUAUUCACAACGUCUUGUAGACGUGUAUAGUACUCGGUAAAGGUCUCAUUUUCGUCCAUAAAGUUGAAUCAAAUUUACUUGUUAACAUUUGUAAUUUUUGGACCUUUACUAAGCUCGUUCCUUCAUGCGUAACUUGUAGAGUAUCCCAAAUUUCUUUGGCGGUUCCACACGUUGAAACACGAGUAAACUCCAUUUGAGACAAUGCAUUAAAUAAAGCGUUUAUGCCCUUGCCGUUAAACGAAGAUGCCUCGUUUUCAUCUUUUGUCCACUUGUUUCAUGGUUUUGGCGUUUCAACAUUCUCGACCUUUUCAAUAGGAUGUUUCCAUCCAAAUUCUGUUGAUUGCCAAACGCACUCAUCGAUUGCGAUUAGAAAAGCUCUCAUGCGAACUUUCCAAUAAGCAUAGUUUGUGCCAUCGAAGAGCGGUGGUCGAUUAAUGUUUCCGCCUUCGGCCAUUAGAUAACAAUUUAUCUUGAUCCCGCUCUGAUACCAAUUGUAAGUUUUGGGGUAGCCCAGGGAUCUAUCUAGAUUGUAUCUAACACCUAGAGAGGGGUGAAUAGGUGUAAAAGCCGAAAACCACAAAUCUCAAUGCGAUAACAGUAAAUGCAGAAAAAUAAAAAUCACACCGAGAUUUACGUGGAAAACUCCAACUAGAAGUAAAAAACCACGGGACCAACACGCGAUAACAAUCCACUAAGAAUAAAAGAUUACAAGGUGAUUUAUCGAUUCCACGGACUCAAACCUCUCUUUUAUCUUCUCCGGAUCUCGCGCACACCAACGGGUUGUCCACGCCCCACGUCCGAAUCCACGACGCCACGUCCCGAAUCCACGAAACGUCCACACUUCGAAUCCAUGAAGCCUUGAUCAUGCCGAAUCCAUGACGCCCACUCGAAUCCACGAGCACACUCCGUCCGGAGCAAGAAUACCAAGAUUGAUGAUGAUUUAUUGCUUAGACAAUCAUUAAAGAACCGCAGAAGAUGUUUCUAAGCAAUAGCCGGAUCAAUUCCCCAUGAAGAACGAGAAAUUUUGAGUUACACGAAUUGAUCCGAUUGGAACUUGUUGUUCGAGAGAAGAAAGAAUGCACCCAACAAGUUUCUAGGGUUGCAAAAAGAUAUUCUAUUCUUCGUUAUCUCUUAGAAACACCCCUACAUCUUAUUUAUAGGUUUAGAAGACUUAGAAACCAACUAGGAUUGCAAAAACCCAAUUUUAAAAACUUAUGUCGUCCUCAGGGACCGGUCCUCUCGAGAAGACCGGUCUGUCAGAGACCGGUGCCUUGGGUGGGAGACCGGUCCCUUGCUGCGUGACAGAAAACACAACGUUUGGAAACCGAUCUCUCUCAGCAAGUCAAAAAUCCCAACGUUCGGGAACCGGUUUCUCAUGCGAGAGGCCGGUUGCACCGACCAGGAGACCGGUCCCUCAGAUCAGGAGACCGGUUGCCUUGAACUUCCACGCAGAGAGGACUCUCAGGAACCGGUCUCUCAUCUUAGGGGACCGGUCCCAGCACAUUGAAAAACUCAGUUUGUCCAGAUUUAUAUUUUAAAAACCAUCCUAAGUCUUCCAAACACUUUUAAACUUUUAUAAAUCAUCAUCAAUGGUAUUUAAACUUACCGAGCAUUAUGCAUUCAUGUUUUGAGUCUUCGAGUCUUCGAUUUUCAUCUCUGCUUCUUCAAACAUUCAAGACUCCGACUAAUAUCACGAAAUAUGCCAACUUAAAAUCCGUAACACAAUCUUUAAUCUUUAUGAAAUUAAUUUAAUUUUGAGGUAUUUUUUAAUGAAAAUUUUUAAAAUUUUUGAAAUCUGUGAAAGUGUAUCGGUACAAAAUACCGUGUACCGCUACAAAACACUGUAGCCGCGGAUAUUAUAACCGGUUACAGGGCUCGAUUUUCUUUCAAAAACUCUUUCAAAAUCCCUCCUUUCUCUCUCUAAAAAUCCCAGGUGGUCUUCCUCUUUCAAAUUCACGUAUUUUCCCCCUAAAUUUGUAAGUAUUUUGCUUAGAUUUGAAGAUCUAAUCCCGAUUUUGCUAUUUUUUCGAAAAAUUCCGAGUUGAAACAUGAUCUGCAUUUUGAUUCGUUUUUUAUGCAAAUUUUUGCUGUGAAUUAGUAUUUGGACAUAUAAUCUUGCUUCUAGAACACUUAGAUUAGAUUAUAACUAUCACGCCCCAAUCCCCGCCAAUUUGGUCGGGUUCGGGUCGCGUCGACAGACGCCGAACGGACAGAGCCUCCCCUGUCCGCCCAAGGCUCUAACAAUACAUAUAAUUAAGCAAUUAACAAGAGAAUUGCAUAUAUAAUACAAGGCUUACUCGAGGGCAAGCAUCAACGGAAGCGAAAGCUCUAAGCUAAAUAUACAACACACAUGAUAUUUGAUUUCUUUUGAACCAAACUCAAGUAAAUAAUACUAUUACAUUCCAUUCAACCAUCAUAUCUUUUUACAUUUAGUCAUCCACCAAAUACAUGAUUGUUUUCACUUUACAUACCUAAUUCAACAAAAUAAAGUUGAUACAUGUAUAACAAAAGGGAAUGACUAUAAAAUGCAUAAAGUCCCCGCGCCAAACCCUUGCCUCGGUCCUCCGCCGCCCCGCUCGUACUAGGACCUGUAGGGUUAGUGGUGUGAGAACUACAACAAAGUUCCCAAUGGGCUCGGCAUCCGACCUCGCCGACUUACCCACUAGGUCUAUCCAGGCAUAAGUAUUUCAAAGGAAGAAAAGUAACCAUUACUAGUGCAACUAAUACUAUGCCUGCAAGAAAGAGUCAGUAGAUAAACAAUUGCAAUACCAAAAUGGAAAUGUAUGCAUUUUCCAAUCAUAAUCAAACUUUGGCUCUUACCCAAUCUUGCCGGUUAACUCUGUUAACCCCAAUGACUCACAACCCAAAAUCCCUUAAUAACGGGGGACUCGAACCUCCCUAGGGACCGUCAACUGGUGGGACUUUACCAUGCCCAGUGGUGACCAACUCCGGAGCGCACCGCUCGAGGGGGAGCGACCUCCCUCAAGCCAAGACGAAAGGUGAGUGUCGAUCUUAUCCUCAACUUGAGGAUUCAUAGCCACUAGUCACAAUGCCAGUAUCACGAUAGGUCUCUACCUAUUUAUUUUUGCCACUUUCAAGGCCUUGUCUUCGACCAUGUCAUUAUGAGUCAAAAUAUUUUCAACGGUCAUCUCUCAAUGCAAUUCUUGUUUCUAUGUCAAUGACACCCUUGUUUUCUAAUGUCCAAGUCCAUUCUUACAUUCACACAUCUCGAGGGUCCAAUCACACAUGUCCGUUUUGGUCCUAUCAUUCUCUAUGUUCAGCUACGUUAGAAACAUAAAAAUGAAGUCAAACCAAGUUCCACAUGUAGCUACCCUACUAUGCAUGAAUGGAUAUAUAUAUAUAUGCUCAAAAAUAGAGAAACAGACAUAGAGGGGAAUCCAACGAUUCCGGCGUGCACCCCCCACCUCUAUGAGUCGUGUGGGUGUAGAAUAUUAAGGCCCCCGCACUAUACGAAAGCCGAUUCCGCGCCCUAUAAUCAAAUAGUGCCAUAUUAGGCCUUUUUGUACAUGAACUAUACUCUAACAUUUUCGAAAUAUUAAACGAAGUUGUCCAACGUGUUUUGGGCACCCCCAAUUGGGUUUCUACGGGGUCAAUUUGUCCCCGAAAAAUCCUAGGGCAAAAACCCCAAAUUCAAGCCCUAAUCUUGCCAUUUAGGGUUUUCCCAUAAAUCGAUCCCAACCCUACGCAAAGAAUAGCAUAGGAUCAUCUAAGAAGCAUCCUAAUAAGGUUUCUAGACCUUUGGUACCAACCCUAGGGCUCCAAACAUCAUCUCCAAGGAUUCACCAUGAGAGCACCUUGAGCUCUCAUGGGUUCCAUGGUGUUCAUGGCUCAAAAGAGCUUCUAAAACCUCUAAGGAGCACAAAGCUCCAAAUCUCUUAACCAAAAUCCAAACCCUAGAGGAAAACCUUACAAAACUUACCUCUAGUCCAAGCCCCACCAAGAUUCUCCUUGUUGGAGAGCUCCUAGAACCUCCAAAGCCUCCAAAUCCACCUUCUUCUCCAAGCUCUUCUUCUUCUUCUCCAAGUUCUAGAGGAGUUCUAGAGAGAGAAAGAGAGAAAAUGAGAGAGGAGGAGAGAAAUGGCUGUGGGAGAGAGGGGUUGGGCCAUAUAUAGUGUUGUAACAAUUGCACUUAAGCCCCUCUACUUGUUUCCACUUGAACUGCCCAGACUGGGCACUUUUCGCCUUCGGGGACCGGUCUCCCCGACCAGGGACCGGUUCCCGAACGGGGGUUUUCCAGGACUUAGCCAAAUUUUCGAGUUUUUCGGCUGUUGCGCAGCGAGGGACCGGUCUGCCCGUCAGGGACCGGUCUCCCGAGGACCGGUCUCACCACCAGGGACCGGAUGCCUCAGGAUUUCCUGGCAGGCUACGCGCACGGGGACCGGUCUCUCCUUCAGGGACCGGUCCCCGAGAGCUAAAAAUCUGGGACUUAGCCAGAUUUCCAGAUUUGCUCUCCGGGUCCCUUUUUGCUCCAUUUAUGAACUCCAAUGCACCUAGGGUCCACUGUAACUCGUUCAAUUCCGCGUUCCGCUCGUUUCGACGAAACUCGGCACGACUUACGAGGGAUGUGGUAUGUUACAAUAACGUUGUAUUUUUUGCUAAUCUGUGAUCUGUACCACAAUAUACAUGAAAUUUCGGGAUUUUUGAUAAAAUGUCAUUUUUGAUGAAAAUUUUUGCAUGAUCUGUUUAGAAAUAACGUUAGUAUGCAUUCUAAUAUUCUUAGAAAUUUUUUCGCUAUUUUUACAGAUUUUUUCAAGAUUUUGUUCAUGCAAGGUUAAUUUUUAUAUAGGAAAAAUGACGUUUUCGCUCAUGUUGCUGAUUUUGGUCCUAAUGGCUGCUGGUCGUGACCGAGGUGGUGGUAGAGGCCAUCGUGGGGCCUUUAAGAGGACUCAUACUGCAGGCGAGUCACCCGGGUCUGAUCCGGAUUACCAGGCAAGUUCGCCUGAGGAAGCUGAAGAACCUAUUGCUCGUCCUGACAAGGGCAAAGGUAUCGCUGGAGAAUCCUCGCGUGGAGGUGGUUCUCGUGCAAGAGAGACACGAUCAAAGCAUCUCGCGAAUGUUCUUGUCACGCCCCGGGACCCAGCGGAAGCCCGCCCGGCGCGUGCCCAGACCCGCCAUAUGUCUACAACAUAUAAGGCGUCUACAAACAACAAUAACAAAAGCAAUAAUAAAAGACAUCUAGGAGUAUCAGAGCAUAAUAAAUGUCUAAAUGCUACAACAAGAAAUAAGGAUGAAACUGUAACUUCACUAAAUAAGACAUUAAGUAAAUACAAUAGGAAAUCCCAAAUAUAAGUGCUNUUUUUCUGGUUCUGUUACAGCAGCUUGUAAGCUCACGUGGUACUGAAUACUUGGCAGUGGUGGGUUGGAUUGAGGAUAUUUCAAUCAGCAGGAAGCCGAGAUACAAGUGAGAAACCGAUAUAAGUGAAUAGAACCUCAAUUACGAAUUACUAAUGCUAUUUCUGAACAUUGUUCGCAGGAGGUUUACGACAGAUUGUCGAAUGGUUCUCAGCUAAUAUCCGAGAGCUUUCGAAGGUUUAAUUCGAUGUAACAACUUGAACCAAAUCAGGGAUUCAAGCUAUUAAGGUGAGGAUUUUGCCAAUUUGGACAUUGUGGCCGUAGUUACAAUGCGAUUUUGAUACCUAGUUUACAGCAGGUUUGAGAACCGAGCAAGUUGAUUUCGGGACUACUUUGGGCUGGUUCGAGCUUAGUACUAAGUACUUUUACCUAGAUUGAAGAGUAGUUUCGACUGUAUCUCAAUCUAGGGGACUUGAAGACUUCAGAUUUCCCGAGCUUAUUAAUUCGACAAGAGGCGCCUUACAUCGGUGGGUCGGACCUUCCCGAAAUGGGUGAAUUUCCCUCUAUGUCUUCUUUGACAUUGAGUCGAAGUUACUACAUAUUUAUGUGAAUAUAUGUAUAGUUCAAAGCAUUGAGACAUGCAUUAAUGUGUAGAUCAUAAUGGAAGAUUCAUGACUUGUCCACCCUACAUGGUCACAUGUUAAAGUACUAUGUAUUCAUGGUACUAGCAGCUUGCGUAUACAAUUUAGCUUGAUGUUAUCCAAGAGGAUAUAAUGGUAGAUUCGUGAGUGUACCAUUUAGUUCAGUUGAACAGCAAAGGGAAUGAUGUACUUAGAAUCAACUACGCAAUUUUUAUGUGGCAAGUAUAUUGGCUAAACUUUGAAUAUAUCAUGUAGACGCAUUUGCUUGAGUAUACAUUCAUAACUGUAGAAUGAAUGAUAUAAAGAUCAUGUGAAGAAUCUUCUAUCGCUUCUUUUAUCUGCUUACUUUACCCAGUUAGUUUCUACUUUCAUAUGAUAGAGUCAUGUUAUGGUAUAUGUUCUAGUAAUUAACUAGAAUUUAGUAUGAUGGCAUAUUUUGAAAGAUAUACAACUGAAUAUAAUCUAGUAAAUAACUAGAUUAGGAUAUGAUAACAUGCUUGCAUAGUCAAGUAGAUGUAAUUGCAUAGUAUUUAUUUACCCCAAGUAGUGGAGGUUUACAUUGGACUACAGGAUAUGUGCCAUGAGUCCUUGAAUAGGACGUUAUUAAACCACUUUCCUUAUGUGUAAGGAGUAGUGAGACUGACCAGGUAUAGCCUGAUAGAAUCACUAGUAUGAUGUAAAGCUUAAACUUGUCAAGUUAUACUAGUUAUUGGUAGAAUCAUGUCAACAAGUGUUGAUAGUGACUUAGGAUGGGACACUACAGUGUCGACCUUGGGUCGAGUUGAGAUUCCAUGUCAGAGAUAUGAUGCUGUUGAGAUAUUUGUGCCAUGGAUUACAGCUUCAUGCCAUUAUGCUCUUUCGCACACGCUUGCGGGGGUCGCGCCUCCCAAGCCAGCACUCCGGAGUAGGUUAGCGACAGAUGCUCGCUUAUGUACGAAGUGAGCGCCGAAGUGGAUUGCCGUGGGGAGUGUAUACUACCACGGGGCCAUUAGGCACGGCGCGGCUAUGAGCUUACCUUGUGUAAAUCUAUUGGAAAUUGGAUUAUAAAGCUUAGCUGGACAUAGUAAAGUUACUUUGUAUCUUUGGACAAGUGAACUUAUUGAUGAACAAGCUAGAAAGUUGACAUUUAAAGUAAGCUUUGUGAUGUAUAACCUAGGAGGUGACAUCGUAAUUGGUUAGUAGCAUAAUGACAAUAUAUUUCAUUUUUGCUAAUAUAAAAGGUAAGUACAUGAUAUUACCAGUGAUUUUAGUAAUUUGAAUUAUCUUGCAUACAAUCUGGUACAUGCCUAGUUAAAUUGGCAAUUAAUAUGAAUGAUAGAAUCGAUCAUGAUAACUGAUACCUGCAACCUGUUGAAAUUUAUUAUUGUUGAGCAAAUAGCUAAUAGCAUGAGUAGUUUACUUUUAUACCUGUUGCAUUUACUUGCUUAUUUAUUGCUAUCUACUCAUGCCACAGUUGACCUAGUGGUGUACUUCGCCACUCUCGGCGGCUUACCCACUGGGAACUAUUGUUAAAUAGUUCUCACACCCUCUUUGUUGUUGUUUUUACAGAGCCUUCCACAGCGGGAAAGGUUAGGGUCCCUGGCGAGGGGUCAGCAACUAGCUAGAGCUUCCACGAUGCUAGAUAGAUGGAACCACUUCAGCUUUUCUAGUUUAAUACUGUAUUUUAUAGUGAGACUAUGUAUAUUAUAGUUGUUCUUUCCUAUUGUGAAGUUUUGGGUUGUAUAAGUUUAAACUCUUAAGUUUUGCUCUGAUUACCUAGUUAGAAUUGAAUUCUUUUACUAUACUAUUUGUAGACGCCUGGUGUAUACUUAAGUUGUGGUGUACACGGCGGGUCUGGGCACGCGACUGGUGAGCUUCCGCUGAAAUUCAGGGCGUGACAGAUUAUAGUGGUAUCAGAGCCUAGGGUUGAGUCUUAGUGGACCUAGUAAACCUUAGGCCUGUUGGACGAUCAGGAUUAGGAGCGUGAGAGACGGGGUCUUUUGCGACUAUUUUGGGCGAAAGUAUUAUGAUUGGGUUAUACUUAUAACUCCAAAAUUGUUGGAGUUCGAUUGAAAUGAAUGACCUCUAUGUCCUUCCAAUAUCACGUUGGCGGCCGACAACGUGAUAUUGGGGAAUAGGGGGCGGUCAUUUCAUUACUUUCGCAUGAUUGGGAUCUUAUGUUUAUGAGUGGAGCUACGAUAGCAUGGGUUGUUUUAACCUGUGCCUAUUUUGUUGUUGCAGCUUGCGAUCAAAGAUGCACCGUACGGCAACUGAGGCGAUCGACCCAGAAAAGCUUGUAUCUUCUGAAUCGGGCGAAAUUCGGAAACUGAAAGAGCAGUUGGCUACUCUAGUUGGAGUAGUGGAGCGACAAUCGAAUGUGACGUUACUUCAAGCCGAGGUUUUGCGCCGACAAGAUGAAGGAAUCAGACGGUUGGAGAACUUAUUGAUUCAACAGACGGCUGAUCUCAAGAAAUUCCACGAGGUUUUGGAUCGUACAUCGACCGUAAGAAAAGGAAUGGAAGGUACUGAAAGAGUAAAGGAGACCACCAAACGUGAUUAGUUACAGAUUGGGGAAUCAUCAAGGAAUGUAAAGAAGAAUCAACCUCGAGGACAUGGUUCUUUUUCUAAGCGAAGAAUAUUGAAUCGUCGACCAUCACGGCGAUGUGUGAUUUGUGGAGGUCUGCAUGUUCCCCGAAAGUGCCCUCAGUGGAAAGGAAAGUGUUUUGUUUGUGGUCAGGAGGGCCAUUUUCGAUCUGAGUGCCCAAGGAAUAACAUGUUGACUAAGGUGUCUGCAUCGACUUGGUUGCAAGAAGCACUCAGUGGAGGUACGCCGACGGAAUUGUAGAGCCAGAUACGACGGCGGGGAUGCUUACUGCAGGUAGUACAUUGUGCAACGCCUCUAUAAUUCGAGUAUGAUUAUAAUGACUAUUUAAUUGCAUUCUUUGUCGGCUGUUGCCGAGUUGAGUAGCAUUAAUUCCCUCCUUAAUGCAUGUAGGAUUGAUUUAACAGAAUGGUCUACUUGACGCUCUGCCUAAUGAGAAAGCUUAGUAUACGCCAACAAAUGGAUUGGCCUUAUCUAUAAUAGAGUGGUUUUAAUUAAAAUUUAGUUGUGAGGUACUUGUACCAUGGGUUGCGCGAACUAAUUUGAUUCGCCUUGGAAAUUUGAGCAUUAUAUAAUGCAUUUUGAAAUUUAAUCUCGCUGAUUGCGAAGAUUGUUGCUUUACCUAAAUUUGAGCAUUUAUAGAGAAGUAGGAGCCUAUUUGACUGAUGAUUUAAAUGUAAGAACCCUCGAAAUGAAGGGUAAUUCUUGAGAAGUGGUUGUGGUAUUUCUGAUCAAGUCACAAAUUGCGAACUUGACUUAUAGAGAAUGUUUUUAUGCCUAGCGCUUCAUUUUUGGUGAAGUAAUUCCACUUGUUGUGAGAUUAGAUGAGUUAUUCGACUAUGUGUCGAAUAUCGUGAUUUCAGUUGAAAACACGAUUAAGUAGUUGGGCUAUGUUGAGAUCUGUUGAUCUUUUAAUCAGCCUUUAGCAUUAGGUGCAUUUUAUAGAUAGAGUAGCAAUCUGAGGAAGUUGUAGUCUUCCUUUGUAGUCUUCCUCGACAGAGAAUGUCGUGAAGGGGUUUGUUCAGUUGUUUGUUUUAUGAACCCUGCAAGGCAGAUAAUGAUUGACCAAGCAGAAGAAUUAAAAGGAUUGAGAUGAGACUCUCCUAAUGGCACUAAGUAGUUUGGAAUAUUGAGAAAGAAAUUACCCAGUUACUUGUUACUUUCUCUUCGGAUUUUAGUUAUGUAUAAUGGAACUAAGCUUCAGGGAACAAACUGCAUGAGAUCAGUCUUUAGGGAUUAAUAUCUUUUGACUGAUGGUCAUAACCGGAUAAAUCUCAUACAGUUCGAAAGCAAAUCGUGAUGUUCCAAUUGUGAUUUGAUGGGAAGCUUUUAUCAAACUCUUCCUUAAUUAUAGAGUGAUAUGUAGUAUAAUAGCAAUAGAGAACGGGUGGGUGAAGUAUAAGUUGAUUUCCCCUCUAUUGCCUAAAUUGGAUUUGGGACAAUGAAUACUUUGAGCAUCACACUCUCAGAACAGUAUCAAAGAAAGUUUAGCUGAUUGAUCUAUAGGAUCAACGUUUAUUUGAUUGCUCUACUUACAGGAUCAAAUAGUAAAUCAGGAAUCCACCUUUGGUGGAUUGAUGGAAAAGAUAAUCAAUUUCAAUUUGUUAUUGAAGGAGUACUACCAGGGAUAACUAGUUCAUUAUCAAGCUAGUUAUGAUUGUGGAAUAUAGUAACUACAAGACAUAUGGGUAUUUCUUCCCUUAUUAAACCCUGGAGUGGCAGUGCAGCAAGAAUGCAAUUCCUGAAAAGUUGUGACUACUAGAUGAUGCAAAUUAAUCAUUGGUAUAUGAUCAUCCUGUAAAGCACAAGAUAUACAUCAGAGGCAAACUAUGAAGCCUAUUAAGGAAUGAUGACGGAACAAGUUGGACUUCAGCCUUAACCUAUUUGAGAAAAUAAGAAACGGAUUUCGUCUAUAAAGGUAACAGAUUUUAUGAAGAAUGGAGAGACUGAUUGAGCAAAUUAUAGUAAAAGAUGAAUUUCAUCUUGGAAUAGAAUUGCACUAAUAGUGCAAUCUCUUAAAGAGUUUUGAGUUUUGAGAAUAAGCUGAUAAUUGAGAAUUCCAUUAUUCUCCAUUAAUAUAUGAUAAUUCUUUGGAACUUGAGACAUGUACCAGGUGUAACUAUUAAACCCUACUGAAAAUGGUACCAUUGGAAUUCUUCUUAUCAAAUAAAUGAUUGAACUCCCUUCAUGUGGGGAUGAUGAGAAGAGUUGGAUUUUAUUCUCGAAUCAUUAGCAGAAAUGGAACUUCAUCCAUUAAAAUCAUGAAUUUCAUGAAUGAAAGAAGAACUUUUUAUUGGGAGAAAGUGAUAUGAACUUAUGAACAAAGAUGGAAUAUAUUUUCCAUCCUUUUCAGAUGAUAUUGAACGAGGAUUCAGUCCUAGUUUCGCGGACGAAACUUCUAUUUAGGAGGGGUGAAUGUAAUACACUGAACAUCGGCAAACUGCGAAUUGGAGGGUUGGAAUAGUGAUUGGAACUCUUCUAUAACUUUUGAAGGAUUGUUGAGAGGCUUCAGCGAAUUACUGGAGCAAGCAGAUAACUUGAAAUGGAAAAGUGCAUCGCAAAUGCACUAUUCUAUUGCAAUGCUCAGAAUUUAGUCAAUUACGAAGUUCGAGUGAGGGGAAUGACAUUCGGAACCUCCCUACAUGUUUUAAAGAGUUUAAAGAUGUUUAUGGACAAGUUUGAGAGGGAUCGGAUUGUCGGAGACAAGAAAGUGCAUUGCACUUGCGGAUUCAGCACUUUUGCAUUGGUGUACCGGUACAACCUUCAGGCUGUACCGGUACAGAAAGCAGCAGAGGCAGCAGCUGCGUGGCAGCUUGGGUAUUUUGGUCUUUUUACUCUCCAAACUUAUCUUUAACACCCCUACUCGGCUCCAGAGGGUACCUAAGGGGUGUUAGGACUCUGAGGAUCAGAUUUGAAGCUCCUCUUUUCUCUCUCUAGGGUUUUCUUCUCCCUCUAAGAGGAAAGCUAGGAGUUGGAGCUGAUUUCUUUCCCUUUUUUUGAAGGUUGCUGAUUUAGAGAAUUUAGAGAAGCCUUCUUCUUAGUAGAUGAAGAGUUUGCUGAUGCUUCAUCAACCUUAAUCCUAGGAUUAUCUAUGUUGAAGUUUGGGAAAAGUAAGUUAUGUAAUUCAUUACCAAAUUCUUGUGUGUGUAGUAAUGGAUUAACUUAAGAGUAAGUUUCCUUGUUGUAGUUGGCAAGGGAGUUGCAGCCGCAGUAGAAACUAGUUUUGGCUGGGGAUUACUCCACUCGAAUCAAGGGGAAAACUGAAAUUAAGUUUUGAACAGGUGAGCAAUUGAGUAUCGACCUUAGGGUUAUGUUCUAGUGGAGUUAUUAGUGGAAUUGUGAUGCUGUUUUUCUGGUUCUGUUACAGCAGCUUGGAAGCUCACGUGGUGCUGAAUACUUGGCAGUGGUGGGUUGGAUUGAGGAUAUUUCAAUCAGCAGGAAGCCGAGAUACAAGUGAGAAACCGAUAUAAGUGAAAUAGAACCUCAAUUACGAAUUACUAAUGCUAUUUUUGAACAUUGUUCGCAGCAGGUUUCUGACAAAUUGUCGAAUGGUUCUCAGCUAAUAUUCGAGAGCUUUCGAAGGUUUAAUUUGAUGUAACAACUUGAACCAAAUCAAGGAUUCAAGCUACAACCUUGUAUAAGGUGAGGAUUUUGCCAAUUUGGACAUUGUGGCCAUAGUUGCAAUGCGAUUUUGAGACCUAGUUUAUAGCAGGUUUGAGAACCGAGCGAGUUGAAUUUCAGGACUCCUUUGGGCUGGUUCGAGCUUAGUACUAAGUACUUUUACCUAGAUUGAAGAGUAGUUUCGACUGUAUCUCAAUCUAGGGGACUUGAAGACUUCAGAUUCCCCGAGCUUAUUAAUUCGACAAGAGGCGCCGUAUAUCGGUGGGUCGGACCUUCCCAAAAUUGGUGAAUUUUCCUCUAUGUCUUCUUUGACAUUGAGUCGAAGUUACUACAUAUUUAUGUGAAUAUAUGUAUAGUUCAAAGCAUUGAGACAUGCAUUAAUGUGUAGAUCAUAAUGGAAGAUUCAUGACUCUUCCACCCUACAUGGUCACAUGUUAAAGUACUAUGUAUUCAUGAUACUAGCAGCUUGCGUAUACAAUUUAGCUUGAUGUUUUCCAAAAGGAUAUAAUGGUAGAUUCGUGAGUGUACCAUUUAGUUCAGUUGAACAGCAAAGGGAAUGAUGUACUUAGAAUCAACUACGCAAUUUUUAUGUGGCAAGUAUAUUGGCUAAACUUUGAAUAUAUCAUGUAGACGCAUUUGCUUGAGUAUACAUUCAUAACUGUAGAAUGAAUGGUAUAAAGAUCAUGUGAAGAAUCUUCUAUCGCUUCUUUUAUCUGCUUACUUUACCCAGUUAGUUUCUACUUUCAUAUGAUAGAGUCAUGUUAUGGUAUAUGUUUUAGUAAGUAACUAGAAUUUAGUAUGAUGGCAUAUUUUGAAUGAUAUACAACUGAAUAUAAUCUAGUAAAUAACUAGAUUAGGAUAUGAUAAUAUGCUUGCAUAGUCAAGUAGAUGUAAUUGCAUAGUAUUUAUUCACCCCAAGUAGUGGAGGUUUACAUUGGACUACAGGAUAUGUGCCAUGAGUCCUUGAAUAGGACGUUAGUAAACCACUUUCCUUAUGUGUAAGGAGUAGUGAGAGAUUUUGAGUGACUGACCAGAUAUAGCCUGAUAGAAUCACUAGUAUUAUGUAAAGUUUAAACUUGUCAAGUUAUACUAGUUAUUGGUAGAAUCAUGUCAACAAGUGUUGAUAGUGACUUAGGAUGGGGCACUACAGUGUCGACCUUGGGUCGAGUUGAGAUUCCAUGUCAGAGAUAUGAUGCUGUUGAGAUAUUUGUGCCAUGGAUUCAGUUAUGCCAUUAUGGCCUUUCGCACACGCUGCGGGGGUCGCGGCCUCCAACCAGCAUCCCGGAGUAGCUUAGCUGACAGAUGCUCGCUAUGUAGCGAAGUACAGCGGCCAAUGGAUUGGGCCGUGGGAGUGUUAUACCCGGGCAUUAGUAACGGUGCGGCUAUGGAGCUACUUGUGUAAUCUCAUUGAAAUUGGUUAUAAAGCUUAGCCGACAUAAGUAAAAGUUUACUUGUGUCUUGAACAGCGAACUUUAACUUGAUUAAAGCUAAAGUUGAUCAUUAAAGAAGUAGUGGAUGUAUAAAUAGGAGGUGACAUCGUAAUUGGUUAGUAGGCAUAUGACAAUGAUAUUUCAUUUUAUUGCUAAUAUAAAAGGUAAAGUUAAUGAUAUAACGGAGUGAUUUAGUAUAUUGAAUUUUUAAUAUGGAUACAUCUGGUAUAUGCCUAGUUUAAAUUGGCAAUUAUAAUAAUGAUAGAAUCGAUCAUGUGAUAACUGAUACUGCAACCUGUUGAAAUUUAUUAUUGUUGAGCACAUAGCUAAUUAAGGCAAGAGUGUUUUACUUUAUCUCUGUAUGAAUUUAAUUUGCUUAUUUAUUGGCUAUCUACUCAUGCCGACAGUUGACUAGUGGUGUACUCGCGCUCUCGGCGGCUUACCACUGGAAAACUAUGUUAAACUAGUUUCUCACGACCUCAUUUGUUUUGUUUUUACAGAGCUUCCAGCGGGAAAGGCUAGGGCCUGGGCGAGGGUAACACUAGUACGAGCUUCUAGAUGCUAGCAUAGAUGGAAGCCACUUCAAUUUUUAGUUUAAUACUGUAUUUAUAGUGAGAUCUCAUGUAUAUUAUAGUUUUCUUCUCUAUUGUGAGUUUUGGGUUGUAUAAAGUUUAAACUCUUAGUUUUGCCUGAUUACCGGCUAGUGUAGAAUUGAAUCUUACUAGAGCUAUUUGUAGAACGCCUGUGUAUACUUAAGUUGUGGUGUACACGGGGGUGCUGUGCAGCAUGUGAGCUUCCGCUGAAAUCCAGGCGUGACAUUAUCAAGUCUUCAUAUAUUGGGAGACAGUUUUGUCGGCGAUUGCAAGGCAUGGAGGCGGAAAAUAUGCAUACGUAGAUCCGCAAGACGUGCGAUCUGGGGCAUCAUUUAAUCUCAUUGGUGAUGAGCUACAAUGUUCAUCUAGAAUUGGAAAAAAGAUUGUUGGGAUUGUGGUGCUUCUUAUAUCUUGCUUUGACAAUUCCUGAGAGGUAGGCUGCGGGGUAAACAUCAAUAUUUUUUCUGAUGUGGAAAGAAUGACCCACUUAGACAGUCUUCAGUCGCGUGAAUCUCAUUCGUUUCCAUUGAUUGAUACAUUGAGGAUUCUGUAAGAUACCGGGUGACGUUCUGUGAGAAUACGACAGCUGGACUUGGACGAUGAUGCGUAACUUUAGGGCCUAGUCAGUCAGACUCUGGGACGUUUCCAGCAAACAAAAGAUCGUCAGUGCAGCUUCGCAGUUCGCACCUCCACUCGAGAGAAGGUGAGGAUUUCCAGUAGGGGGAGUGUUAUUGUAGAAUCAUUACAUGAGGUACUCUCUUUAAAGAGAAAGUGGUAGAUCUUGCAAAAAGGUGGAGGUGGGAAUAAGAGAAUUAUGGAGAAACUGGGAUAUAGGCCAUCGAUUAUAAUAUUUCUACUCAGGCUACGUACACUAACUUACAGGGUUGACGUCGAGAACACCCAGUCAUGUCCCUCCAGUGGUGCUCUGAGGCUAGGGGAUCUGGAGCUGGAGAGGAGAUAUGAUGAUGAUGAUGACGGUGGAACUGAUUGACUUUUCCUGAGUGUGUUUUACUUUAUUUGGCUUUUUAGGACGAUGUUUAUAGUUUAGCUUGCUUGCUUACUUCCUGUGCUUGUCUUUAGUGUAUACUAUGACUUGAACUACUCUUAUACUCUUCUAGUAUGUUUUCUCUCCUUUAUAUGCUUUGUCUUUGGCCUUGACAAAAAAAGGGAGAGCAUGAUGCACAGGUAUUGAUCGAAGCAAAGGAAAAGAAGGAACAAAGGGGGAGAAGAGAAAUUAUCGAGGAGAAGAAGGAAAUAAAAGAAAAAGGGGGAAAAGAAGUGAGAAUUUCGAGGAAAUGAUGAGAAAAUGGACUCAAUGUGGAUGUACGAAUGUUUUGAUAGUAUUUCUACAGUAUUGACUUGAUAAUCUGUUUUGCAGGAAAUUCAAGACUGUCACAUCUCUUAGUUGGCGUCUAAGUUAGAGUUUUGCUUUUAGGAUUUUUGAUGUACUUUUGAGUUCAAAUUUGUAUUUGGGCUACAUGCGAGGUUCGAUGGUUGGUGAUGACAUUGAACCUUCGUUUUCUUAAGAUGUAAUUUUUUGAGUUGUUGGGUUAUUGUCAGCAAAAUAUGCCAGGGGGAAUUGUUAAUUUGUGUUUGAAAGUAUUCGUGAGAUGAGUGCGGAGUUGCUUAUUGAUUGGUGGUAUCGUCGAAGAUGCGAAGAAUCCAAGACUUCGAAAAGCGAAAUUAAAUCAUCCUGUUUGUGAAUCACGAUGCCCAGGUAAGGUUUAAUUCAUGUUAUGGUUAUUUCAAACUUAGUUGUAGGCAUAUAGAUUAUAAUACGGAAAGUUCUAACUUGAUUAGAAAGUGGUUGGAUGUUGGCAAAUCCGCGACUGUGCAGAAAUUGGGUUUUUGGAUAGUGUACGGUACAACAUGGAAGUGUACGGUACACAUUCUGUUCCGGACAGCAAAGCGACUUGUACCGUAAUAUGCUUGUGCGGUUGUUUUCUCCGUCAUCAUGUACCGAAUAAAGUUUAAGGUACCUGUACACAGAUGUAAUUUUCAAAGAAACUUUCUAAUACGAAUCCAAUUGAUUCUAAAGUUUAAAAUAAGCUAUUGGGUUCUCUAACAUAUUAGCAUGCAGGAAAAUAUGUUUGAGAAACCCUAGAGGCUCUGGAUUUCAUCUAAAAUCAUUUAUAACAUAUUAGGCCUGCUUUUAGGUAAAAUCGAGAUAGUUGAAUUAUCAUAUCUAUAUGUCGAUUUGAUCUUCGCUUCGCUUGGAGUUUCCUUCCCUGGUUUUCAUCGAUACUCUAAGCGAAGGAUCACCAUACACAUGAUGUUCUUCAUGACGGCGUCGUGGAUUCGGCGUGAUUGACGGCGGUUCGUGGAUUCGGAUCGUGAGCUUCGUGGAUUCGGAGUGGAGGCAUUUCGUGGAUUCGGAACGAGGCGUUCGUGGAUUCGAACGUGUGGGCGUGGACACCCCGGAGGAUUGCGCGAGAUUCAUAGGAGGUUAAGAGAGGUCGAGUCCGUGGAGUUGGUAAUCACCUUGUAAUCUUUUAUCUUAGUGAAUUAUUUUUUCGCGUGUUGGUCCCGUGGGUUUUUCUCUAAGUUGGAGUUUUUUCACGUAAAUCUCGAUGUGAUUUUUAUUUUCCGCAUUUAUUUUUUAUAACAUUGAGAUUUGUGGUUUUUGACUAUUACACCUAUUCACCCCCCUCUAGAUGUUAGAUACAAUCUAGAUAGAGUCUUGGGCACCUCAAAACUUUCACGGGUAUCUAGCUUCGGCGGCGAACUCGUUGCACACGCCUAAGCUGAUACCAAAAUCCCUUAGAUGUGCACAUCAUUUCCAUUCCAAGUCUCAAGGGUUCAUCGUUUACCCUAUAUUGCAACUUUUCUAGGUUCAUAAUUACAUGUACAAGUGGUCACUUUAUCACUAUAUUUCAUAACCUAGAUUCAACAACGCUAGGUCCUAUGUUUUUUCCACCCAAGUUCACUCAACUCUAGGUUUGAUGACAUUCCAAUGCAAGUGGUCUUCCUACCACUAUGUUAUCCAACCUAUAUUCAAUGACACUAGGUUCAAUGUCCAAUCAUAUUCUUUUUCUAUCCUAGUUGUCCACACCUAGGAUUCGUGAUUCCAUGACAUCUAGUCCUUGAUUUCACACUUGUCGAAUACUCUAAUUUUUCUAGAGUUAAUCGACCCAUGUUCAUUAUCCACAUCUAGGCAUACAUAUAUAUGUAUCCUAUAUGUUCUCACAUGCCUAUGUCAUCAUCCAAUGGUAGGUAACAUCAUCUACCAACAUAUGAUUUAUGCAUUUAUAUUUACAACAUAUAAACUACCAUUAUAUACAAUCAUCAACAAUAAUACCAUACUUAACUAUUUAGCAUGAAAGUGACCUAAUCAAUUCAGUGAAGCACAAUCUACCUCACAACGCUUCUUAUUGCUUGUAGACACUUGCAAUCAGACUCCCGCGACCAACAUCACCUGAUUCGGUUUGACCCAAGCCUAACGGAUGAAAUCUGGCGAUAUCUUCCAAUUGGACGCCGUAACCUCGCUGUAAUCCAAAUCAAGGUUGUCCCCUGCAUCGACUUACCCUUCAAUUAGAGAUUUAUGAGAUCAAUUUAGCUCCAAAUCUCAUAGGGACAAAAACCCUAAAUCCAAACCCUAGAUUCCAAUUCCUUCAAAAAAUAUCCCAAAUUCAUGGAGAGAUCUUGAUUAAACAAGUAUAGAAUCAUCUAGGAAACUCUAGAAUCUCAUUUCAAGGGAUUUAACAAAAACUCUAAUCUAUUAACCGAAAAACGAACCUUGAGUUGAAAGCGCUCCGAGCCACCAAGCGCCCGAGAGCUCGAUUCACAGCUCCUUCGAGCUUCCCGAGCUCGAUCUCCACCAAGAUCUCCAAGCAGAAGAAGAAGAAGAAAAGAGUGAGAGAGAUGAGCUCCUAUAUCCCUCUUAGCGUGCAUGUGUGUGUUCUAUAGAGAAAGGGGAGAUAGCCCCCUCUUAACUAGGCCUUCGCAUGAAAUUACCAAAACACCCCUCAAAAUCAGCAUUCUGUAGGGCUAAGUACCGAUACUCCGUUUCGCAUACCGAUACUCGGGCAUCCAGUUCUUGUAUCCAGUUUCUAAUAUCUCAAAACCCGAACGUUGGAUUCUCCCACUCCUUAGCAGCUUCACGAUUCUCGUGAUAGCUCAAGUGGCUCAUAACGAAGGAUGUGGGUCAGAUCACAAACAUGCUUGCGGUUCGUGAUACAUUAAGUGCAUUCUGAGUUCCUGCAUGUCUCGGUAGCAGUGCGAGUCGAUAUUCAACGACUCUACACGCUCCAACACCCCUCACAGCCUGGCAUAUGAAGGACUUAUCUUGUUUUGUACGCCAACUCAUUUCACCCAUCCUCCGGGUGGCACUUCUAAGGAAUUGCAGUCGUUUACUAUGUACAUUCCUGUCCAACAGACGAUUGCCCGCAUACUUUGCUUAUCGGGCUCGUGUCGUCACCAACCAUCACCAGUAGAGGACAAACUUUACUAAUGCCACUAGACACUACUUUCCUUCGAGAUCAGGACUACCCUUUAUCCCCGUGGUGUGGAUCAGACAAGAAUGCACCGACUAGUCGAUAAUCCACAACCACUACAUAUUACAUACGGGUAGACCUCCCCGAUUCACACAAGAGUGCACAGAGUGGCGCUCUACCAUCUUGGCCAUUCAAGAGUCUACAUCACCUUGUAUGACUCUUCUUUACACACUAUCCUAUGGUGGAACUUACUCUAAUCUAAUUACCGGCAUUGCUUAGAAGCAAUUUCAUCGGUGCAUCGCUCGAUCAUGAGUGCCAUCACCAUUCAUGGACUUUCAGCUCUACAGCGAGAUGGCACACUUCGGCACAUCAUCAAUUUCCAGUUCACCUAUACAUGACCAAUGCUCUCACACUACCAGAGCCAUCAGCUAAACCGCUUAUCUAGGUUUAUCAUAGAUGGUCCAGACACCAGAAUUCCCACGUAGGCCUACCGCCUAAACCUGUCUCAACAUCGCGCAACGUCUCUCGUUCACAAGUAUAGACCCAAUCAUCACUCAGUGGAGUCCUCACUUGGGACUUCACACACACACUCCAACCAGGAGCAACUAAGACCCCAAACCACUACAAGUGUCACUCCCUGAGGCCGCCAAUUUGGUCGGUUCGAGCACGCCGACAGACGCCGAGCGGACAAUACCUCCCCUGUCCGCCCAAGGCUCUAAUCAACAAGUAUAAUACAAGCAAUUCAACAAAAUGAAUGCAAUUAUACAAGGCUUGCUCGAGGGCAAGCAACAACUAAAUCAUGAUUGAAAGCAUCUAAGCUAUUACACUAACCAUUGAACACAUGUCAUUUGAUUGCAUUUGAAUCAAACACAAGUAAACCAUUCACUUACAUUCAUCCUUAUCCAUUCAUUUACAUCACAUUGUCCUUUAACCCAAAAUACAUAAUUUACAUCUUUCACAUUUCUAGUUCAACAUACAAAAGUUGAAUAUACAUAGGGAAUGCCUAUGACUCCGUAGGCCGUUAUCUACGACGCUAAUCCCUUGCCUCGAUCCUCCACCACCCCGCUCGCGUAUGGAUCUGCAGGGUUAGUGGUGGUGUGAGAACUAAAAGAAGUUCCCAGUGGGUUCGGCCGCCGACCGCGCCGACUCGCCCACUAGAUCUAUUUAGGUAUAUGUAAUUCAAGAAAUGAUAGAUUGCAAACCAACUAAUGCAAAACUAUUACAAUGCCUGCAAGAAAACUGUCAACAGAUAGAUAAUCAAAUACGUGAUAACUAUGCAUGCAUGUUCUCACAAUUAUCCGGGGGUGCUCUUGGUUUACCCCCAAACUCACAAUCCACAUAUCCCGUCUACCGGGGGAGGCACUUGGCACUACCACCCAAGGGAUCUUCACCGGGGCACUCUCCCCGUGGUGUCUACACUCCGGAGUAUACCGCUUGAGGAGGAGCUACUUCUCUCAAGCCGGAACCAAUGUGUGAGUACGAUCCAAUCCUCAAUUUGAGGACAUAUAGCCAAACCUGUCUCAAUGCACAAAGCCUUAAUGCCGAUGAUAGGUUAUUACCAUACCACAUUAACAUAUAGCCAAACCUGUCUCAAUGCACAAAGCCUCAAUGCCGAUGUUAGGUUAUUACCAUAUCACAUUUCCACUAUACCUGAAUCACAAUGGUCAUGAUGCCACUCUAGGUUAAACCUUGUUUAUCCGUUCUUACACUCGGUGCUAAUCUCGUCACUAAUGUCAAUGUCACCAUUGUUUACUAUUGUCAUAGUCUCUUUUUCAUACAUUCACAUACACAUUGGGUUUUUCACAUUCAUAGUCACAUGGUUCUAUACCAAUUAAUAUGUUCUCUAGCAUAAAAUUGAAUCUCAACCAAUCAUAUUCAUCACACUACCCUAUAUGCAUGAAUGCCAACAUCAAUAUGCUCAAUAAUGGUAACACAGACAUAGAAGAAAAUUCGGUGUUUCCGGAUAGCACCCCCCACCUUGUAGGAAUGCUAGGAUGCCCUAUUUCUGAUCUCGCGAUUUUUAGACGCUUACGCCACGAGUUGCGGCAAUCUGUACCAAUUUAGCUUCUUUCCUCAAUAUCUUCGCGUACGCUCGUCGGAUUGCCGAACCGAGCACACAAACGCGUUCGUUGAUCUACCAAUUAGGGUAAAAAGAGAUCAAUCCCAAGAUUAGACCUCAAAAUCUCAAAACCCUGACAUUAGGUCCCUUAACAAUAUCAUCUUUCCCAUUUUAGGUUCCUAGCAUGAAGAACCAUGGGGGAAAUCCUCUAUUCAUCUCCUAGAAGCAUGUUAGAAGGAAACAAACCAAAACCCUAGCUUGGAACCAUGAGAACUCAGCUUUGGUUCAAGCUUUUCCUUGUUCUCUUGCACAAUAGCAAGCAACACCUUCCACUUUGCCUUCUUCUUCUCCGAAACUCCUCCGAAUCCCUCCUUGUCCAAGCUCUAGAGAGAGAGGAAGAGAGAGGAGAAAAGAUUUUUAGAGAGAGAGAGAGAUGUUCUUGUGUUGGGUUGAGAGGAAAUGAGCCCUAACCCAAGCCAUUUCACACUUAACCAUUCACUAUGCCACUUUGCACAUAAGCCCCUCUUAUUUUAUUUUUUCCAAUCAGCCCUCACUGGGCAUAUUUCGCAUACGGGGAUCGGUCUCUCCCCGCAGGGACCGGUCCCCGAGAGCGCAACUCUCAAGACUUAGCCGAUUUUUCAUAUUUCUGGCUGGCUACACGUACGGGGACCGGUCCUCCCCUGAGGGACCGGACCCCGAGAGCCCAAAAACUAGGACUUAGCCAGUUUUUCACUGGUUUUGCUCUCUUGGUCCCUAUACCCUAUAUCAAGGUUCUAAAACACUUAGAAUCCAUUGCAACUCAUCCGACUCCGCGCUCCGCUCGUUUCGACGGAACUCGGCACAAUUUACGGGGAUGCGAUAUGUUACAUUCCCCACCCCUUAAAAAUAGUUUCGUCCGCGAAACUUAACACGUACCUUAGUCCACUUGCUCAAACACGCAUCUUCUCCCACGUGGAUUCAUGCCUUGAGUUACAUCCAAAAAGGAGUGUGAAAACUAUCACCACAUGUAGGAAAGAGCUACCACCCCGGUCGUUCGGCAAGUGUGUGAAGCUACCACAUGAAGAUUGAUUUGAAUAACCGAAAAGGUUGAACAAAAUGAAUAUUUUAAAAUUUUCGGAGUAAUAAGGUGUUAGUUUGUGAAAGAUGCUCAAAGAGCCACCCCCGGUAUCAUAAUAGUUAAAUCUCUAUUUUGAACGGAUUGCGACAAAUUGGUGUCAAUUUUGCCAAAUUUCUAAAAAUCAUUUUUCGUGAACCGUUACAUCUUGAUGAUUUUGAAACACGAGGUCAUUUUUGAUAACAAAAUUUUUGAUGUUUCGAUGUAUUUUGAAAUCUUAUAAUAUUUUACCUCCAUUAUAAUGAUUUUUGGAGUAAAGUCCUUAAUUCGUAUGAAAUUAAUUUAAGUUUAAAAAGUUUUUAAAAUUCAAAAUUUUCGAAAUCCGGCAAAGUGUAUUGGUAUCCACAGUUUUAAAACCGGCUACAGGUUUUCGAUCUUUCUCCAAACUUUAUCAAAACUUCUCGUUUCUCUUUCUUAAAACCUGUUACAGGGCACGUUUGUUCUCGACAAUAAAUAUGGAAAAUGAGAAGGAAAAGAAAAUAAAAGGGUUAAUGGCUUCUGGAAGGAGCUGCAACAAUCUGAAGAGGCUAUAAUUCUUCAAAGUGCUCAUUUCUGGUUCUUUCGAAAGUCUAUGUGAAUUUAUCCUAUUCAUGCACUAACAUUAUUGGUACUCUCUCUAUUUUUGGUACUUGCUUUUGGCAAUUUUUGACAAAAAGGGGGAGAGAAAGAAGAGAUUUUAAAUUUUUUCAUGUGAAUUUUUAUUGAUCAUAUUAGAUGCAUGAACAGAGGGGGAGAGAUUUUCAUUGAGAGAUAUUCAAUUUUUUUUACUAACUUUGUUCGAGGAGAAAAUAUUCUUUGUAUUCUUUCUGCAGAUUCUCGAAGACUUCAAGACUCCUUGUGUUUAAGUCAUAGAGUUUGUUUAGGAGUUGCGAAAUUAUAAUUUUGUAUUUUCUUUGGAUUUUUCACGCGAGAAGUUCAUUGUUUUGGUGAUGGCAAUGAAUUUCAUUUUUGUUUGGAAAGUUGAGCGUUGUGAGUAUUUUGAUGUAUUUUUUAGUUUUGUCACGAAAUUGCCAAAGGGGGAGAUUAUUACGGAUUUUAUGUUGGCAUAUUUCGUGAAGUUAGUCGGAGUCUUGAAUGUUUGAAGAAGAAGGAUGAAGAUCGAAGACUCGAAGACUCAAAACAUGAAUGCACAAUGCUCAGUAAGUUUAAAUACCAUUGAUGAUGAUUUAUAAAUAUUUUGUGGUGAGAUUUUAUUGUUAAAAUAUGUUUGGAAGACUUAGAUUGUGUUUUUGUUGAUCAAACUAGACUUUUCUAAAAAUCUCAGGGCUCAGGGACCGGUCCUUGAUCAGAAGGACCGGACCCAUCAAGUUUCUCUGCAUAGAAGUUUUGGGAGACCGGUCUCUGGUCUUGAGGACCGGUUCCCGUAAGUGGUUUAUCUUGUUGCGCAGGGAGGGACCGGUCUCUGAAUUGAGAAUCGGUCCCCGUACGCAAGUUUCUCAGCUACGCAGCGAAGGACCGGUCUCCAACUUCGAGGACCGGUCCCCCAAGGACCGGUCUCCUCGAGAGGACCGGUUCCUGAGGACGACAUAAGUUUUUAAAAUUGGAUUUUUGCAAUCCUAGUUGGUUUCUAAGUCUUCUAAACCUAUAAAUAAGAUGUAGGGGUGUUUCUAAGAAAUGAUGAAGGAUACAAUAUCUUUUUGAAACCCUAGAAACUUGUUGGGUGCAUUCUUUCUUCUCUCAAACAACAAGUUUCUAUCAGAUUAAUUCGUGUAACUCAAAAUUUCUCGUUCUUCAUGGGGAAUUGAUCCGGCUAUUGCUUAGAAACAUCUUCUACGGUUCUUUAAUGAUUGUCUAAGCAAUAAAUCAUCAUCAAUCUUGAUAUUCUUGCUCCGGACGGAGUGUGCUCGUGGAUUCGAGUGGGAGUCGUGGAUUCGGCGUGAUCAAGGCUUCGUGGAUUCGAAGUGUGGACGUUUCGUGGAUUCGGGACGUGGCGUUCGUGGAUUCGGACGUGGGGUGUGGACAACCCGUUGGUGUGCGUGAGAUCCGGAGAAGAUAAAAGAGAGGUUUGAGUCCGUGGAAUCGGUAAAUCACCUUGUAAUCUUUUAUUCUUAGUGGAUUGUUAUCGCGUGUUGGUCUCGUGAUUUUUUACUCCUAGUUGGAGUUUUCCACGUAAAUCUCGGUGUGAUUUUUAUUUUCCGCAUUUAUUUUUAUCACAUUGAGAUUUGUAGUUUUUGGCUAUUACACCUAUUCACCCCCCUCGAGGUGUUAGAUACAAUCUAGAUAGAUUCUUGGGCACCCCAAAACUUUCAGGAUCGAUCUUACUUGCUAUGAGUUCCGUGCUCGAGGGCGGUCACUCCUCCUCGGGCGAUGCUCUCCGGAGUUUUACAUCACGGGUUGGAGUAAACCCGAGGACGGUCUUAGCGGAAGGCAGCUGAGGGCCUGCGAUGAUGGACUUAAUGUGGGCAAGUUAAUGUGGCGAAACCCCAGGUUAGCCGUGAGAUUAAAGAACAAAGAAUAAAGAGUAAAAGAAUAAAGAACUUGCAUACUUGCAUGAUUUAUAUGAGCAUAUUCUUGCUAUUUGUUCAGGCAUAUUAACAUCAUGAUUAUAGUUUGGUUACUAUUCUGCUUAUCCCUUCUAUUAUGCCUGAGUUAGUCCUAGUGGAAAAGUCGGUUAGAUUGGGGCCGAACCCACUGGGAACUUCAUUGUAGUUCUUACCCCACUAUUCCACAGAGCCGGGAGCGAGCGAGCCGGCGAGCGACCACGGUAAAGUUAUCGCAUAGUAAAUAGAGGCCACCAAAAUUGAGUUUGGUUUAUAUUUUGCUAAUAGAGUACCCUAUGUUCAUCUUUUGUAUUUGAUGAUUAAUGAUGUAAAGAAAAGAAUGUAAAGCUCUCUUUCGAAGUAAAUGUGAUGUACGAAAGAAAUGAUGCAANCCACGGUAAAGUUAUCGCAUAGUAAAUAGAGGCCACCAAAAUUGAGUUUGGUUUAUAUUUUGCUAAUAGAGUACCCUAUGUUCAUCUUUUGUAUUUGAUGAUUAAUGAUGUAAAGAAAAGAAUGUAAAGCUCUCUUUCGAAGUAAAUGUGAUGUACGAAAGAAAUGAUGCAAUGUUGUAAUGAAAUGUAAGGAAUCGAAAAUGUACAAGUUGGAUGUAAUGUAUAUGAUCUAAAUUGAAUCAUAGUACAAAUUGAAUGUUAGUUUCCUUUCUCCACUCAUGGCUAUUGCUUACCCUCGUGUAAGCCGUUUGUGUAUGUUUCUGCUAGUGCACUUCUUGUUUGAAAAUGUACAGGUGAUGAGCCUUGGGCGGAUAGGAAAAACUCUGUCCGUUCGGCGUCUGUUUGAUGUGCUCGGGCUGGCCCAAAUUGGUAUCGGUCCCGGGGCGUGACAGAUAUCGUGGUAUCAGAGCCAAGAGUGAAAGAAUAGGAAUGGACCUAGAGACCCUUAGGAUUGGAAGACCUUAAGGAUCUAGGAAACGUGAGUGACGUGGAAUCAAAGUUAGCGAAAGCAUGUGAUUGGGUUAAGUUGGGACGCCUCUAAUGUGAUUAGAGGCUAAGUUUAAUUUUCGUUUGUUUCCUACUCCUUGUUUUGUGUCGGGCGGCCGACGACAUAAUGCUUGGGGCAAGAAUAAAUGCAUAACUUGCUUUCGCCGGAUUGGGUAUGGUCAAGUAAUGUUGGUCAUGUAGCUAAUGCGAGUUGCUUCUUUUCAGGAAGCAAUGGCACCUCGUGGACGACCACAGAUAAGGUCGAUGCCGGAGGAGCCGAAUGCGGAGCCCGAGCGAUCCGGAGCGAGUGGCGACGGAGAGCUUAGGGAUCAAGUGGCUGCGCUUAUUGGAGUAUCACGGUAGCAAACGGAGUCCGUUCAACGCCAAGGGGAGCAGAUUCAGCGGCUCCAGGAGGCUUUGGAGCGUCAGCAGGCAGCGGCGGCCCAGGUGGGUGUCGAGCAUGUCGCGCUCUUUGUGGUAGUGUCGAGCGUGGACGAGGGAGCGGCGACAGCAGUGGCUAUCCCAGUUACGGUAGUACCAGCUGGAUCGGGAACCUCAAAUCCCGAUAGCGCGGCGGUAGAGGCGGAGCGAGAGCGCACGUUGGCGGCUCUCAUUCAGUUCAAGAAGUUCAACCCACCUACCUUUGAGGGCGGUUUGGUGGAUCCGGCGGUUGUGGAGUCGUGGAUCGACUCAAUGGAGACGUUCUUUGAGGAUCUCAAUACCUCGGAGAAGGACAAAGUGUACCUCGCCACCCAUUGUCUAGAGAAGGCGGCGAUGGCGUGGUGGAAGCGAGUUAAGUGGAAUAGUAGGGUGAGAAGUACAACAAAGUUCCCAGUGUGUUCGGCCCCAAUAUCACUGACUUUCCCACUAGGACUAACUCAGGCAUAAUAGAAAGGAUAAGCUGAAUAUAGUAACCAAUCUAUAAC